rnacentral:lncRNA from 1 species
CCACGUUCCCGGAGUGGGGCCCGAGGUGGCCGCCGAGGCCCGGUUAGGGACGAACCCGGAGCCGAAAGGCAGGUUUCCAUGAACAAAGUUGCUGGGCCAGCGGCAGGACGGGAGAGCCGAGCGGGAGCGCUGGAGCCGCGCGGGCCGGAGGCCCAGACCUGCUGGGCCUCUUCCUGGGGAGAGCGAACCCCCGGGUGCCCGGACGCGAGCCCCUUUCCAGGGGCAGCGGCGCGCAGCCGAUCGCUCCCGUGCCCCACCCUCUCUCUUCUGCCUCCAGCGCUCCAUUCCAACAAAGGGGCAGGCCCGCGGCAGGGAGGAGGAGGAGAACGAGGAGGAGGAGGAGGAGCCGCCGGAGGAGCGAGCCGCUCUCGCGCACAAAGUUGUGGAGUCGCCUUUCCNUCAGGGGCUUUUCCAAAUCGGGUGUCAUUUUUAAUUUUUUUUUCUCCUUUCGAAUCUUGUCUGAUCCUCCACAUUUCAUUUAAAAAAAUCACCAAACAAAAUAGCUCGCACUACCAAAUUCACCCUCGUGCACAUCCCCCGUUUACUACGACCCAAACCCUCCUAGAGGAGUCCGUGGUCCGCUCCGGACGCGCGGCGGCGGCGGCGGCGGCGGGUAGGCGCGGUGGCCCGCGGGCGAGCAGGUAAGCCCAUGCAUUAUUGAAGUCUGGGACUGGGUAAUAUGACCACAGCCUGCGAGGGAGUGGGGCGGGAGGUGGGAGGAGGUUGGACUUUUCUCCAGCUCUUUUGCCCGGGAUGGGUGUCUCGAGCUCCUCCUAAGUCCCAAAGUCGGAGAUGUAGCCAACUUUGGGGUGCACUUUCCUUGGAACCUCAGUUCGGCUUCCCUGGGAGGGGGAGAGAAUGCCAGAAGCUUGAGGAGCUCGGGCGAGAAGGUCGUUGGAAUCCGGACUAGCUGUGAAGGAUUCAAACCCCUCCGAUCGGCUCGGUGCUGCCGCCUUGUUCCCCCAGUCCUCCCCUCUGCUGCGGGAAGAGGGUCGCGUGUCCGUGCUUCGCGCGGAGAAGGGAGCUGGGCCAGUGAUCUCCAAGAGGACGUGGCCUCCUAGGAGAGCCUGUCACACAUACACACCCCGUCCCCGGGAAGGCGGGGCCCCGGCAGUGUCUGCUAGGAGAGGGUGGAGAGAGUGUGGUUUUGUAGUCAGUGGGCUGGGGAGCACUUCCCAGCCCGCCGCCUGGCAGGGGACGUGCUCGACCUCUGGGUGGUUGCUGCUCCAGAGGGUGGGGCCCCGGAAAGUGUGGCGUUCCCUGCCAGCAGCUCCGGAGAGGUUAAGGGACGGGGGUGCCCUAUUGGUGGCUUGUCCCGCACAGUUGCCUCGCUUUCCGGACUCUUGGCAUCCCUUGCUGCAACUGACAAGGUAAUUCAUUCCCUCUUUGGUCCGGGGUCCGAAGCUCUGGUUGCCCAAGGCCACUUACAAAGCCCACAAAGCUCUAAUUGUAGGCUGUGCAACUUUUGGAAGGCCUGUUGAUAAAAGAUCAAGCCUCAUAUUCCGAAAAGGACUCAUUUCAGGGGGUUUUCAAGGGAGGGAGAAAACGUGUUCGAUCUCCUAGAGCGGGGGGGGGGGCCCGCACUUUUUUUUUUUUCCACAUUGACUUGGAGAGCCUUGGGUGUAACUCCACGGCCCCAAAUCCUGGGGUGUUCCUCUCUCCCAGACAGGGCGGCCUCUUUCCCAGUUUUCAGGUCACCUGGGUCACCAGGGCCUCGCGGGUCAGUGCGCUUGGGAAGGUCAGUGCACCGGUAGCCGCUGCCAGAGCGCACCAGGUUUAAGAUGAGCCGGGUCCAGGCGGCUGCAGUCCCAUACAUUUUUUUUUUUUUUGGAACUUGCAGCGGUCUCUGUCACCUCCGGGCUGGCUGCGCAUGGGAUGGUUGCUGAUGUGCGCUGGGUACGCAGACUGCGGAUAGCGCAGGGUCAGGCGAGAGCUGGAGGAAUGUGAAGCUCUUCGGUACUUAAGGCGUCAAGGGUCAGGGUUUAUGUGGGGCCAUUCACCGGCCCUUUACCCGCAUUUAUGGGACUGAUGAGACAGUUCUUGAACUCUCCUUUGGGUGUUUACCUCAAAUUUAUUGCUCCUGUAAACAGUAUUAAUCACAGUUGUAUUAACCUUCCCUGGAGCGCUUCCGAGUGUGAAUGGCAGUUCUUGGCCCUGAGAGAUUUCUUUUACUAUGCUUCAAGCUGAGCGGCAAACUUGUGUUCCCUUGGCUUCGCUUUUCCACUCUUUCCACUAGGAAUGGUUUUGGUUCCUAGUGUAAAUGAAUAGUUUUUGCCCAAGGAUGUAAAUCGCGUUUCCAUCAUAAUUGCACAUCGUUGAAAAUUCAUUCAUAAUAGCACCUUGUUGAAUGGUGCAUUUUUUUACAUUGUAUAUUUCCAAAUUAAAAAAAAAAUUAGGGGCCUGGGGUUGUGGCUCAGUGGUAGAGCGCUUUCCUAGCAUGUGUAAGGCACUGGGUUCCAUUCUUACAUAUAAAUAAGUAAAUAAAAUAUCUAAUAAAAAUAUAUUUUUUAAAAAACUUAAAACAUUACUUUUGGCUUUAAGGCCAUCCACUGCCUUUUUAAAAACAUUUAAAAAAACUUUUAAAAACAUUUUAUAACUUUAUUUUAUUUUUUUCCUAUUUUGAAUUUGUUUAUUCUAAUAUGUUCUACAUGACAGCAGGAUGCAUUUCAAUUCAUAGUACACAUAUAGAGAACAAUUUUUCAUUUCUCUGGUUGUUCACACAGUAGAGUCACACCAUUUGUGUCUUCAUACAUAUACCUAGGGUAAUGCUGUAAUGCUGUUCAUCUCAUUCCACUAUCUUUUAUUUAUUUUUUAUGAGGUGCUGAGGAUCAAACUCAGUGCCUCAUCUGUGCUAGGCAAGUGCUCUACCACUGAGCUACAGCCCCAAGCCCCAUCUACUGCCUUUUAACUUUAGGUUUAUUGGCACACUGUUGCCUUCUGGUCCAUAUGACAGAAAGAAAUGUUCUGAAGGAAGACUUGGUGAAUGUAGUAGAGUGGAGUGAAUUGGUUUGUGGGAAACCCCUGGCUAAACUUUACAGAAUGUCAUUUCAAGGGAGGGGAAACAUAGGCCAGUGGUAACAAUAAAUUACAAUUGUGUAAGGCUUAAGGCUUCUAGAGCAAUGUCCCACUCAAUCCUUCUCAAUUUCCCUCCUAGCUUUGUGUGGAGAAUGGCAUUAGCUCCCUGAACACACGGGUGGAAGUGGAGGGUCACACUGGGACACAUUGUUUGUGGUGAAAUCUUAAUUUGGUCUCCUGACAGCCAAUUAUGAGUUGCUGCAGCAUUUCGCCAUUUUUUUUUUUUUUUUUUUUUUGCCUCUAUAACUUAAUCUGGAGUCAUUGAGCAUUAGUGGCAACAAGUGACAUUCAGUGACUGUUACUCAAUUAUUAAAUAUCUGCUUUCUCCUUCUUCCCAUUCAUUUCUGGCCCUUGAUCACCUUUUCUGCUGUAUUUUUGCAGCAUAUAAGUAAUUUUUAUUAUUAAGCAAAAAUUUGACAAAUUAGCUUUAGGGUGGCAAUGAGUGGUAUUACUGGUUUUGCACAAAUGAAAUAAAAGUCCCAAGUAAACAAUUUACUUUUUUCUUUUAUGGUGUGGAAAGUCUCUGAGCAGCCUUGACUUGGAGACCCUUGGAUAAGACCAAUUGUGAAAAAGAACAUUAGAUGUAUCUCUCAAAGGGACUAGUUUUACCCAGGAAAGAAAUCUUUCUCAGGAAAACUUGAUUUUCCAUAAUAAAAAUUUUUAUAUAUUCUUCUGAACAAAGUUUUUGGUUCUUGAAUAUACUAAAAUACACUUGAGAAUUUAACAAGUCUUUUACAGUUUUGUACCCGAAGAAAGGAAGUUAACCAUACAAUAAUCCAUACAUUUUUAGUACUGGUAAAGACAUAUAAAAAGUUAAAAAAAAUUUAUAUUCUCAUAAAAAUCUGGCAGAUUGAUGAUCAAUCCACAUAUUCUUCCCUACUAGAGAGAAAAUGGUUCUUAAAGCUUUAACAAUUUACUAGUUUUCAUCUACUUCAACCACUUUAAUACUUAAAAUUUUUUCUAAUGUAAUUUUGCUCUUAUGAAUAGAAUAUACCUUUUUCCUGACUUGAUCAGAAAAAAGUUAUUAUAGAUUAUAUAUGUCACAUAUAACCAAAUAAUACCAUAUGGCAUAGUUCUCCAAUAUUACAUUAUAAAACAAUAUAUAAAAUAUUAAAUAUUAUAUAAUUAUAUAUUUAAAAAUAGUAAUAUGAUGCACUCUGGAAUUAAAUGAUUGCGUUGUCCAGUCCUGGGUAGCAGUAUAUCCUAAUUCUGAUAUGUGUUUUAAUAUGUGGAUUAAUGUACAUUAUCUGCAAAUGAACGUUUGAAUGUGUUGACUGUUAUAGUCUCAAUUAAAUGAUUAUCAGUUGGCAUUGGGAUAUUCUUAAGGGGGUUAUUAUCAGCAUAGAGGCAGAUUGCUGAACUUAAAAUUGAAUUCUGAUUCUUUUUGGAUUGUUGGGGCAGUGUGUCCUGGGAAGUAUUUGGGGCAGUCUAGUACUCUGAUUAUUGGAGUUCUUAGUGAAAUGGCCAUACUACAGGACAGAAUAUUCAGUUCUUUAGAUUUAAAGAUGCUUCUCACUUGGUUAACCAAGAAUUAGGAUUAUUUUAUCUGAGUGGUACCUAUGUGCAUUCAAAUUCAUGUGAUGAACCUUCCAGAAUAAAAUCUAUGUCAAGUGGGCAUACCAUAUAAUGACCUAGAUUUAUAUGUCUAAUCCAGACCAUUUCUGAGCUUCAGAACUGUAUUUCCAACUGCCUUUAGUCAUCUUCUCUUAGGUAUUUUGGAGGCAUCUCAAACUCAGCAAAUCCAAACCACAUUCAUGAUUUUUUCUUCCCACCAGCUGUCCUUCAGUGUUCCCCAGCUCAGUGAAUGACUCACCGGCCACCUAAUUGGCCAUCCAAAAUUGGGGAGUCAUUCUGCACAUUAGUAUCCUCAACUUCUAAAAUCCAAUCAGUUCACAAAUCCUACUGACCUUCUUUAUUUAAUACCCAAAUAUCCCACACAGAAAACUCAUUUUUCUUUCUACCCACUGUUUAUUGCCUAAUGUUUAGGCAAUAAUCCUGCCCAUAUUAUUAUUAUUAUGAUUAUUAUUUUUAGAGGAACUACCUAGAUAUUGAUAAAUAACACAAUGUGGCCAUUGUUUAUUUAUCUAUUUUUUUUUAGAGAGAGAGAGAGAAUUUUUAAUAUUUAUUUUUUAGUUAUCGGCGGACACAACAUCUUUGUUUGUAUGUGGUGCUGAGGAUGGAACCUGGGCCGCACGCAUGCCAGGCGAGCUCACUACUGCUUGAGCCACAUCCCCAGCCCUGCCCAUAAUAUUAUAAUGGAAAGAUUAGCACAAUAAAUAUUCAAGUGCUCUUUAACUAGUUUCCUCAUUUACUUUACAAUGUUUACUUCCUCUCUUUGUGAGUGCGUAUCUAUGCACAUAUACAUCCAAAUACACAUCAGUGUACAUAUUGAUAGAUCAAUGCUGCCCUGAUUGAAAUUAAGUUGAAGGAAAAUAUUGUCAUACUUCAUUGUUAAAUAUUUCAUCACAUAUCUCCUACAAUCAAAGACAUUCUCCUGUAUAACACCACCAUUAAUUAAUGUUGAAGAAAUUUAUUGCCUAAUGUACACUCCAAUUUCAUAUUUUUGAAAUGAUUUCCAAGAUGUUUUGUUUUAAAAUUUUAUGUGCAAUCAAAAAUUGCAUUUGGUUGUUAUAUCUAUUUAGUCUCCUUUAAUCCACAAAGUUCCCCCUUCCUCAGAAAUUUUAGUUUUCUGGAAGUUGACAGUUUUGGAGUGACUAGACCAUAUGUUUGGAAAACCACCCACUGUCUAGAUUUGUCUGCUCAUGACGGUAAAACUUUGGCAAGAAUACCAUAUAGAUGAUGUAUUAUAUUUUCCAUUGCAUGGUAUGAUGUCCUCUUGUUGGUUAAAUCAAGUCUGAUUACUGGUCAAGGUAGGAAUUUUUCCCCAACAUAUUAUCAUAAAAAAUUUCAAAUGUGUAGAAGAGUUGAAAGAAAUUUUUACUCAGCAUCUAUAUAUCCAUGGUGUAGAUUGUUUAAUUAGCAUUUUGCAUAAUCCUGCUAUAGUUUUUGCUGGUUCCCACAUGUCACUGUGGUCCACCUACAAGUCAGAAUGUCUUUAUAAAAGGACAAUCUGGCCAUGCUUAAAACCAUCUACUGGACCUCUAGCUUCUGAAGACUAGGAGCCUUGACCAGAAACCCUGUCUCUGGUCUUGCCUAACCUUCCUCACCUUGUUGCUCAGAUACAUUGCUUCCUGGCUGACUUCUCUCCAAAAGCACUUCACAUGCUCCAUUGGUCUUUGCACUACUUCACAUGGAAAGCUCGUACUUUUUCUAUUUCCCUUCCUGGCUAAUUAAUUUCUUCUUAUCCUUAAAAACUGAGCUCAAGUAUCAUUUCUUCAAGAAAGCCUUCUCAAUUGCCCAGGGCAGGUCGAAUUCCUCUGCCAUAUGCUUCAUUACUCAGUAAUUCUCCUUUGUAUGUUUGUAGACUAUCAGUAUUGUAAAGAAAUAAUUCAUUGUAUAAUUAAUUGCUUAGUAUCUGUAAGUUCCAUAAUAAUGGAAGCUGUGUUUCUUGUUGGUAAUCAAAUCCCCACUGUCUGGAUCUGUGUGUCUUACACAUGGUAGGCCCUCAAUACAUUUUUGCUGAAGGAAUAGUUACUAUAAAUAACUGUAUGUACCUAUGUGUUUAUAUGUAUGUGUAUAUAUAUAUAUAUAUAUAUAUAUAUAUAUAUAUUUGUGUGUGUGUAAGUGGAUAUUUUGGAGCUUGAAGGAUCUUUUGAAAGAUAGCUUCCUAUCCUUUAGUUUAUAUACUUUAAAAUAUGCUUCUAGAAUGUUCUCAUCCCCUAAACUUAUUUUUAAAAAAUGUCUCAGUGGUGGUAUAAAGUACUAUAUAAAUAUAAGGGAUUAUUAAUAUCCUCUUAACAGGAUACAUAUGUUUAUGUGUGUGUGUAUAUCUAUAUCUAUCUGUGUGAACAUAUGUAUGUAUGUGUGUAUAUCUAUAUCUAAGAUAGAUAUAAAUAUACACACAUACAUACAUAUGUACACACACAAACAAAUCAAUGCUUUUUCUUUUCUUUUUAGGCAUUGAUGCCAGGCUGAACCACCAAACAAAGUAGAAAGUCUUAAAAAGGACUUGGGAAAGUCUUUGGAUUGCACUGAAACUCAGCCAGGAUGGCCAAGUAUGGAGAGCACGAAGCCAGGUCCGAUGAUGGGCAGAGUGAGUUCAGUGACAUCAUUAAGUCCAGAUCUGGUAAGUCAUGGAAGCCCAAUAUAAUUCUGGAUUUUUAUGCAGAAACUAUUUAGAAGACAUAGGUUUCUUGGCUUGUUUUGCAUUGCUCUUGUGAGGCAAACUUCUUUUCAGAAACUUAAUUCUGACAAAUGACCAUUAAUUUGUCAAAGGUAAUAUAAUGUCUCUGCGUUAAUUUCUUGAUCCAAUUUUGUCUCAUUGCAUGUUGACUGGUAUUGCUUGGUGAAACUGGUACUUGUAGCUAAAUGCUGUUUGGGAAUAAAACUGCCAUUAAAAUACAGAAACAUGCCUGAGCAUUUUCUUCUGUAUUUUUGAAAUUUGAAGGGAAUUAUAUGCUUAACAUAGGAAGUACCAUCAUUUCUGGGAGGAAGGAUCUCCUAAAGGAUUGAUUCCAUUAACAGUAUGCUCACCUCCCAUCUCUCUGGGUGGCUAGUGCUUGGCCAACAGGCACCCUACCUUCGCUCCCCUUUUGAACCUUCUCAAGGUACAGUGUUCCCCUAAAUAACCAAAUCAACUGGACCAAGACAGAUGAACAGUUUUCAUACAAACACUGGGGACCUCAGGAUACCUCUCUUUCCCUAGUCUUAUGUAACUGAGUGCUUUUUGAUGCCGGCUGUACGAAUGAAUCAACUGGGGAGAUUUUACAAAUGCAGAUGUGUUGGCUCUACUCCAGACCUAUUGAAUAAAAAUUACUGUAAUUUUUAAAAAGCUUCAAUAUGAUUCUGAGACUGGCUUAAAGGGGAGAUAUUUUUGAGCAGGCAGGGCCUUUUGGAGCUUUCCAAAUUACACAGAACUUUAUGCUGGGUGUGAACACUAUACUUAAGUAACUUUGAGAGUUACUUUGAGGUACAAAAUUACAUCCACUGUCACUUUAAAAAAGGAACUCAAAGCCUGUUUUGGCUAUGUGAGCCAUCCAUAUAUUAUGGUAGGAGCUUAUUUCUUAUUUGAAACUGCAGGUAUAUGCGCUGAAAAUAAGACCUCAUUCAAUAUUUUAGGAUACACAUUUCCCUCCACAAUACCGGUGUUGGCUGGUUGGUAAAGAUUUGGGAUAUUAGAGACUUUGCUGUAAAUGUGUAAGUGGAUAUUUUGGAGCUUGAAGGAUCUUUUGAAGGACAGCUUCCUGUCCUUUGGUUUAUACACUUUAAAGUGUGCUUCUAGAAUAUUCUCAUCCCCUAAACUUCUUCUUCUUCUUUUUAAAAUGUCUUAGUGGUAUAAAGUACUAUAUAAAUAUAAGGGAUUGUUAAUAACCUCUUAACAGUGCAGACGAUAUUCAGAAAUAUGUAAAGGUGAUAAAGAGGAAAAUGAAGGAGAGACUAUUUAUUUAAUGUCUCCAUAUUGUUCAUGUUUUAUGAAUUGUGAGGUGUUAUGAUCCUAGAUAGUUUCAUGAGUCAACUUCCGUUACACUAAGACCUUUGAUAUUUAUUACUGGUACUUUGUCCAUGUCCAUUAAAGAGUAAUUAUGUAAGUUUAAAAAUACUGGGUAUAGAUGAUAAGCAUAUAAACUUCCAACAUAUUCUUUAAAUUUAAAGUUGUUGUUUAUGUGGGCUAACUCAUACAUUGUUAGGGGAUGUUUUGGCAAAAAUUAUAACUUUUGUUUUUGGUGCUGAGGAUUGAACUUGUUUUUAACAAGGUUAUAUUAAUUAGUGAAGUAACUCUAUUUUGAGAGUUUUCCCAUAGGCAGUGCAUAUAAAUGCACAUUCAAGACAUUGAUCACAGCAUUAUUUAUAAUACAAAAAGUGAAAAACCAUAAAAAACCCAAUAUCGGGGAUUGGUUAGGUUAUUAUUGCUCAAAGUAUUUUGAAAGGUUCUCAAGUUCUAAGGUUAAUGUGUAAUUCAAAAAGAAUAUCACAGUCACAUAACUUGGAAAUAGUGGUAGGCUUAUUCUGUUUUUUUUGGGGGGGGGCGUUGAGUGGGGAGGAAUCAGGGAUUGAACUCAGGGUCACUCGACUACUGAGCCCUAUUUGGUAUCUUAUUUAGAGACAGGGUCUCAUUGAGUUGCUUAGCGCCUUGCUUUUGCUGAGGCUGGCUUUGAACUCGCAAUCCUCCUGCAUCAGCCUCCCCAGCCGCUGGGAUUAUGAGCAUGUGCCACUGUGCCUUGCUCACUCUGUUUUUUUACUGUAGUGCACUGAACAGAUUAUAUAGAACCUCAAUGGAGCUAAUUAAAUCAGUGUAUACCCAUAAAGAAGAUUAUGCAUUCAAAAAAAUUGAUAAGGAUAUGUGUGUGGGCUGGGGAUGUGGCUCAAGCGGUAGCGCGCUCACCUGGCAUGCGUGGGGCCCGGGUUCGAUCCUCAGCACCACAUACAAAGAUGUUGUGUCUGCCGAAAACUAAAAAAUAAACAUUAAAAAAUUCUCUCUCUCUCACUCUCUCUCUUUAAAAAAAAAAAAAAAUAUGUGUGCAUGUGUGUGUGUGAGUACAUGUAUAAACAUAGUAAUUUGUUCUCAAUAUAUUGUUAAAAUAUGUAAUAUGUGAAUUUAUUCUUAUGAAAAAUAUAACAAAAUUAGUGGGGUGUAAACUAAAAUGUUAAAACUGAUCAUCUCUGUACUUUGGGAUUAUUAUUUUUCUCUUUUUUGUCUGUAUGUAUUUUCUAAAGCUCUUUGGCAACCUCUAUUGCUUAAUUAUUGUAUUUUAAAAGACUCUCAAAUUGCCUGUAGUGUUUUAAUGCCAAAGUUAUUACUAUUACUUUUUUCUUAAAAAGUAUCUACUUCAAAACACAUUGAAAAUUUAGCUGUUGCAUAGCUGAGAUAUGAAUCUCAUUCUUUUUGGUUGGAUUAUGUUGCAAAACCGAAUAGAUAAGUUUGGAUUUGAAUGAGGCUGUUAGUCUCAGUCUUUCUUUCUGGGAAGAUAGUUUAAGAAUUUUUUAAAAGGUAAAUUCUUUGCAUACAGUGGUAAUAUGGUUCUCCAAAAUUUAUAUAUUAUUAAGAGAUUUAAAAAAUUUAAUACCAUAGGCAUCAUCUACACACAGUAUAUAUUUUUUAAAACAUUAUUCUUGAACAUGGUCUGUGCUGAAUUUAUUGCUUUUUCCUUUUUUUUUUUUUAAGGAAAGAAUUGGGCUGUAGAUAGAGCUCAGUGACAGAGCAUGUGCCUGUCACGCACCAGGUGCUGGGGUCAAUCUCCAGCAAUGUAAAACAAUAACAACAAACAAGUGAACAAACGAAAAUGGAAUAUUUUCUUAUUGGAGAAUUUUGAUUGUAAUCCACUAUUCUAGGUUUCUUCCUUUUGGGGUUUGAAUGAGGCGGCAGGAGGAGAGAUUGGGGUGGAAAAAUGUAAUGUCGAAAAUAUAUUGACCAAUUUAAAGUUUUGGUUUAUGAAGAUUCUUCUGUUCUCCCCAGAUCCCUGAGUUUGGACAGUCUAAAAGCCUGGCAUAAUAAAAUAUAUAUGCAUUUUGUGUUAAGUUAUUGGGAUUAUUUAUUGCCCUCAUUCUGUUUUAGUUCGCUUCAUGCUGUUUAAGGUUUUUUAUGUUUAAAAGCUAUUUCCACCAUCUAAACAGAAAUACGAAGCUAUCAGGGAUAGGUAAUGGAAUAGUUUCAUGAAUAUAAAAGCCAUAUACUUCUUUAUGGUUGUAGUACAUUUACCCUGGAUUUGAGUGAAGUAACUGGAAAGAAUUUGAUCUUUAAUGAUCAAGGAUUGGAGAUUGGGUAAAAGUAGGUUUUUCUCUCCUUAAAGGCAUAUAGUCAAGUUUGUCAUCAAUGACUAUGUUAUUGACAGCCUUAGCAGGCUUCAGAAAGCUUAACAAGGUAGUAAAGAUUUUGAGACAGGAGGCCAAGAAUAAUAAUUUUUUAAGUGAAAUACAUUGCCAGUGGAGUAUGUGAUGCAUGAGCUUCUGCUUGGAACAUUGUAAAAUAUGAAAUAAUACAAGGGUUGCAGAUGCACAUAAAAUCAAAGAAUGUCAGCCCUGCUGUUUCAUUCGGUCAGUAACUAACCUACCUGAAAGCUAAUAAUAGAGACUUGUCAUCCUCUCCUGUUCUCGGUGCUGUUGUGGAGAGUUUGAGCCCAAAGGGUAGCUCUUAGAGCUAAGAAGAGUGUGUCAGCAAGCUCCAAGUGGAGAUUUGGACAGUUAGGGGUUUAGGUGAGAGAGGGCCGUGAAGUGGUGGGGUGCACUCUACAUUGUGGUACCAUGCACCCUUUAAAAAGCCUUGGACAGAAAGCUGGAGUGUCUCAGUGGUAUCAUUUCUUUCUUCACUUCCUGUAUUCUUGUCUAAUCCUGGGAUAAUUGUUGAGGGAAUUUAGAAGCCAUAUAAAUCAUGCCUUUGACAGGGCACCUUGCUGCUAAUGAUGGGAUGACACUGAUGAUGAUGAUCGUGAGAUUCUAGCAUCUUCUACUCGUUUUAUUGUAUUUGGUAGUAAGGAUUGAACCCACAGGCAUUUUACAACUAAGCCACAUCCCCAGGCCUUUUAAAAAAAUAUUUUAUAUAGAGACAGGAUCUUGCUGAGUUGCUUAGGGCCUCGCUGAAUUGCUGAGGCUGGCUUUGAAUUCUUGAUCCUCCUGCUUCAGCCUCCCAAGCUGCUAGAUUACAGGUGUGCACCAUGGUGCCUGGCUUUUGUUUACUUCUUUUUUAAUUUAGCAUCUUACAUUUACUGGACACAUGCUAGGAGCAGAUAUUCUGCUCAGUGUUCAAUUUUUACAACAUUGUUUUAAAGAUGACAAACACCAGCUAUACAGAAGUGCUUUGCUGCACUGGCCUUCUUUCAUUUUCUUGUUAGUGCCUGCCCCCGGGGCCUUUACACAUACCACUUUCCUUCAUCUUUGUCUGAUGCCUUUGGAUCUAGGCUUAAGUGUCAUCUCCUGAGAGAUCUUCCCAGCUGGCUUUGGAAAGCAGCUCUCCCAGUCACUUUUUUUUUUAUUAAUUUAUUUGUAUUUUUUAAAAAAUUAUUUAUUUAUUUCAAUUAGGUAUAUAUGACAACAGAAUGCAUUUUGAUUGGUUGUACACAAUUGCAGUACAACUUUUCAUUUCUCUGGUUGUACACGAUGUAGCAUCCCACUAUAGGUGCAGUCAUACAUGUACUUAGGGUAAUAAUGUCCAUGGAGCUCCACCAUCUUUCCUACCCCCAUGCCCCCUGUCCUCUCCACCCUCCCCUUUGCCCAAUCAAAGUUUCCCAGUCACUCUUGACUGCACCACUACAUUUAAGUUUCCUGUAUUCUUAUUGCCGUCUGGUGCUUUUCUUGUAUGAUGUAUUGGUUAAUAUCCUUCCCACUAAGAAUUUAACCUCACAAGAGCAGGGACCUAGAUCUCCCUGGUACCAAGCCCAGUGCCCAGCUCAAGUAGGUGAACAAUAAAUGUUUAUUCAAUAAAAAUUGCUCCAGAGCUUGAAAACGUCAGAGAUGGGAUUAGAUGGAGGUGUUGUGAUUUCAGAAACUCUGCCUUUGACCUCUGUGUAGUACUCAGUCUUCUAAUUUACAAGGCAGUUGAUUCUGUUGAUGUUGGUGGUUCUUCAUUUUGUAUUUGUCCCUUGCAAAUUUGUCCUGUAUUAACUGUAUCUAGACAGUCUUUCUGCCUUUUCCUUCAUAGUUACCAAAGUUGGGCUGAGAGGCAGAGCUUCUCUAGGUCCCUGAUUGGCCUCAUAGCCCUGCCAAGGGAGGGACAGUUGUAAGAGACAGAACUGCUCCUUCUGGGCCUGUUGAGGUCUUCCUUGAUUUUUUUUUUAAAGAUGUUUAUUUAUUUUUUUAGUUGUAGUUUCACACACUAAAUUUAUUUAUAUGUGGUGCUGAGGAUCGAACCCAGGGCCUUGCACGUGCUAGGCGAGCGCUCUACCACUGAGCCACAAACCCAGCCCUUCCUUGUUUUUUGACAUUGGUUUCUGUCAUUCUCUGUUGAGAGGUGGCAGAGGGGAAGAUACCAGAGAACAGGCAGUCCUUUGGUUGAAAUAGAGAAACUGAUAAUCUCUUUCUGACGUGAAUUCCCUUUUCUCUUUUCCUCUAACUGUUGCGUAAAGUUUUUAACUGGCUGGUAGAAAAGGUAGUGGAUUUCAGAUGUCCUAACAUUUGGCACAGGUUAAGCCCUGGUCUGAUGCCCAGAUAGGUAACUGUGGUAUUGAAAGAGUUGAUACAGGAGUGUGGGAAGAAGAGAGGCCAGUGAAAUCAGACAAUUCUUUAAUACAGACUAUUAUACCUGGUUACAUUUAUAGCAAGCCUUGUGGAAGUAUGCUGUGUUUACAAUAAAGUAAAAUCAUCUAAUAAGAUUCAGUGUGAUGCAAAUUAUGUGGAAGAUGACCUUUGUUGACCUUGCAGAGCUCUUUCUUUAGGAAAAGAGGGUGACUGAGUGGUAUUUAGGGAGUCAUUGGUCUACUUCUCUCUCUUAAGUUUAAAAAAGCAUCUAUGAGGGUAUUUUUCUAAAUAGCUUAAGGGACUGUGAAAAAUAACUCAUUUUUCCUCCUAAAGCUUUACUGGGCUGGAAUUCCUGUGCUUUAAAGGCAUGUCUUUGAGUAGGUUUUUUUUUUUCCAUGAGCCCUAGGGAUUUGUGGUGAUGGACAGGAACCCUGGUGGAAAUUCAACUCUGGUGGAGGAGAGCAGCUAUUCUUGUAAUGCCUAUAAAAUUCUUGUCCAUAUUGUCACCACAUUAUGCUGAAGCAGUGCAGUCGUAAGAAAGUUUUCUGUAUUAAUGCGAUUCUCAUGACCUGUUACUCUGACGGUGAAAGCUGCAGAGACGAUAGAUCCAUUCACAACCGGAAAAUGUGAAUUGCUUAGAAUGAUUCUAAGCAAAGGAAGUGCAUUAAUUAUAGAGACAGAAUGGAAAACUCAAUUUUAUUGAACCUCAUGUGAACCCAGAAGUUUGCACUAGAUGCUGAUAUGAUGAUUUUUUUUCUGGGAACAAGGGAACAUACACGCUCAUUUAACAGUUGUAAAUAUUAGUUAAAAUUUAAUCUAAAGCAAUGAAGAAAGGGGACGCAGGUGGUUUUAGAUGCAUUGGCCAGAUUUUUUCCCCCUUAAACUGUGUGUGGAGGAGAAGCAUUUGAUAUUAUUAUCCUGUUUAUCUUUUCGUAUGCCUGAACUGCUUGAUAAGAACUACACUCAAUCCAACAUUUAUACUGUGAGUCAGUGUGAGUUUUUAAUGUAUAUUUUCUCAUGAGAUGAUGGCUUCUGGACCCAGGAAUGGAAAGUGGGUUUCUCUCCUUUCACUUUUGCUUGCUUUAUUUCUGGAUUGACCUGUCACCUCCAGGAGGCAGAUAUAGCUUCUGGCUUCCAUGUAUGUCUGGUCCUCAAUUUGUGCCUUUGAAUUAAUCACCAGAUACCUAAGGUUUAUUUGUGUCAUGUGGGGCUUCUCUAUCAGAAAUGUGUUCACUUGUCCCAGUUAAUAAAAAUUGUUUAUAUAUACUCAUCUGGCAGCUAAUGUUAAGGUGUGGGGUGGUACAAUUUUUCAUCAGUUUUGGAAAUUUGGUUUCUUAAAAAAAUUACCAGUUCUAUCAUGGCAGUUGAGCUCAAUGAUACAAAAAGCACAAGAAUAACAACUGAUUGAUCGAUAUUUUCAAAUUUAUGUUUUUUUGUGUGUGAGUGUGGGCUGUCUGGCUGGCAAUUAUUAUUUGUGUCCAGUUUGAUAAUUUUAACAAUUAUGUAACAAAACCUUUUUUUCAAAGAGUUGGGGAGAAAAAAAAAACACAUAAUGACAUUUCUGAUAUAGCAGAGAAGUCCAUUAAAAAAAUAUGAUUUUGUGUCUCUGAAGUGAUACAGCUUUUAUCUGUUUAGGUCUUCUGUAAUUCCAUAGAGUUGAUAUUUGUAGGGGCUGAGGUUGUGGCUCAGUGGUAGAGUGCUUGUCUCACAUGUGUGAGGCCCUAGGUUCAAUCCUCAGCACCACAUAAAGAUAAAUAAAAUAAAGGUAUUGUGUUCAUCUACAACAUAUAUAUAACAUAUAAUUUGUAAAUUUCUUCAAUUUUGUUUUCUAAAUAAGAUUUUGGUAUAUGGUAUUACAUGAAGAGGAUUGUGGGGUGAAAUACAUAUUGAGGUUGACUAGUUCUCUUGUUCCCAUAGAUGAUGUGAGUGGCAUUAUCUAACAUUAAUUCCAUAAUUACAUAGAUUUAUGCAUAUGUUUUUAUUUUGAGUUUGUCAUGUAUGGAAUUCCUAACUCAGGCUGUAUGUUGGAAGUGACCUUCUGGAUUCUGACUCACUUAGGUGGGAUGGGGUCUUGGCAUUAGGAGGUUUUUUGUUUGUUUGUUUUGGUACUGGGGAUUGAACUCAGGGCAUUCGACCACUGAGCCACAUCCCCAGCCCUAUUUUGUAUUUUAUUUAGAGACAGGGUCUCACUGAGUUGCUUAGCGCCUCGCUUUUGCUGAGGCUGGCUUUGAACUUGCAGUCCUCGUGCCCCAGCCUCCUGAGCCUCUGGGAUUACAGGAUUACAGGCCUGUGCCACUGCACCCAGCUACAUCGGAGUUUUAACAAGUCCCCUGGGUUAUUCUCUCUAGCAUUGUUGGUUUAUACACAAGAAAGGGAGGUUUGACACUCUGAAUCAAAGUAAAAGUAGUCUGCAUUUCAGAGGAGCAAGGAAAGUUAUAGUCAAAUGUUUAUGAUUUUUAAAAAAACUUGUAAAUACUUUCCUUUAAACAAUUAAAAAAGUUAAUGGAUGCUUUUUCUUGGUCCCGGUGUUUUGAAAGUUGUGGUUUAUGCUGAGUGAAGGUAAAACCACGGAAAGUGGGUCAGGAGAUUGCAAUGUGGGGCUGUUUCUUAUUGUGGCCCAUUGAACCAGAAGACGUCACGAGAGUAUUUCAGACUGGAGUAUUUCUUCAUUGAGUUCCUCAGUUGCCACCUCAGUGUGUUAAGCCUCUACCUCCUGGGAGUCUAACGUCUCAUCCUGGGUUCUUUUCCUAGGUAAUACUUGAACAUGGAGUUCUGAUCAAUUCAUUGUAAAGCUUCUCAUGUGCAUUUCCUAAGACAUCAUUUGCAAGACAUGUGUUUGUAACUUGUGGUAGGAAAAAAAAUUCUCCCAUUUACACUCUGUUCAAAUUUUCUUAUCUUAAGUUCAGAGAAAAGUAUAUUUUCCUCCCUGUUUUUAAAAUUCUGGGUGAUUUCUGGUAAUUUUAAUAUAACUAUGCUUCCUUUUGAUAUGAAAUAAUUUGUCUAUCAUUCUUUUAAAAUAAGUGAAUUUAAAAAGAUGAAUGAUGAUUUUUAAAAAAAAAAUAUUUAUUUUUUUAGUUGUGGUUGGACAUAAUACCUUCAUUUUAUUUAUUUAUUUGUUUAUGUGAUGCUGAGGAUCUAACCCAGGGCAUCGCAUGUGCCAGGUGAGUACUGUACCACUGAGCCACAACCCCAGCCCGAAUGAUGAUUUUUAUGCUAAAGAUGAACUAAGGAGUUAAGUGGCUCAGAGACCACCAUGGCAAGUACCCUAGGGGUCCGGAUGUCCUUAUGGUUAGUUAGCCAAACUGAGCUAAACCAAACCAAACCACAAACCCCAAAUCUCUUACAGACCUUGGGUUAUUUGCAGGUACCUUGGGUCUGAUUUCUUUGAAGGCACAGGAAGGGAUUUUAAUUUCUUCAUUGAUUCAACAACCUUCAGGGUAAUUUGAGAUACACAUUUGCUUCUCUUUAUGUCAAUGUGUGGGACUGGAGAUCACAUUUUAGAAUUUAAUGGGAUCUGUUCCUGAGACAGACUUAAGAUUGGGAAUCUAAAAAGGAGCCCCUGGUGGAGCCCACUUGAGAUGAUGGUCUAUGUUGGAUCAAGGAUUUUUGUGAGAUGUUGGCCAUCUUACAAUGUGGGGGUAAGUUUUAAAGAAAAAGGAGGAAGUUAACUGGUAAAAUCUACACCUCAACACAUACACUUACACUUGACCCAUUUCUCAAAGUGGAUUGUUACCAGUUUUGAAAUUUUAUAUUGUCUUCUAAAUUUUAGCAAGCAGUUAUCAACUGGAUGGGAGAGUGUCUUCCUUCCUUCCUUCCUUCCUUCCUUCCUUCCUUCCUUCCUUCCUUUUCUUUCCUACUGGGGAUUGAGUGCAGGGCCUUGUGCGAGGGAGGCCAGCACUCUGCACUGAGCUAUUUCCCCAGUCCCGCCUGACUUUGAGUCUUAUUUGAUGUCAAAGUCUCCUGGUCUUACCCCAAAGCCCAGCUUCUGGGGCACUUGUAAAUAAAACUCUGUAUGUGUUCUAGUUUACUGCUACCACAUGAGAUCCCUUUAAAUGUUUAGACAUACUAUAGAAUGGAGAAAUGUUAACUUCUAUGUUUUUAAAUGUGGUAUUGAGGGUCAGUUCCAUAGCAUGUGACAUGUUAGACUCUUAAUUAUAUAUAACUCCCAUUAUAAGACUAACUGUAUAGAAGAAUGAGUGGACUUGAAUUAUUUUUAACUUGCAUGUGCAUUUCAAGAGAUGCUACCAGUUAUGUUAGGAGGGUAUCCAUAUUUGGAGAGCAUACACAUGUGUAUACACUUUCUAUCUGUCUCAGGGAAACCUUGUGCAUUUGGGGCAGGAAAAGUGUUAUUCCGGGGGCAUCAGGGCAGACAGCCCAGGGAGGAGAACUCAGUGUGCCGACUUUAGUUGUUUAUUUUUUGGUGCCCGAUAUUGAACCCAGGGGCUCUGUAACAUUGAGCCACAUCCCCAGCCCUUUUUAUAUUUUAUUUUGAGACAAGGUCUCCCUGAGUUGUUUAGGUCCUCACUAAGAAUUGCUGAGGCUGAUUUUGAACUGGCGAUCCUCCUGCCUCAGCCUUCCCAAGCUGCUGGGAUUACAGGUAUGCAUCACCAUGCCCAGCACUGUGCCAACUUUAGAUGAGACAUUUAAGGCAGUGUAAAUCCAUCCUACCUUUCUAGCAUCAUUGCCCCUCACCCCCAUCUCACAUUUUGUCCCCCACACCACUGUUAAGAGGCCAGCAGGGUCAUGUGAAGACCAUCCGUGGUCAUUCUCCUGCUUCUGCUUGUUUUGGUUUCUGUGCCUGGUUCUUCUCUCCGCCCUAUGAUUUGGAAACCUUCAUCCUUGGAACAUCAGCAUAAAUGCCACAAAGCUUUUUUCUCUCUGAUCACUGUGCCAGUAUUGAUCUUUCCUUCUUGUUCACUCUUUAUUUCUAUUUUCGGUUCUUCUGACUUUUGGAUAUGUGUGUGUUUUCCUCAUUUGAAUUUUUUGAUGUCAGCAUUUGGCUGAGUCUACACACACAGUAAGUGCUCAAUAAAGGCUUACUGGGAUCUUUUAAUGGUUUUGCAAAAUUAGAUGAGUGUGCAUACAUCUUAUUAGUCCAGCCAAUGGUUAUUGCCCAGACACUGUUGCUAGAUGCUCGGUGCAGAGGUGAGCAAGACACAUUUCUCUUCCUGUUGUGCACUCUGGCACAACAGACUGAUGGAAAUGGAAAGCAUAAACAGAUAUUUUUGUGCAAAAAUCAGUGCAUUAUAUAAAAGGCAGCGAAAACAUGGUAGUAAGGACAGCUCUUUCCUGCGGGAGGGAGGGUAGGGUGAGUAGGAGAGGACCCUAACAAGGGGAAUUUGAGGUGGGUCUUGAAAAAGGCAUAGGAGGCAGGCAGGUGGACAGUGGGGGGGGGAGAACAUUAUAGCUGAUGGAAAAAGAACAGCGUGUUUUGAGUCAGUAGAUGGUACUUGAACGUGGCUGGAGUAAUGGGGGUGAUGGGAGAGCUUAGAGUCAGAUUUUGAAAGUUGUUUAGAGCAGACUAAGGGAGUCACUACAGGUUUUGAAGUGGGUUAAUGAGUGGCUCAUGACUGUUUAUCAGACAGAAAACUUGGGUGGCAGCAUGAAUGAUUAAUAUAGAAGGCAGAGUUUUGGAGAGAGGCCUGGAGCAGGUAAAACUGUGGUUAGAGUAAAUGUUGAGGUUGGAGCUUUUGGGGACUUGGGCAGAGUGGUCCAGGUGGAGGUGGAGUGAGGGAAGGGUUUGAAAGACGGAUAGCAGUUAGUAACAGCAUGUGUAAAGCCUCAAUGUAAACUUCAUCUUUCUGGCACUUGUUUUAUAUCUUUCAUUUAGGCAUAUCGUUUUUCAAAUCGUACUGUAGCUCAGAUUUUCAAAACUAGUUAGGAUCUUUUCCCUCCGAUUCGAUUUUCUUAACUUGAUUUCCUUCUGAACAUUUUAGAGUUAUUUCUACUCCUUAGUCAACUAUUCCUAUUUUUCUCACAUUACCUUUUGGUCAAUUUAUGGGUGAAUUUAAAUUGGAUUAAGUUUUGAGAGUAUUUCAAUUUUUUUCUAUACACAUUAUGAAAGAUAGGUUAUACUUUAUGAAAAACUAGACCAAAUAAAAGGAGAAAAAAAAGAGAAAGCGUGUUCAUGUUUGGAAAGGUAGUAGCAAAGAAAAGUGAUAUUAAUCUCGUUUCAAAGUGCAGAUAAUAGUCUUUAACAGAAGAAAAUCUAUAUGCAAAAAGAGACUGGAAAACUAUUUCAGUGCAACUUUAAUUGAAGAGUAGAGUGUUUAAUGUGAUGCUGUGAAGAUAAUGUCAUCCUGUAUUAGUAAUUCCAGCUUCAACAGAGAGGAUAGAGUAAAUGCAAAUUAAAAAUAAAUUAAGAGCAGAUGUUGGAAAAUACCUUUCAUUUAGGGAAUAAUUAAAUGGUGGAAAGGUCAUUGGAGUUUAGUCAAUAAAGCUGGGGUGCUCAGAAAUCAUAAUGAUUCCUCCAGCAGAUGCUUUACUCAUUGUGGGGCUGUGCUGCAGAGGUUUUGGGAAGAGACUGCUAUUGUCAUGCUGUUUUUAAGUUUCAUCUUUCCAAUCCUUAUAAUCAACAAUCUAAAUUCUAGCAUGUAAGCUGGUAUUUCAGAAAUGGUGGUUCCCUUUGCCUUUAAGAAUAAACAAAGUUUCUUGGCUGAAAACUCUUGCAAGCACUGUUGUGUUGUGUAUUGGCGAUUCCUAGGUUUUGUUUGGCAAAAUGAACAGCAUUGUGUCACCUCAUCCUACUGUGGGUUAGGUACUUGGAUCUGGAUAGGGUGAACAUGACAUGAGUUCCAACUGUCCAGUGUCUGCCACUUAAGGAGGACAGUUACAGAGGAUUUUAAGAGGACAGAGGAAACAGGGAGGUAUACAGUUCUAAAAGUGAAGCAGCACAGGUUGCCACUUGAGCUCAUCAGAAGGGUAUCUGGUACCCAGGAGCCUCAGGAAAGAGAUCUUAGAAGAAUGGAUUAUGUGAACUGAGAUCUCAAGAGUUAGUACGAGGUAGAGAAAGCUUGGGGAGGUGGGGAGGGCUGAGGUAGAGGGAAUUGAUGGCAGAUCAGAGAUUUAGGGGUGAUAAUUGGGGAUUGGACCCAGGGCCACUUUGUUUUGUUGUAGUUUUAAAAUAGGGCACCAUUGGAUCCGCAAGGGCUUUGACACUGGGAUGGCCCUCCAAAGGUUUUCCAGGUUGAGAUGAUGGUAUUGAAUCUUUGGACCCAGAGCUUGAUCCGUAGGCCUUGGCUGGCCCUGGGAAAGACGCGAGAUGAAGGAUUGGGUAAGGUAGCUAUGCUGAGCUAGCUAGGGCUGCAGCCCAGGCCAGUAGCCAAGGAAUGAAACAUUGCCAUGGGCCUGGAAGGCAGCUCUGUGUGACGAACCCCAAGAUCCACUGCAGUCCUAUUCCUGUGUCACUUUGUUAUUAUUAUUAUUUUUUUAAAAAACUAAUCUCUAGGAACAGAAUUCCAUGAACUAUACACACUCACGAGAGUGCACACCCAGUGUGUAAACAUACCACCUGCCACACCAUAAACCUUAACUACAGUACCAGGUCAUACACUUACUGUUUGGUUUUUGGCAAUUGGAGAUGCCCUCCUUUCUCUGGGCCUUCCAAAACCAGGAGCUUAUGUGGGGUUUGGAAGGCCCUGCCACCCCUGAAAGGCUUUAAGCAGAAGGUUGAUCUGAUUGGAUUUGCCUACAGAGUCGAGUUCUAGCUGUGUCAUGGAGGAUGGAGAGCACAGGUGUUGGUGCAUGGCUGCGGUCCCAGAGGGUCAUUGGGUGGCCAUCACCGUUGAAGAGUAGGAGGUAUUAGAGGCCUAGACUAUGGUGGUGGCAGUGUGGGAGGGGGAGAGGGGAGGCUUUGAACGCUUUAGGUAGGAGAUAGGUGCCCCAAUGGUGGUAACAGGUGUGGUGGAGAGGGAGACAGCUGGAGAGGGAGACGCCUGGCUUUUGGCUUUAGCACCUGGUAAGUGAAGACAUUCCGUCAGGGUUUUGAGGGGGAAGGGCAGUAAUUGGGGUACUCGAGAGAGUUCAUGGUGCCUGAGAAGUAUUUAGGAGAUACACACGUGUGACCCUCCCCCCACAUCUUCUCACAUGUAUGAGAUUGGGUUGGGCUGGGGUCAGUCUUUGAAAAUUGGCAGCUGGAGUCUUGACUACUUUCCUCAGUAAUUUGUGGGGAUCUUUUAAAGAUGUUACGAAAAUUUCGUGUAGAAUUGUGUUGUGGGUUUUAUUUCUCUCUGUAUUUUCUGGGAUUUUUGACUGACCCUAAAUUGAACCUCUGGAAGGGGGAACUUGAAAGGUGGUAGUUGGUGACGGUGGAAGAUGGCAGAAAGUGGGUUUUGAUUUUUUAAUAUUUUUGGCAGGUAUGGAUACAUGACCCCUUCGUUGUCCUUAUUUAAAUGCCAGGGCCAUAGGAAGGUAUCUGGUAGGUAAUAUUCUGGUUAACUUAAUUGGGGAACUUGGGGAAGAUGAGGAGAGUUAUCAAUAAAUGCCUGCAGUAUCUAUAAAAUUUUUUACACUUGUCAUUCUACACAUUUUCUGGAAAAGUGUGUCCACAGCUUUGUUUAUAUUCUCAAAGAAAAUCCAUGAACCACUGAGAAGUUAAGGCUUAGGACAGGAAAAGUGGCCAAUUAUCAUGGCUGUGUCCUCGGGGUGCUUCUGUCUUUUCUGAUGGGAAUUGAAUUGGCAGUCUGGCAUUCUGAGUGAGUUCAGGGUCUCACAUUAUUGCUGUCGUGCAAAGCCUGGGUCUUACUUUGCUUCUGGUAUCUCAGAGCCAAUUUUGAGCAGAGGAUCUGAUUGCUAGGAUUAGGGUGAGUACACAGAGUGUGAAGGACAAAAUUUGUGAUAAUGUUUGACCCAGUUUUGCAUAUAAUGAAUUUUUAUUUGUUGAUGAAUCUUUCCCUUUUGUUGCUAAAAGUGGAAAAUAAUCAGACAUAAAUCACUAAUUAACAGUCUGGUUCAGAUUUUUUUUUUAAAAUUAAUGGAACCUAGGCUUCAUCAAGUUCAGGUGGAGUGGGUAUCACAAUACUUUAUGUUUUCUGACAAACAAAGGAAGUUUCUUCAUCAAAAACGUGUGUCUGUUUGUCAUGACCACCUUUCACAGUCCAUCUUUUAUCCCACUCCCUCAUACUACCUGAGAGGGGGGCAGUGGCCCAUAUCAGACCAGAUCCCCCAGCUUAACUCCUCUACCAUCAACUUGCAUUUCCAAACAAACCUCCUUGUUGAGAUGUCCCUCCCUGUUGCCAUGGCUCGCUGUCAUUUCCCAGUGAUUUCAGCUCCUGGUUCAUUGUCAUCUCUAAAGGUUACUCUUGUUUCAGUGAUUGCAAUGUAGACAUAGAUGAUUCCUCCACCUCUUGGUUUCUUAAAUUUCUCUUUCUAGUCAUCUCAUCUUCCACUCUGUGGUUAUAUCCCACCAUCAUUGAAAAUUGUGGCCUCUUCAUAAUCUGAGUUUUAAGUGUCCCACUUUCUACCCACCAUGUCCUGUACUUCUAGAUCAUUUUCUCUUGUAAACUCAGCAACUUCUUGCUCUGGGGUCUCUAAUCCAUCAAUACUUCUUACUACCUGAUGCUGUCCCUCAUCCUCUGCUGUCUUUCCUCCGUGGGCCCUUUCCUGAGAUACCCUUGUCAAUCACUCCUUUGUACAUGCCUUCCAUUUCCUCUCCUUUCUCGCUUCCUCAUAGAUGCCUCCCUUGUUUAAAUCUAAUUCUUCAUCUUCCCUCUGUGAGUGCCAUUGAAGAGAAACGUAAAUGGGGUGAAACACACAAUCCUAAAUUCCUUGUCUCAGUGCAGUUCACGGUCUCAGGGGAGACCUGAGUGCUGCGUGGUGGUACCUCUCCCAGCACCCUGGGUGAUCUUACGCACUGUCUCCUCUCUUCAGAAGCACUCACUGCCCAUCCAGUCUCACAGCUGAUGACAUUGCCUGUUGUUCUAAGACAACUGAAGGAAACCCAAGAGGAAUCCAUAUGCCCAGCGCCAUAAGUGUCUCUAAUGCCACAUCAACCAGGAUCCAAGGCCAAGGCCAGAUAACCCCAGCUGUGUGUUCAUGGUCUCCUUUGCUCUUUUCUUACUCAAGGACAUUCCUCAGUGUCUUCUUUUUCCCCACCAUUUCCUCAGUAGUGCAUCCCUUCCAUUUGCAUGCAAACAAGUUUUAAUUUUUCUUCUAACAAAAUUUUGUUUUUGAUCCUGUCUCUUCAGCUAUCGUUCCAUUUCUCCACUUUCCUUUCUGAAGGAGUUCCUAAAGCCAGGUGCCGUGGCACAUGCCUGAUAAUCCCAGUGGCUCUUGAGGAUGAGACAUGAGGAUUGUGAGUUCAAAGCCAGCCUCACGAAAGUGAGAUGCUAAGCAACUCAGUGAGACCCUGUCUCUAAAUAAAACACAAAAUAGGGCUGGGGAUGUGGCUCAGGGUUGAGUGCCCCUGAGUUCAAUCCCUGGAAUCCCCCGCCCUCACCCCCAAAAAAGAGUUCCUCGAGAGUUCUCUACACCAACACUUGUGAUUUCUCUCCUUUCAUUCUCUCAGAACCACUCAAGUCAUGGGUAGUCCCUACCAGUCCACUAAAGCUGCUCUCAUGGAAACCACUAGUGACCUCCAUGUUGCAUAACCCGGAAGUUGGUGGUUCUCAGUCCUCGUCUUCCUUGAUCUUGGUAGCAACUUGGUUGGCCACUCCCUUCUUCAUGGUACACUUUCCUCCCUUGACUUCUAGGAGGCUCCACAUUCUCUUUUCUUUCUCCCAUUUUCUUUUGGCUGACACUUCCUCUUAAUGUUGGAUUGGUUGGCUUGUUCAGGGCACAGUCCUUGGACCUCCUCUCUGUCACCCCUGGCUUACUGUCAUCCACCAGUCUCCCAGCUUUCAAUACCAUCUGAAAGCAGGACUUACAUUGCUCUCUCUGGCCCAGACCUCUACCCCUGAACUGCAGGCUUGUUUUUCCAGCUGUCCACUAGACAUUUCUGUAUGUAUAUUUAAGUCUUUUAAGUGUGAACUCCUAACUUCCCCUUAACCCAAGUUGAUCCUGCUGUCUUGCCUGUCUCUUACAAAGGCAAACCGAUUCUUUCAAUUGCUCAGGCUUCAAAUUUUGGAAUCAUCCCUGUGGUCCUUUCUUUCUGUUAUACCCGCAUCCAACUCAUCAGCAAGCCUCUCUGUUUCUGUUUUCCAAAUACUGUUUCUAUAGAAUCUCAUCAUGUUUGACCAUCUCUGUAACCACCCUGGCUGAGGCCAGUGUCUGUCACUCUUGCUUCUUGCCUGGAUUUCUUCAACAGCCUCUACGCGUCUACCUGUUUCCACCCUUGGCCCAUGCUAUCAUCUUAACGUGUCCCCUAAAUGUCAUAUGUUGGAAACUUAAACCCCAAAUUCAUGUGUUAAUGGUAUUUUGAGGUGGGAUCUUUGAGAGGCGUUCUGGUCAUGAGCAUUCUGCCCUCAUGAAUGGGUGAAUCCAUUUAUUGAUUAAUGAGUUAUCUAGGGAGUGGCUUUGUUAUAGUGAGCUUGCUUUGUUAAAGUGAGUUCUCUUUGGCAGACUCACUUGGUCUUAUGAAAUGAUGCUCCUCUGCCACUUUAAAAAGCACUGAGAAAGUUCUCACUAGAUGCUGAGCAGAUGCCAGUACCAUGCUCUUGUACUUCUAACCUCCAGAACUGUGAACUAAAUAACCCCCUUUUUUCCCCAUAAAGAACCCACUCUCAAGUAAUCUGUUAUAGCAGCAGAAAACAGACUGAGAGUACCCACUAAGACUAGUUUUAACCCAGAUAUGAAGAUAUCCCUAAAAGCAGUUUUAGAUCAUUCUAACCUAGGCUUACAACCUCAGUGACUCCCUGUUGGACAUGUUAUAAAAGCUAAAACUCUUUCAAUCAUCUGCCAGGCCCUGAUGACACUGCUGAGCUCCAUCUCCUGCAGUCCUUUGGGCUCUUGUACCCUACACAUCUCCAAGUUCAUUGUUUUGCCUGAGUGCUCUUCCUGCAGAUAACCAUCCAUAUGGUCAGCUCCCUCCUCUGGAGAUCUGCCUGGUUACUUGGUUAUAACAGCAAGCUCUCCUUUCUUUAGCAUCUCCACCUACCUUACCCUCUUUCUUUUUUCCUGUAUCCCUAUUCUCUCUAACUCAUCCCUUUCUCUCAUCAACUUAUUGCACAUUCUGAUGGUCUCUUCCCACCCAAAUGUGAGUUGCACAAUGUCAGAUGUUUUGAACCACUGGCAUCUAGAACAGUACCUGGCCCAGUGUGUGCUCAGUAAAUAUAUGUUGAAUGGGUAAACAGAUUGCAGUUUGAUUGCCUUCAACAGGUAUAUAAUCCCCGAGACAAACAUCAGCUUAAUCUUAUUGUAUCUUUGUUGUACUGACAGGUUUGCUCCAUGCCAACCUUUGAUGGUGUUUCCCAAAUGCCGAUGGUGGGGUUUCUUGAUGUUGUUUUCAAUAGUCAGACAUGAAGUGAGAACACUGAGGCCAGUGUAAUGUGGAUGUAUGUCAUUGUGUGUAUGUAUGCCAGCUGCCUUUCCUUUUACAAGAUUGUCCUUUUUUCUGUGAUUUUGUGAAGUUUUUUUUUUUAAUUGGGUAUAAAAAUACCCAUUUAAUGAAAUGAGGAUGAUGGUGUUUUUAUGAGAUGAAUUGGGGCUGAGGAAACGUUUGUUGGACAACUGUGUUCUCCAAAAAGGGCCCCCAUGUAGGGUCUUGAAGGUAAAGAUUCAUGUCCUGUGAAUCUUGAAGGUAAAGCUUCCCUUUUUCAUGUGAUUUUUGUUUUUUUGCCUUGGAAGUCUUCCUGCAAACUCUAGGAUAGAGGCCCAUUUUAGGUUCAUGUAUUGCUGAAAGGCAGGGUGUGCCAUUUAUUCAGCUGGGUACGGGUGGUGAGGGUGGCUGUAGUCUACCUGCACUCCUGGGGGUCCUGCAUGGAUUUUGGAAAUAAUUAACAAUCAGUACUUUAAAUUCUAGAAAACCUGGGUGCACUGUUAAAAAGAAAGAGCUUAUCUUGGUUUCAGACAGGAGCUAGGGUCUAGUUUUGGCUCUGCAAAUAACCAGUUGUAUGACCUUGAAUAAGUCACUGAAUCUCUGCCCAAGUAAUUGAUUUGUUUGUCAGGUAAGGAGUGUGGACUAGUUGACCUCAAACUGAGAACCAACUUGUUAAGUGUGAAAGUUGUACUUGGAAAGCAUUUGUUCCAGUGCCUUCUGCCUCAUCGUUGUAAUUUCUGUUUUGUCUGCACUGAUCUUGUGACCUUCCCAAAUAUUCUGCACACUGGAUUCUUACUAGUGAUAUUGCAGUUGGGAUUAUAGAAGGGCUUAUAUGAUGGCAUUUGGGAUAAACAUUUUAUCUCUAAAUUGGCUUAAGUAUUGAGUAUAGCAUAUUAUUUUACAUGCUAUUUGAAAAGAUGAGUAAGAAAAAUCCUACAGGAUUUAAAAUUUUUAGCACUCUCUUGGAAAUACUGUAGGGAGUGGAUAUUCUAUAGCAAUAUCAGAUGGUAUGGGUCUGGAUUUUAUCAUGAUGACCUGCUGGCUAUGUGAACUUGGGUAAAUUGCUCAGCUGUCUUUGUCUCAGUUUUCUUAUCAAUAAAGUAGGGACAGUAAUAACACCUACUUCCUAUAUUAUAAAAAAUUUAUGAAUUAAUAUAUGUGUUUGAUAUAUAAAAGCACUUAAUAAAUGUUAGCUAUUACUACUAUACCAAUGCUUAUUAUGUGAGUGUACUUCUUUCCAUUUUUUUAAAAUAAGCAUGUAAAAAUAGUUUUAAUCAUAUUACACAAGCAAGUGUUUUUUUUUUUUUUUAAUAUAUUUGGAAUUUUGCUUUUUUUUUUUUGCUUUUUAAUAAGCUGACCUUCUAGGAAAAAAAAAACCUAAGCUUUUCAGGUUAUUUAUAGACUUUUGGAUGCUGUAGUUAAUUCAAGUGUGGGAUUUUAAAAGUUUUUUCUUCUGUGUUAUUUAUUUGACAUAUUUUUCUGGUAGGACUUUUGAAAAUAUAACUUUGCAGGAUACCACAUCUCUUUUCCUUUCCUUUUUCUUUUCUUUUUUUCAUUUGCUAAGCUUUGGUGCAACAUUUUUUUUGGCUAGGAUCACUAUGGUUGGCUCAUACCACCUCUUCCCCUGCCAAAUAUAAUUUACAAGCUGUUUAUUUGGAUCCCUUGCAAAUGUAUUAGUUAAAGAAAGGUUAAAAUGUUAUGGUAAAGAAACCUCAAAAUACAAUGGAGUGGCUCAAAUAAGAUCAAAAUUUAUCUUUCACCUUAUAGUGCAGAGUUGGUGGAUGUGGGAUUGGUAAGUGGCUCUCUGCUCCAUAUGAUCUCUCAGGGAACUCAGUCCCUUCUUUCUUGAUAUUCUGAGAUUCUCCAGGGUUGCCUCUGUGGUUCAGGCUCACCCCUCAACUCUCUAUCCAAGCUGUAGUCCAAGGAAAGGAGAAGGAGGAGAAAUAAAAAAUAAGCAAAUUCCUUUUUGAAGGAUGCCGCUCAGGUUGCCUUCAUGAUGGCUUUUCAUAUCCCAGUGUCUGGCCUUAUCUAGCUGCGAGGGAGGUUGAGAAACGUGCUUUGUGGUGAGACAACCACGUGUCAAGUUAAAACUAUGGGGGCUGAAGGCGGAGGAGGGCUGGAUUUCUCAUAGUAAAACAGAAGUGAAGAAUGGACAAUAGCAAAUACACUUAAUACACACUUAUAACGACUUGGUGGACCGAGCUUGAGUGUUGAGUCUCAGAGGCCUGACUUGUGUACCAGACAUGGUGGAGAGCGGAGCAGACCCCUGAGGCCCAGCUGGAACUGUUCCUUUUGUCUUCCCAUGCUGGGCCCAUUCUGCAUCAAAAAGGGCUUUGCACCCGGGUUACCUGUUCAAACGCCCAUGGUCUCCUCUCCUAACCACUUGCAAACUGGGGUGUGUUCAUUACGUCAAGGGCUCCUUUGAAUAGAUUAUGGGAAUCCUGGGCCUCUGGACCAUGCUUUAGAAGGAGCUGCAUGGCUCUGGAUAUAAUGUCACCAGGCUCUGUGUUCUCUCAUAAGGAGGCCCUCUAAAAUGCAGGGUUUAAGGCAAGGCCCUUUUAUCUAGAUGUAAGGGUGGUCCUAUAAGGAGAAACAUUACAUUGAUUUAGUUCUUAAAUUUGUCACUUUUCUCAUGAUUUCACUUCAUUAGCAUUCACGUUUAUCAUUUAUCGUAUACACAUUGUCUGUUUAAUCCACUCAGAGUGAAAUAUCUUUGAAAUGCAAUGAAGUGUCAUUUUACUGGAUGGUUAGGGUGGGGAGGGAACAGGGAAGGAGGCUGGAGAAUAUUCACUUAUUUAGCUUAAUGUUUGCAACGGCUUAAAAAAACAAAAACUCCAAACCUUCAAGUGGCCCUUGUGAUUCAAUGGCAGUUUGCCCAGACCAGAGGGAGCCAGUGUUGGGAAUGAAAACUAGAUUCACUUUGAAAAUCUAGAAAUAAAAAGUGACUAAACAAGUCAUAAAAAGGUGCUUGAUGGCUCUGAUCCUCAGGGAGCAGUGAAGCCCAGUGGUAGGGCUGGUUUCCUCUCUCUGCUCAUCCACGUAGCCCACCUCCCUUCAUGUGACCGGCCAGUCUGGACCCUGAUUCUAACCCAUCCCACUGCUGAGCAACGGCUGCUCAGUUCUUGACAACUUGGGGCAAUUUUCGAUAUAGUUGAAAGUCUAACACAUUAAAGUGUACUUGGUUGACUGGCAAGCCACCACCUAUUUCACCUUGGGAUCAUGAUACAGACUCUCAGUCCUUUACCCCAAACCAAAGCCUUGGAACCAGAGCCUGUAGGGGUGGGUUGGGUGCUCAGCAGUAGAGCACUUGCCUAGCACAGCCCUGGGUUCAGUCCCAAACACUGCUAAUAACAAACAACAAGAAAAAUCUCUUGGAACCAGAUACAUUUUAGAAUUUAUGAUUUUUCUUUUUUUCCAUUUCAGAAAGUUUAUGGUCUGUGUAUAGCAUGUCUUAUUAAUGUUUCCCUGGGGAGUUGGGGGGCAGCACCCUACAAUUAAAUAAACGAAUAUUUCUAUGAUAUAAUGUAUGAAUAUUUGCACUAAGUGGGACACAAAUGAAGUUGUAAAUAACCUCAGGUAAGUUGAGGUCGUGUUUUGCUGCCAAAUGGGUUGGGGGAAACAUUAUGGUUUUGAGAGCUUUGUAGAUCUGGUGCCAUGGAUAAGGGAUUGUGCUCCUGUAACGAUGACAUUUUUUCAGUGUCACUUGUACAUGUAUUAAAUUUGGAGUGCUUACAACAGACCUAGGAGAAAAAUAUUUGAUCAUGCUUACUAUUCUUUUAGUUUCUUUUUCUUUUGUUUUUUGGAUAUUGAGAAUUGAAGCCAGGGCCUCUUGAGGGUCUCCUCUACCACUGUUCUGCAUCCCCUUUUAAAUUUUGAGACAGACUCUUGCUAAAUUGUCAAGGCCAGCCUUGAAUUUGCAAUUCUGCAAUCCUCCUGCCUCAACCUUCUGAGAGCGGCUGGGAGUACAGACAUGCACGUACCCUCCACCCCUCUUGUGAGCUACUCCCCACUGACUUUUUUUUUUUAAUGAGAUAAGGAAACUGAGUUUCAGCGAGGUGAAAUGACUUGCCCAACCUUGAGAGUAGGUGCUCCUGUACAAACAGAGGCCAAGAUCCCACAUCUGGGCACCAUGUUAUAAAAAGUUACUAAUUUGGUUGUUUGAAACAUGAGAACACAAACCUGCCUUGUGGAAUCCUGUUUCACAUUUCGUGGUAGGUGAAUGACCACAAGGCCGUGAAAGGGCACUGGGUGUGAGCCCCCCAUUAUGACAUUGUUUUCUGAGAAGACACUGGUCUGGAAGCAGUGGCCUUGGCCUGCCUGGGGCCCGUCCCUUUCCUGCAGCUCUCUGGCUGCUCCUGGUGUAGGUCAGGGUGUCGUUCCAGGACCCAUGGCAGAGUGGGCAGCCUUGGGGUGAAAUGUAGGGAGGAGGGGAAAGUCCGGGUGCUUGGUGUGAACAGAGAGGGCAGGGAAGGGAGAGAUUGUGACACUAGCUGGGGCAGUUUCUGGCUCCAAAUUCUUGUUUCUGUUCUCAUGUGACCAUUGCUAUUAAUCAGUGCCACUUGGCAGUGUUUUGCCUUUGUGAAUAUUAGGCCGAGGCAGCCCCUCUGGGUGGUCAUUUGGGCAAGCCAUCCCCUCUGGAGAGACACAGUUUAGUGGAAUGGUGUCCUCUUGUCUGUGCCCCUGUGUGGACUGGACAGCGGCCACAUUGCCACAUUGGCUGGGGGCCUCUAUCCAGUGGCUCUGCUUUGGGCAGCAUGGCAUUAGCAUGGUAUUAAUAGGAAUCUUCCUGACAAGCACUUCAUACGUGUAGGAGUCCGUGGGGUUGUCUGCUGGUGAUCUGGUGGGGGAGCUGUUACUGCCAUUUGACACAUGAGAACGCUGUGGCACUGUGAGCUGCUGAGGGUUGUCUCAGGCGGUGGUGGCCCAUGGCUCCGUUGCUCUUCCAGUGGGGCUGUUCCCUGUGCAUCCUGUCCACUGAGAUGGAGGAACCAGGGUUUCAGGGUAUGUUUUCUCCAAGUAUUUCAUUCUUCACUGUGUUCUCAUCUUUUAUGAUCACAUUAAAAAUGGAUAGACUGAGGUUCUAUCUGUAAAAAAAAAAAAAAAAAGUGGGGGGUAGUGGGAGGAAGUAUUCCCACGAGGGGCCAGGUGCUUACCCUGCAUGCCUGAAGUCUUGGGUUCUAUCUCCAGCACAGAUUGCAAAAGGAAAAAAAAAAAAAGAGAGACCAAUACUGGUUCCUAUUUGGACACUGUUGAUGCUUGAUGGUUCUUACUGACCCCAUAGCUUUUAUUCACAUAGUAGGUGUCACAGUGGGACCAGUGAGUACUGUGUGAAGUAUGAAGUACUGCACGUUAAAAGGAAAUUAGAAAGUCAGGGUAAAUGUCUGUUUAGCAAUCACUUUGUUAGGAUCCUCAUUUACAUUACAUUCAUUUAAAAUUAAACAUAAUCUGUUAAACUUUUACUUCGUGUAAUAUAUGGGUCCAGGAAUCUUUGCCAAAGUCAAUGUUUUUUACAGGAAGUAUCUGGAUAUACAUUAACUUUAAAAAUUGUAACCAGUUAGUUACACCAUAAAAGCCAGCAAUGUGUGAACUAAUUGAAUGCUUGCUAAAUCCGGAGCACAUGAGGAAAAUUAAUUUUAGGUGGAGAAAAAUUACCUAAAAAGUAGAGUGAGGCAGAGAGCUAAGGGUAUGCGGUCCGCUUGUUCAAAUAUUUUGUUUACUCCUUAAUUCUAUGGGGAAGAUAUAAUUGUUUCUGUUUCAUAGAUGAGGAUAUGCUGAUUAAUUAGUCAGGUCUUUUGUGGGUUUUUUUUUUUUUGGUACCGGGGAUUGAACCCAGGAGCACUCAAUCACUGAGCCACUUCCCCAGCCCUUUUUAUUUUUUAUUUUGAGACAGGGUCAAACUAAGUUGCUUAGGGCCUUGCUAAAUGGUUGAGGUCUUUGGUUUUUGUAAUGUUUAGAAGAUGUACAACCCUCUGUAGUCCCAGUUCUUACUAAAGGUUACACAAGAAGUAAGAUUUUGAAGGAAAAAACAACAACAACAACAACAACAAAAAUAAAAAUGCAGGGGGCUGGGGAUGUAGCUCAAGCGGUAGCCUGCUUGCCUGCCUGCCAUGUGUGCGGCCCGUGUUCGAUUCUCAGCACCACAUACAAAGAUGUUGUGUCCGCCGAAAACUAAAAAAAAAUAAAAAUAAAAAUAAAAAUAAAAAUGCAGAGAAGCAAAGAAAUGAGGGGAUUAGUAAAAAAAGUCUAAGAGGAGAGUGCCUAAAUUCUGCCUGCUUUAUAUAAGGUACCCUAUCCCCUUAUUAAGGUUUGAAUGCAAAUUUGUCUCAUUAUGUCUUACUGCACAAAUCAAUGAGGAAAUAGUAACAAGGUUGACAUCGUCUGCAAAUAUUCAAAAAUACAGUUGCUAAAGUGGAUAGGUUGUUUCCCGCCUUGGAAAACCUCUGAAGUGGGAUAAAGAAGGAUGGAGAAACCCACCUCUUCAGCUGUGAGAGAGAUCAAGAACUUUCAUUCUUUCAUUUGUGGUAGGGUAAGCUAGGUGGAGAGAGAGAGAGAGAGAGAGAGAGAGAGAGAGAGAGAGAUCGAUCUCCAGUGACUUGCCUUCACCCAGCAGCAAAUUUAAACUUUCUAUUCUGGUGUCCUGGUAAAUUACCAAAUUGCUGUAAUAAGAUGCUAGGAGCUACUCUGACCUUCUCAUAGAUUUGUUUUUCAAAGUCGUUCUCCGAGUUUCCUGUGCAGGAACCCUUUGUGUUGGAUCAUCCUCUUGGUGCUUCUCACAGAGUUGUGGGUAAACUGCUCUCACAGUCUGUAAAUCUUAACUUUCCUUCUGGGCUUUGUCUGUCCUCCUUUUCUGUCCUGGAAAUAGCUUCCAGAUGGGAUUGUUUUCUUUUGACAAACCUCAAGUCUCUAUGUUUUACAGUUUUUUGACCUAUUAUCUCUUUCCUGAGUUUCAAUUUUGGCAUAGGUACUCUGCUUUUAGGCUUUUUUAAAAAAAAUACCCUGUAAAAUAUACUGUAAAUUCUUGGCAGCCAUUAUGAACCUAUGCAAUAAUACUCUUCACAAUGAAGUGCUGUGGGUUCUCUAUGAAUUCCAGUUUUUUUAAGGAAAAAAUUUCCUUCCAUGUGUUUCUCCUUUCCUAACUCUUUAAGUUUAUUUAGGCAAGACCAAGAAAUGAAGUCUUGCCCUCUUUAUUAAUUCUUUAUAUAUUGUCUAUAGAAAAAAAAAUCAAGAAAAAGACAAAACUUGUUUUAAAAAGUUUGAAUUAUUAUUAUUAUUAUUUUUGUACUAGGAAUUGAACACAGAGGCACUUUACCACUGAGAUACAUCCCAAACCCUUUCUAAUAAAGUUUUUGAGACAGGGUCUUGCUAAGUUGCUGAGGCUGGCCUUGAACUUGAGAUCCUCCUACCUCAGACUUCUGAGUCACUGGGAUUACAGGUGUGUGCUACCAUGCCCUGCUUGACUAACAUUGUGAGAAGCUACUGUUCUGUUGUUGUCAUUAUUAUUAUUGUUAUUUCCUUUCUCCAUUCCUGCCCUCUCUUCCCCUCUGCCUCAUUUGGUCUGACUUCCUGCAGGUUGUCGAUGGGGACAGAGGGGACAUCUUCCAGUCAACCUACUAGGUCUGGCCAAAUGGAAUUAGAACCAUGUUUCAGGUCACUGGUUUUUCACCUUUGUGAAUGUUAUAAAUAAGUAUAACUAUAAAUAGUCAUUAAUGAUCAAAACUAUUAUAUCAAUUGUAAUUAGUUUCUUUUAUAGUGAUUAUGAAUUAAUAAGUUAUAGGUUGGUUGGAUUGUGCCUGAUGCUCAGCCAUACGCCAUUUGGUGUUUUAGUGAGCUUUCUGGGUGUAGGAAGUAUGGGAACCACAGAGCGUGAGGAGGCUGGGGAGAGGCGUAUUCUGUAGUGAAGGACAGUUUCUCCCAGGUGGCAGUACAAAGGAAACCUCGUUAACCAAGGAUAUUAGCUCCAUGAGUUGUUUCCCUGCCUUUUUCCAGUUCUGAUGAGCUAUUAGUGUUCAGGUGGGUGAAGAACUAGCAUGUGCCUCAUCCUCACUGGAGCAGGAUGGGGGGGGCAGUGCGCAGAGGUGCUGGUGGAAAGCACUCAAACCAGUUGACUGUGUGGCAGAGGCUGGAAAGGCACAGCUGUUUGGAAUCAGCAGAUCUUUUUAAUCAUCUCUAUCUCAUCCUAUUAAACAUGUUUGCACAUGUUUUAAUAUUUGUGUAAUUUUAACCUGAAUCACUAAAAUGUUUAGGUAUCUAAGAAAUAUUACAGUAAUAAGAAGAGUAGCUAUUUGUUUUUGUGUGCUUUCUAUGCCAGUUAUUACUAUAUUGAUUUAUAUACCCACAUACAUAUGUGGGUAUAUGUUCGUGUGUGUAUACAUAUAUACAUGCACAUAUACAUGUAUAUCCAUACAUAUUUCACAAACAUAUCAAUUCUUUCAGUUCUCACCACAAUCAGUGAAAGAGGUGAUUUUGUUACCUUCAUGUUGCAGUCAGGAAACCAAAGCACAGAGUGGUUAAAUAACUUGCUCAGCAUAGCACAGGACAUAGAGUGAUAGAUCUUGAAUUUAAACCCAAGUAGCUCUGCCACACCCUUCAUCACUGCCUGCAGUACUUCUCAGUGCUUAGUCUCUGAGCAAAUAGCAAUGGUAGUAAAUAAGUCAAAAGUUAUGGAAAAAUCUAAGCAACUACCCAGUUUUUGAACCUGGUCUCCAUUGCUUGCCAGUCAUGGAUGUGUGGAAUUUGGCUCUUUCUGCUAAUUAAACACAGAUGUCAGUUGUCUGGGUGUCUGUGUGUUGAAACGGUGGUGCCCACUCUCUGCAGAAUGUGCUGAUGCAUCAACCAUCUCCAUCUGUGAACUCAGCGAAUUCCCCCACACCUGUGAGCCACCUUGCUCAGAUGCCCUGCAGGCGACUUGAGGGCUGGAUGGUUAUUCCCACCACCACACUCUGGUGACCCUUCGCCAGGGGCUUCUGUGUUUCCUCAGCUGGAUUUGAAAAUCAAAGUAACUUUGAUAGAGAAACAUUUCCCACGUGGGGUCCCAUUCAGUGAGGCUGACUUGGUGGGCUACGUGCAGAAGUAAAGUUAGAUUUCCUGUGCUUUUUGGGUCACUGCUUUGAGCAGUCCUUGGCACACAGGGGCUCCAUACACGCUGUAAGGGUUAAUAAACAGAAUGCCUGAAGACCUGAGGAAGCAUGCAGGGAGUGUUGAUUUUGGUCUUGUAGAAGGCAGGUCCUGUGGAAAUAUGGAGAGUGGCAUGUUAUUUGCUCACCUAGAAGCUCAGGGUGUGAUUCCUGCAAGUAUAAGCAGGAAUACCUUAGGGAUUCUUAAGUGUGGUAAUUUAAUUGAUUAUGCUUCCUCCAGUAGACUCUUCAGUUGUCAUGAGUGCUAGGUAAAUUGUGUAUUGAAUAAUAUACAUAUUAUGUGUAAAUAGUCUAACAUUAUUUAGCCCGAUUCCUCUUACCCAAAUUGAUUGUUAAAAUUGCCAGAAGUAUGUCAUUUGAACAGUCAGAACAGUGUUCCUUCCCUCACAUUCACAGUGGGAUGGAGAAGGGUGGGGACAUAGUUUUGCGGUAAUCUGUUUUGAAUGUUAGGGGAUAUUAAAUAUUCUUGGAUCAGAACCCAUUCAGCACAGCAUUAGUUUUUAUUUUGCUUUAAAGUUUGAAGUCACUUGGUAGUCAUUAUCUUUUUAAGCUUUUUCAGAGACAUUAAGUUUUAAAGAAAGUAAAGAACACCUUAUUAAUUUUUGUUCUGUCACUUGCCAUCUUUUUGUGAUACAUUAAACAUAUAUCGCAAUGUGUGCAAAAUAUUUUUUUACAAGCUUCCAUGAUUUCUAGUAGCUUAAGCUUGCCAUAUGUGAGCUUAGAGGUAAUUUGGGCAGUAGCUUGCGAUUUUAUGUAUAUGCCAAACCUGACCUUAUUAGCUGGAAAAGUUUCUAUCUUCCUUACGUAGCCAGAGACAAUUUCACUGGGUUUUGUAGGGGGUUGGGGGUUUUAGUAGGCAGGCAUGAAAUUCUUUCUGGCUUAAAAGGGAUGUUGAAAACUUAUUUCUGUAUAUAAGUGUAUUAUUGUCAGGAACAUACAUGUUCCCUUUCAGCCAACAUGGGCAAUGAUUUUUGUUUUCAGACAUUGUAAAUGGACCUUUCUAUGGGUCAGGAGGUGCCCACAGAGAGCUGAGCAUUGGGUGAUAAAAGCCUCUACUUUGGGUAUUUUUAUUUUUCUUUAUUAAUAUUCUCAACACAGUUAUAGGUAUUUUUAAAAUUUAGUAUAUCUAGAUGAAUUUUGAAUUUCUCAAUUUGUUUUAACAAGCAUUUUCAGAGAUCAAAGUUAUUUAAAAUUUUAAUAAAGUUCUAAUGCCAUUUAGGAUCUUCAGUACGUAAAGUAUAUCUGCAUUGAAGUCUCAAAAUAGUGCUGUAAUUUGGUUGUAUUGAGUUACUAAUAGUGAAGCUUCACAUUUGAAAAUAGAGGAAAAGGAAAGCAAUUGGAUGCAAUAACUGUAAACUUUCGCUAUAUGUGAAGUCACUGAAAAUCAUCCCGUAAAUUGAGGUCAAAUUUCAGAUUGAACUUAAUCAUGAAAAGAAUAAUUGCAACUAAUCGUAUUACUGUAUAAAGUUUGGUUUUGACCAUUAAAUAUCCAUGAAGACAUCUUUUGACAUUUGAGACCAUGAGACCCAUGUCCUGCCUGCACACUGCCACCAUCUGAAACUCAGGGCCAGACUGGUGGAAAUGAGACCAUUUUUGGAGUCUUCCUGAAUAUAAAUUGAAGAGAGUAGAACUUGUAGUUAAAAUAUUAGAGCAAGUCAUGCUCACCACGGCUUGCCAUGUGCUUUUAGUGUAAUUAUGAUAAAAAAUCAAAAGAAUAAGCUCCUGAGGCCAAAGGGACGUGGCCAUUGGUGGAUACUUCAGUUUGGGUGUGGUCUGAGUAUCUCCCAAGAUCCACUGUGGUGGGAGACCUGGAGCCCAGGGUAUUGGUGUUGGGAGUGGGGUCUAGUGGGAGGUCCUUAUGUCAUUGUGGGUGUGCUCUACCAAGCUGGUUCUUGAGUGACUCCUUGAAUUCUUGAGAAAGGGUUGUUAUAAAGGAGCAAGCCUGGCUCCCUGCAUCUUGUCUGCUCAGGUUUCAAGGUGUAACCCCUGGCCUGCUCCUGUAUGCCCCCAUCCCCAUCAUUGCUAUCCAUGACAUGGUGAUACAGCCAAGGGGCAGACCUCACAAGAGAGCCUGCAUUAUGCUGUUUGGAUUUUGAACCUCCAAAACUGUAAGCUUAGUGAUCCUCUUUUACUUCAUAAGUAGCUUGUCUCUGGUCUUCUGUUUUAGUGAUAAAAAGCAAACAGAAAAGAUGAUGGUGGAGUGGGAACCAAUAGGAGGACCCAGGGUAGCUCAUGGUGAUGGGUUCCUGCAUCAUCAGUGCUCACUGAGAUCAAGUAUUGGAAAUGUAGAAGAAAUUUUGAAACAGACUGAAAUUAAGGGCUCCCCCUAAAAUUGAGAACAACUUCCUUAUGCUGAGAGUAAAGGCUGAUAAGGAGUCCCCUGGCCUGCCAGGCACCAAGAAAGCUGAAAAUGAGGGUCACCACCUGUCUACCAUCUAGCAUAAGCUAGCUAAAUCUGCAUGUGUAUAUUUCUUGCCUUUUGUCUCUGUUAUUUUAAAAGCUGUCCUUGCCUUCAGAACCUUCAAAGAUGGAAGUUUUGAAAUAGAGUUUCUUCUAUCGUCCUUUAAAACUGACUUUGAAUACAACCUGUUUUCCUACCAACAUGACUCCAAAUAUUUCUGGAGCAGUAAACUAGAUAGCUUAGUGUGCCUACUCCCUGCCCCCCCCCGCCCGCCCCAUGUCCAGGAUGGUAAUAGGGCCUCCUGAUAACAAUUUGGGACUGAAAAGUAGAAGAAGUUUGGGACUAAAGACUAGGAGUUUGUUUGAAAAUCUCUAAAUUGCGUGCUUUGACUCCCAGAUUUUUCCCUUCUUCUCUUCCUGCCUGGGAGAUGGGAGAUUUAUAUAUUAUCUAUAGAAAUUGAACUCUAACUUGGAACCCAUGGCCCAGAGAGAAUGCAGAGGAUUAAAUGACCCUGCAUGUCCCCGAAUUCCUGAAGCCACAUGCCUCCCAUCACCAAGCACCCCAAUUAACAGGUGCUAUUAUUGUGAGAACAGUAUAGUUAGAGCAGAUAAGUUGAUUAUUUUCUUUUGAGCCCAACAUUCAGAAGGUGACCCCUAAACCCACAGAACCUUACACCUGAUUUUUUAAAAUAUUUAUUUUUUUUUGGGUGUAGAUGGACACAAUGCCUUUGUUUGAUUUACUUAUUUUUAUGUGGUGCUGAGGAUCAAACCCAGGGCCUUACAUGUGCUAGGCGAGUGCUCUACCACUGAGCUACAACCCCAGCCCCCUUACACCUGAUUUUUAAAAAUUUUUUAGUAGUGGAUGGACAUGAUACCUUUAUUUUAUUUACUUAUAUGUAGUACUGAGGAUUGAACCCAGUGCCUCACACAUGCUGAGCAAGUGCUCCACCACUGAGCCACAAUCCCAGCCCCCUUACACCUGGUUUUGAAAUACUAAGGGCUGUCACCAGUCAGCAGAUGUGAGGAAGGCUUUCAUCAUUAAAGCUAUACCAAAGCAACAACAGCCACAAGGAGCUUGGAGGAAACAGGAAAGUAACAUAGUAAAUAUACUCAGAGAGGUAGGAAAAUAGUUACAUCUUUGAAAUAAGAACACAAUGUGAUUUAAAAAGAAAAAAAAUUUUUCAGAAAAUAGGAAAGAGACUUUAGAGAUUAAAAAAUAUGAUCUCAGAAACAAAAGUCUCAAUAGAGGCCAGAUUUGUGGAUUUAAGAAAGGUAAAUCUUGGCUGAGGCUGUGGCUCAGUGGCAGAGCACUUGCCUCGCCAUGUGAGGCACUGGGUUUGACCCUCAGCACCACAUAAAAUAGAAUAAACAAAAUAAAGAUAUUAUGUCCAUGUGUAACUAAAAAAUAUAUUUUUAAAAAAGAAAGGUAAAUCAUUAAUUAUUAUUGAAAGAGUCUUGUCAGAAAAGGAGCAACAUAGCUGAGUGUAGUGGUGUAUGCCUGUGAUCCCAGCUACUUGGGAGACUGAGGUUAGGAGGAUUGCAAGUUCAAGGCCGGCUUUGGCUACUUAAUGAGAUGUUGUCUCAAAAUUUCAAAUUAAUAGCUCCAUAGUAAAGCACCCAUGGGCUCAAUCCCCAGUACUAGAGGGGACAAAGGUGCACUGUAAACAUAGUUACCUUAGUCGACUUUGUGUAACUGUAAGGAUACUUGACAUAAUUAACCUAGAGGAGGUUUAUUUUAGGUCACACUUUUGAAGGUUUCAGUCCAUGAUUGAUUGAUCCCGUUCCUUUUGGGCCCCUGGUGAGGCAGCCCAUAAUGGCAGCAGUGCAUGGCAAAGCUACUCACUCGAUGGCUGAGCAGGGCAAAAGAGAAGAGUCUUGAGUUGCCCCAGUAACCUAAAGACCUCCCAUGAAGCCCCACCUCUUAAAGGUUCCACCACCUCCCAAUAGAGCUCUCCUGGGUACUAAUCCUGUGUGGGCCAUUUAAGAUCCCAAUAAUGCAGGUGCGGUGGUGCACACCUGUAAUCCCAGCAGCUCAGGAGGGUGAGGAAGGAGGAUCAUGAGUUCAAAGCCAGCCUCAGCAACUUAGGGAGGCCUUACGCAACCUAGGGAGACCCUGUCUCUGAAUAAAAUGUAAAAAAGGGCUGGGGAUGUGGCUCAGUGGUUAAGCCCUCUGGGUUUAAUCCCCAGUGUGUGUGUGUGUGUGUGUGUAUAAAUCCAUAUAAUAAUAAUAGUAUUUUAAAAUGCACAGACUAUUGUCAGAAUAAACAGCUAACAGAGGAAAGGGGAUGCCCCCUGCCCCAACCCCCCAGAGCAGGACUGCCCCAGUCCUGCUGCUUUUUGUUUUAGUUUUGCCUACUUGAUUAAAAAACAAACUAUGUGCAUUUAUUAUUUAUAUAAAAGCUGAGAAGUAUGUAAUGAAAGACUUACUUUAGAAACAGAAUAAACAAAAUAAAGAUAUUGAUACAUUUAUUUGAUAGUAUAGAAAACUCUAUAUAAUAUUACAUUUUGGGCGAUCACAGACCUUGUAAGAUGGUCCCCUAAUUUUUUUCCUGUGGCCGUCUGUUCUCAGCUCUGAUUUCUUGCUGUGGUUGUUCUAACAUUUUCUAUACCUUUUGCCAGCCCCAACAAGCUCUGUGGCUUUAGAAAUCACCUAAAUCAUCACAUUGUGUGUCUGGGUUGUAAGUAUCCAAAUUCUUUUGAGGCAAGUCUCUCUUCUCAUAUGUCAGCCUUGUAUUUUCCACAUUGCUCAGGGUGAUGAGCAUAUUUUCCAUUAGAUGUUUCACACUCAUGGUAUAUUUAGGUCCUUAGGGAUGGAACACAACUGUGAGGCACUGAGAAUUCUGAAUGAGCAGACUUCCAAGCUGAAUGGUCUCUUUCCAGCAUUUUCUGACCUAGAAACUACUUUGAGUACUCAGUGGCCGGCUGCUCUUCCCUGGCACGAAUGACUGUGGACAGUAUUGUGGUAUCACAGACCCUCAGAGUGUUAUAAGUGGAAAGAUGCUUGAAGGGACCACCCUGUCCAAUUUCUUUGCUUUCUCAUGGAGGAACCUCAGUUAAGGGGCGGCUGGGGGUUGGAUGGGGAGACAAUUAUUUUCUCAAGAUUGAACUGUUGCACUGACGUGACAGGGCUCCCAGAUUCAACAUUCUUUCUGUGUCUCCGGAUGACCUGAACCUCAAGGGCACUUCUUACUCACUCUCCUUCAGAUCUCAUUCAGCUGAGGAUGGUUGUCUGAUAGCUUUGUCCUUGCAAAGCAACGAAUGCUUGCAUGAUUUGCAGCAAGUAUUCUGAUAGGAAUGGUGUGUGACCUCCUCAGAGGAGUUAGGAUUCUGUCUACAGUGUGAAGCUGAGGUGGUUUGUAAAUAUUAUGGAGAAAAGUGACACAUACCUGUGAAUUCAAACUGGCUAACCAAGCUGACUUUGGGUUUGGAGUCUAAAGUUUCUAUUCGGUAAGACAGGGAGAUGAGGGAGAGAAGAAAUGAGAGGAAGAGGAGGAGGAAGAUGCAAGGAUCAUUUCCUUCCUGUUAAUUUCCUUUUGGCUGGAGAGAGUGAGAAAGUUACUAAAUGGAACGGGAGCUGUCGAGGGGAACUGGCCAAAUCCUGUCUUAAGUUGUUUAAGAGAGGUGCUGAACAAUCCACUCUCCUGGAACAGUUCCAAUAGUGCCACCCGGGCCGGUUGACUGCCCUAGUUUGAUCCUGGACCUUCUCUGAACCUUUCUCCUGGUUUCACAGCCCCUGGAUGGUGCCCAUUGGCCUUCCAACUCCACCCAGGCGUGGCCUGGCCCUUUUCGUCAAAGCUCUCUUUUCAUUGGAGCCUGGGGGUAUUAAUGGCUGAGUAAAGCAACUCACAGUCAGAGGCUAGCGAUUCCUGUUGAGCCCUCUUGGUGGGUAUGUGCAAAUUUUGGUUAUUGCAGAAAUAGACAGGCCAGUUCCAUUUUGUAGGUUGGAACUAAGAAGAUGUGGUAGAAAUAGAAAUGGGAUAUGUUUGCUAGCACAAUCUGUCUGCCAUUCUCACUUUGCAAACUUGGGAGCUUAAUGGUUCAGGCAUGAGUCUUUUCAGCAAAAAGUGGGUGAGGCUUCAUCAUAUCAAACUAUUCUUAGGAGUGUCGCAUGCCUAAUAGCUGACCGGUUUGGUCACUGUUAACCUUGUUAAUGCCCCUUGCGAAUUUCUUCUUUUUUGUAGUUGUGUAUUAAAUCCAAUGAUACAAAUAAUGUUAUUCAUUGUAAAAAUAGAUUUUUAAUUUAUUAGUUCUGCUUAUUUUGAAUUGUCUUUUAGAAGUUUUUUAUUCCUUUUCAGAAUGAGAAGAAAAUGUGUUCAAUUCAUUGAAAACAAAAUAUGUUUCUUGGUGCAUCAGAUGUUUAUAAUCUCAUAGUAGUAAUGUAGAUUAGGGGCUUUUAUUCUUUAUUGUCAUUUCUCCCUGCCUCUUUUUCCUGUAGACCUCUUUAGCAGUCUAGUGAAGCCGGACAAAUAUUGUUUAAAUGCACAAAAUAAAAUACAUAUGCUGCAAAGGAAACCAAUUAUAUUGACAUGCAGUAAUCAAAAUACUUAAAAAGUCUCUGACAGAUAAUAUUUGUGCUUUGUUAGUGUAUUUCAAUAACCAGCUCUGUCAGCUCUUGCUGUUGAAAUGGUGAUGAGCCAGAUGAUUUUUUCCCCCCUAAGGUAUCUGCUUCAGCUAUAAGGUGCUGUGAAAGUGCCUAUGUUUUUUGUUGGUGAUACAGUCAAAGGAAGUGUUAAUAGUAUGUUUUGUGGAAGUUGUGGUGGCUCAUACCUGUCAUUCCCAGCUACUCAGGAGAUAUAGGCAGGAAGAUUGCAAGUUUGAGGCCAGCUUUGGGCCACCUAGUGAGACCCUAUCCCAAAAUGAAAAAAAGCAAAAGGUCUGGGGGUGUAGUUCAGUGGUAAGGUGCCUCUGGUUUCAAUCCCCAGUACAAAAAAAAGUUUGUUUUGUGAUCUACCUUCACAAUGAAAGAUGAUGCAAAUUGCUGUUAGAGGCUAGUGAAAAUAUUGGAUUAUUUUUCACGACCAAGUUCAUGGACCUCCUGCCUUGUAAUAACCAAGGUGUACAUGAUGGGUUCAAGUGAGCUUCUGUUUCCUCGGGGCCUGGCCGUGGCAGCAGUGUGUUUCAAAGAGUAUUUUUGCAGAGACCACCAUUUUAAAUGGAAAUAACUCUUGGGUGAGUGUCCCCAACGCCAGGCCCUGGACUGGGUGUGACCAACAGAAUUGAUGAACACAACCAUUAUGGUGUCCAACCUUGAAUGCAUAGCAGAAGAGACUGAUAUCAAGCUGCAGAAUGUACAAGAAGCCUCUUAAUUGUGGAGGGGAUAAACAUUCUGACAUGCUGUGAUGGUGAAUUGCAAGGGGACCUUGCUGGGCAUGGGAUGAAUGGUGGUGAUCAGGGAAGGCCCUCAGAAGGGAGCCAUUGAAGUCAGUACCUCAGUGCAGCAGAGCUGGGCCACAGAGAUCCUUAAGCAGGCCAGUGACUGGGCUAAAGUGAAUGGAGAGCUGUGUGUUGAGAGGGAUGGAGAGCUGCAAUUUUCAUUUCACUCAGUAGUAUUUCUACUCCUGAUUUAAGAGGCAUCAUUUUUUACCUUUUAGUUUGAGACAUGUAUUAUUUAGCACAUUAAUGGAUGGAUCACUAAAAGCUUUAGUGAUUAGUUUGGAGUCUAUAGCAUUGAAAAAUUGAUUGCAAAAUUUAUAAGAACAAACUUUCUUGCAAGAACUUGAAACUCAAAAAGCAACUUUAUGUUUUUAUUGUUAAAUUCCUUAACGUUUUUCCUCACUCAGAUUUUAUUUGGCUGAAAUUUAGGGAAAACCUAAGGAGAAGUGAGGACAUUCUUGGCUUCUACAUAUGCUGAGCCAUUUGAGCAGAGGUGUUUGUAUAAAUGCAUACCUUGCUGUCUUAGGCAGAUAAGGGCUGUCACAAGUCUGGAUUUUAAGGGGACAGGUUCCAUGUCUGGCAGAGACUCCUAGGUGCAAACCGAGGUGCAGACCGGGAUUGGGCUGUGCUCAGAGGGAGGAAUGUGGCCAUUCUGGUUGGGGCAGUCAGGGAGGGACUCAUCUCUCCACAGUUCCCAUACUGUUUGGCCCUGUUUUUCAAUUUGACUCCUUCAAAGCUCAUUCUCCAGCCGAGGGGUACGCAUAUCUUUGUGACUUCAGAAAACAUGUGCUGCUGGUUUGGGAAUCUUAACCACAUUUGGAGGACACGCUGAGCCAACACGAAAUGGAAGUGCUACCUGAUUCCACAGGUGGAGCCUGCAGAGAGUCACAGUCAGGUAAAGGAGACUCGCUUAGAAUGUUGUGGUGGCUUAGAUUUUUGUUCAUGUGUUCAUUGAAAGGAAACCGAGGCAGGACUCAGUCAGUCAAGACUCAUUGUGAAAAUUACUGAGCAACUCAUUCUAAAUGAUUUUUUCCUCUGGGUGAGCUAGGAAUAUUUUAAAAAAACUUUUUUUUUUUUUUUUUUUUUUUUGAGGCAGGUGUGGGUACCAGGGAUUGAAUUCAGGGACACUUAACCACUAAACCACACACCCUAGCCUUUUUUAUUUUUUAAAAGGGUCUCACUAAGUUGUUUAGGGCCUGACUAGGUUUCUGAGACUGGCUUUGAACUCAGUCCUCCUGCCUCAGCCUCUUGAGUUGAUGGGAUAACAAGCAUGUGCCCAGCACCUGGCUAACAUUUUCUCUUUGUAAUAUUAUGAAAUGUGUUAGUUACACAUAAAGAAUUUGACAAUGUUGGUUAGUAAAAAACAUUUUGGAACCAUGAUUUACUCUGCUCAGUGGACUCCUGGUCUUCUGGGGCAGGACUGUUGUCAGAGCCUCGUACAGGGCCUGGGGCAUUUCAUGCAGGUUUGUUGUCUGUGAAUGGAUUGGGUCCAGUGUACCAUGAUGUGCUAUAAAAACAAUUCUACUGUUUCUCUUUGAUGGCAGAAGAUUUGCUCAAAAACGUCUGUUGUGUGAACAUCAUGUGGGAUAGAAAUCAUCCUGGCCCUGCCUCCCCCAGGAACUGCAGCUGUGAUGCUAUUCCAGUCUCCUACCACGGAGGCAUGAACCAGGGCUCCUGCCUUCAUUUCAUUUGUCCAUUUUUCUCUUGGCUUGGCGGCUUGCUCACUUGCCAUUGAUUUCAUCUCUGCUGGUGCCACGCUUCCUGAUAGGCUGCUUGGAAACAGACAAAUGAAGCAAGAUGCCUGCUUACAGCCUUUCGAUCACAGCAGUUGAGCACCAUGUGGAAAGAGGCAUGUGAGCAACACAUACUAGACUCUGGGGAGCCUGGAUGGGACCAGUGGCUCCCUGAGGUUUGCUCUUCCUGGAAUGGUCAGGGACUGUUUCCCCCAGAAGGGACUUGGGAGGUGACAGAGAAAAGUGUGAAAGGGAAGAAUUCCAGGGAAAGUGAGCUGAAGGCAGAUGUUCAGUGAGUCACAGGGUCAGAUGGCGGGUUCAUGUUCAUAGUGCACCUUCUCUCUCUCUGCCAUUCCUGCAUCCAGUCUUGCUGGCCUGCUCUCAGCUCCAGGGCCACCUCUGCUUGGAGGCUCUUCCUCUGCCUGGCUGCUGGCCCCCAGCUCUUGGCCAGCUCCUCUCCUCUUUCUGGAUUGGCCUUGAAGUAAACCGUACCUCUUUGGGUCUGAAAAGGAUUUUAUCCUGUUCCACCCCACGACCUGCCUGCUGUUUGCCUCAGUGCUCUAGGUGACUUUAGGGUUGAUGGAUCCGCGAGGCUGUGCUGGGACAAGAUGGUCUUGCUCACUGUUGUGUCUCAGUGCCUGUCCUGUAGGAUGAUAGAUACCUGGGGGUGAAUGAAAAGCUGUCACUUAAAAGACAAAAACCUGUCUGUGGACUUGCUUUUCUUGUGUAUUCCAGACAUUUUGGGUACUUAGGCUCUUAGAAUCUCAGCUGAGGAUUCAAGAUCUUUGGGUGUUAUCUUGAGGCAGCUGUUUUGAAUCUUGGAAGAAAUAACUUGAAAAAAAAAGGAUUUUUAAAUUUGUAUAUAUAUAGGGAAGAGAGAAGUUUUUGUAACACUUAUAUUCUAAAAGAAAAAUUAGCUGGGGUGAUGGUACAUGUCUUUAAUCUCAGUGAUUGGGAGGCUGAGGCAGGAGGAUCACAAGUUUGGGGCCAGCUUCAGCAAUUUGGCAAGACCCUAUCUCAAAAUUAAAAAUCAUAAAAAAAAGGAAGAAGAAGACAACUUAGGCUGUAGCUAAGUUGUAAAGUGCCCCAGAUUCAAUCUCCUAUACCCCCUUCUUCAGAAAAGGAAAAUAAUUAAUAAAUUUAAAUUUAAAGAAUACUAAAUGAAGAGUCAUUGAAUCAAUUUAUUCUUUUUUUUUAUUGGUUGUUCAAAACAUUACAAAGCUCUUGACAUAUCAUAUUUCAUAUAUUAGAUUCAAGUGGGUUAUGAACUCCCAUUUUUACCCCAAAUACAGAUUGCAGAAUCACAUCGGUUACACAUCCACAUUUCAAUUUAUUCUUUAUAGAAAUUUUACGCAGUUAUUUAUUACAUUGCAUUUUAUAUGUUGCUCCAAUCUCUGAAAUGUGCUGAUAAUUUGAUGAUUUAUUCUCAUUUGUGCUCUGAAUACUUCAUACUUAUGUCAUUAUAUUUUUAAACUAUUUUAACCCCUUCACCUAUGUAAUCCUGAUGUUAUCACACUGAUAUUAUUCUUUUUAUUCCAGACCAGAUUCAACUAGCAAACAUUCUGUGUCUGUGGGAUGAAUUUAAUUGCUAUUUUCUCUACUGUUUCUGUUUUUAUUGUUCACACUAAAGUUUUAUUUCAAUAUUGUCUUAUCCACAUUUUUUUUCUUUCUCUUCUUUCUUUCUUUUUUUUAGCUAAUCAAUGUAUUUAUUGAUUUACUAAAAAAACAAUAAUUUUUGUAAUUUCACUGUUUUGCACACUUGUUUGCUGUAUAAUACGUAUUUUCAAACAUCUUUUUUAGAUUCAUAAUGCUGCCUUUAGCUACAGGAUUUUAGACAACAACAAUCAAUGUAGGCCACAUAUUUUAAUUAUGUAUUUUUAUACAUAUCACAGUGGCCCAAGAUGUUUGCCAUAACAUUAUAACCUGAUUUUUUUUUUUUUUGGUAGAUGGAUACUAUAUCUUUAUUUUAUUUAUUUAUUUUUAUGUGAUGCUGAGUAUCGAACCCAAUGCCUCACACAUGCUAGGCAAGUGCUCUACCACUGAGCCAUAAUCCCAGCUCAUAACCUGAUUAUUUUUAUCAUGUGAAAUAAGACUAUAAAACAAAAUUUAUUUUGGACAUUCUUCAGUGUGGUGGGUGGAAAAUGUUCUGUUCAAUGGCCUAUUGAAGAAAAGGAAACUCAAACAGUGGAUUGCUUAAAAGACUGAGAUUGUGGUUCCCAAUUGCUCUUCUCCUUGAGAAUUCCCUGCAUAGCCCUUUAAGUCCCAAGGCACUGAAACCCGGCUUCCCAACUUGGAUCUGGGAUGGGUAGUUUGCAUCUCAUUCUGGGACGAUGUCUCUUGUUCUGGGCAUCUCUUUCAACUUUUAUUCUGUUCUUGGAGAGAUGGGAAAAAAUACACUGAUACAUUAACCUGAAGGUGAGAUUUUGCUUAUCUUUAUUUCUGAAGAGAAUGUUCUGUUGCUGUUUUGUUUUAUUCUCUAAUUUCAUUUGUUCAUUUAUUCCAUCAUUCAUUGUCCAGCUGCUAUGAGCAAGUUACUGUGCUCGUCUCUGGGCAUUAGAAAAUCUUGUAUGAUGACCAAUACCUAAAUUAGUUCAGGGUCAGUAUUUUAGAAGAGGAUUAUGUGAAAGAAGUUGUAUGUCAGCAGAGAUUGUUUUGUUGUCUGGUAUUUUUUUUUUUUUUUUGAUAUAUAUACAAAAUUGCUGCUGGCUGGAGAAUGAUGAAGGUUUGCACUUCUGACAUCACUGCUAAUGUUGGGCUUCUGUGCUUGGGUCUUGUGCUGCAGGGGUGCUGUGAGUCUUCAUUUCACCGGAACUCUGCACCUGUUGCUGGCUAUUCUUGCUGAUGAAAUCCAGAACCUACUUUCAUUUCCUUUUCCUCCCCCUCUUUCCGGGGUGUGUGUGUGUGUGUGUGUGUGUGUGUGUGUGUAUGAGAAAAAGACAGAGAGGAAAAAAAAAAAAAACUAACGUGAAGAGAAACCACCUUCUUCCAUCAGGGCCAGGAUUUUCAUGCUUUUGGGAGGAGAGUGUUGGUGUCUUCAUUCUGGGGCUGAAAGACUCUUAUCUGAACUGUUUCUAGAGCCUGUGGUGUGUGUUUGGGUCAGAGUUUGGAACUAGUAUGGGAUUGUCAGGUUUUUUUUGCAGCAGCUGAUGCUACCUGAUACCUGGAACUUUCGUGCUAUUGAGGAACAAGUAUUUCCUCUUGGCAUUAUGUGACUUUUGGCUCUGACUCUGAGGAAGGGGAAGUAUAGUGUUGUAUCACUUACUUUCAUAAAAAUAACUCUGACAUCUCCGGGCCUCAUGCGGGUCCAGGGAGUGUUCUUGAAAGCCAGGUUGCUGCUCUGGAAGGCACAUGAUGCAGCAGAAGGAAAGGUCACUGGGCUGGACCCUGGAACAGAGCUUGAGUCCACUCACAGUAUGUGCUUUACCCAGCGCCAUGGAACCUCAGUUACCUCAUUUUCCAAGUGAGACUCAAAAUCCUGACAUAGCUUAACUUCUGAGAAUGUUGCAGGCAUCAGUGAAAAUAAAUAGGAAGACCCCUGAAGGCCAGAGAUCCCUAAAAGAAUAGCAAGCAGCAAGUGAUACACCAAGAGCCAAACAGGAACACUGGUCAUUCCAGCCCCACCCCCCCAAUGGGUCGCCUGGUCCAGGAAGCUAUUGGAGUCCAACAUUCCUAAUUUAAUAACAACUUCAUUAUAUUUGUCUGAUUUAUACUUUUAUAGAUAAGCAGAUUUAAUCAUGGGCAUUCCAUAGAGGAGAAAAAGUUUUGGGGAAGUAGAGCUUAAUGUGAACCGGCACAUAAAUAGUCCCAACUUCAAGCUCAGGACUGACUUGUCCACCUGGGGAUGGCCCUGGAAUGGGGCCCAGCUUUGCUUCUGGAUCACCUUGUUUUCUCUUCAGUACCUUCGGACAUUGUUUCUGAGGUCCCUCCUUCCAUGUGCCUCCCUCUUUGUGCCUCCUAGGAACACUUGAAUCACAGGCUGGUGGUGUGGUUCUGGCCUUCCUGUUCCCACCUAUUUACUCAGCCUCGGCCUUUCUUUCCCCUGUGGCAGGCUCUGGCCUGUCUCAGUACUUGAACCUGAUCCCCAAGGCAGUGGUACAGCAAGUGCCUCAAUGCUCCCAUCUCUAGAACCUGGUGUGAGUCACUUGCCUGCCCUGGGAACCAGUUCUCUUCCCGGCCACACUGAGUGGAACAGAGUAGGUCUCAGCAAGCCCGUCAGUUAGCUGACUGACUCUCACAGUGCCCCUCUCUGGGACUUGGGCCCUGGGGACCUACUGUGUGUCUCCUGGCUCACACAUGGCCUCUUGAGCAAUGGCCUUGACGCACUCAUUAUUCCAUUCCCAUUCUGUAUCCUAUUGGAAACCUUGGGACUGAUGCCAGGUAUUUCCAGACCGUUCCUCAGGGUCAGUUCUGUGUAGAUAUUAUGUAGAUCCUUCAUUUUCUCCCCACUCUCAGUCGUAAGUUGUCACAAGUCACUUAGGUGUCAUUCCUAAGUUGAGAGAGAUGACACAUGAGAGCCCUGAUGAGCAUGCUGUUAUUAGACAGGACUAUCUUUGUGUGUCACAAGCUGCAGUCUGGGAUCCCCAGGUGACUUGUGUGUUAAUGUCUGUGUCUUUCGAGGAGUCAGCAUCCUCAGAUUUGCAUGAGGACAUUUGCACGAAUAAAGAAACCACCCUGUGGUCAGGUUGAGCUGUGUACAGGUGCAGGUGUAUGUGACUGCAGUGGGUGGUGCCCAGUGGAAGCCAGUUCUAAACAGACUAAUGCUGCCUCAUGGAGUGGGGAAUGGCAUGGUGACAACUUUGAGCCACCUGCCAGUAUCUCCAUGGGCCAGUUGAAUGAAUGACAGUAAAUAGUGGCCAGGACCUGCCAGAUCAGUAUCCUUACCUGCAGAGAGCCAGUGGUGGAGACUAUCACUGCAGGUGACUAAGAAACUAUGAUGAGCACCCUUAUUCAUAAGCGACAAAAUACUUGGUCAUUUCUCCUACCACGUUAUUAUUGCUAGCAACAGACAAUAAUCUGCUUCCUUCUCUUCUUCACCCCUUACCAUGAAGUGAAAGUUGUGACAUUAUCUAGAAGUUGGAGCGUUUCCUUCACAAAGCCAACAGAUGGGCUUCAGGAAAACUCCCUUGCUGACUUUGCUCCACAGCCCAGCAGGUUGCCUACUAAUCUAUAAAAACAACGUGCAGGCAGUUCAGAAAAAUCACCUACACUUUAAGAAAAAAUUCUAAAUUUCUUUCCUUUUCAGUAAGUAUUUUUUAUUUCUUUUACUGUCUCCUUAAGUAACUCUUCUUGCCUCCCAAAGAACCCUGGCAGUGACCUGCCUUCCUGGCACUAGAGUGAGGUAUUUGAUCUGGAGUGGCCAUCCCAGGGACCCUUAAGCAUUUAGCUUCUUGGGCUUCCUCCCAGGGUUGUUGCAGAUGGCAUCCUGCUUUUGCAAAGUGGUGGCCUCACUUGGCUGCACGCAGUGUUGGCCUGCUUUAUUGUGGUCGCGGUCAGCCACUGGAUGUCCAUCUCAGUGGGUCUCAGGCAAUUACCACUUGUUUUGGAAGCGACACACACACACAUGCUGUGCCCACACACACACACAUGUGUGCCCAUACACACACACACGUGCCCCCCCCCCCCAAAAAAAAAAAAAAAAACACUCACUCUGCUGUGAGAGGAGGGCCAGCCUGGGCUGUACCAGUUUCCCCCGAGAGCCCGCGUCUCCUCCCUGGGUGGAGGGCCGAGCUGCACACCCUGCCUUCUGCCUCCUUCCACGUCACUGUGGAUUUGUUGGGAUCGGUGUCUACCUCUUCAACUUGCUGCUUUCCUGAGAUAAUUGUAAGAAAGGAUAUAAUUUAAUCCUGAAAUAACGAUUUCUAGGAAUUUUCCCUUUAAUUUGUUAUUCCAAGUAAAUACCUUUAACAUUAGAAAAUAAACCUUACUACCUUAAUGUGGUUUCCCUCCUUCUGUUGGCCUGUUCCUUAAAGUGUACACCUGAGAUUGGCCUUUCUGUGGUUAAGGGUGAUUUCUAAGGUUUGGUGGUGGGAUCUUUGAUUUGACCGUCUUUAACAUAAUUUUGUUGGUGAUAAUGUCAUUGGAUUCUAUGAGUACACUAAUAUGGAAAUAAAGGCAUGAUUUUAGAUUUUAUUUAUAUCUUAGUGCUCUGGAAAAAAUAAUCUCAUGAGAAAUAACUCAGCCUAUUAAAUAACAUCCUUGACAUUACUUUUUUGGGUCUGCUUGUUUUUAAAAAAAGUUUUUCCAGACUUUGCUUUUUUAUUUUUAUUUUUUUUAAAUGAUUGUUUUAACCAUAUCAACAGUAAUAUUUUUAGACAUGUUAUUAAAAUCAUGCAAAAAAUGAUUUUCCAUGUUGACAUAGAGGAUUUUGUUAAUAAUCUUUAUUGUGAUCAAGAACUAGAGUAGAAUUUCCUAGCUAGACAAGAAUGAAUUAAAAAUUCCUGACAUGCCCCAUGAGUAUUAUAAAAGCUGUAUAAUCAGCCCUUCAUAUCUUUUUUUUUUUUGUACUAUUGGGUAUUGAACUUUGUGCAUGCAAGGCAAGCACUCUACCAACUGAGCUAUAUCCCAGUUCAGCCCUUCAUAUCUAUGGGAUUCAUAUUGAUAUUCAUGGCUUCUACUAUCAUGGUUCAAAAAUGUUUUCCAAAAAAAAAUUACACUGUAAUGGACACGUGGAGAUUUUUUUUUCUGGUCAUUAUUCUGUAAACAAGACAGUAGGAGAACUAUUUAUGUAGCAUUUCCAUUGUAAUAGGUAUUAUAAGUAAUCUAGAGAUGUUUUAAAGUUUGUGGGAGGAUGAGCAUAAGUCACAUGGAAAUACUAUAACAUUUUAUAAAGGAACUUGAGCCUUUAUGGAUUUUGAUAUCUGCCAUAGGUCUUGGACCCAUCCCCUGAGAUUCCAAAGUAUUCUAAAAAAUAUUACUCUGACGAAAAUAUUUAAGAGGGUUAAUUAGCUGGGCAUGGUGGCACAUGGCUGUAAUUCCAGUGACUGGGGAGGCUGACGCAGGAGGAUCACAAAUUCAAGGUCAGCCUCAAAAGCUUAGUGAGACCUGCCCCUGGGUUCAAACCCGGUUGCUAAAUAAAUACAUAACUGGGUUCACUGGGCCCUAAGAGUCUUGAGGACAGACUAUGCCUUGUUCAUACUUGUAUCCUUCUUCAGUGUGGCGUUAUGUAGAGGGUCAGUGCAGUCAAGGGACAUGGUUCAGGUUGUGGGGAGCUAGGUGGAGCUGGUGAAGAUUACCCUCCAUCCUUACAAGAAACCAUGAAGAAUUUUGGAACUAGGAAGUUGCAGGUAUUUUAGAAACAUCACUCUCGGGGCUCCGUGGGAGGGUGAAUUGGAGUGAAGAGAGCCUGGAGGCAGGGGGAACCCUGUAGGUAACUUUGACCUGGAGACCAGGUGAACAAGGAUGUGGGAAGGGUGUGUGGGAGGAGGGCAGGACUGUGGAUUGCAUGGUUGCCAAUUCAUGAUCCUUCAUCUGCUGUUACAGAAAACACCCAAAAAGGGCUCUGGAACUGAAAAGGUAUUUUCUUUGUAGUUGAUUUGGCAGUUAAACCUGAGCUUGCCCUGAACUCGUUUGGUGGCAAAGCCUGAUCCGACCUGCUGGGAUUCUUUCAAAAUCCUUUCUGAUCCCACUCACUGUUCGUAAAACAUAUUGACUGCGGAAAUACUGACGUGUUUGAUUAAGGGAAAUUUCCCUGGAUUGUGCAGUUUUCUGUUUCUAAUAUAAUCCAUGAAUCGUGCUGUACAUAUUUUCUGAAAUGAGAAGGAUUCUAACUCAGAGCUCUCUGGCCCAAAGUUUGGGUUAAGGGUUUUCAAAGCUAUUUCACCUGUAUUUUUUUCCUGGUCAUUAUUCUGUAAACAAGACAGUAGGAGAACUAUUUAUGUAGCAUUUCCAUUGUAAUAGGUUUUAUAAGUAAUCUAGAGGUGUUUUAAAGUUUGUGGGAGACUGACAGAUAAAACACAGAGGGAUUCCAGAGGCUCGGGAGGCUGAGACAGGAGGAUCCCAAGUUCAAAGCCAGACUCAGCAAAAACAAUGUGCUAAGCAACUCAGUGAGACCCUGUCUUUAAAUAAAAUACAAAAUAGGAUUGGGGAUGUGGCUCAAUGGUUGUGUGCCCUUCAGUUCAAUCCCUGGUACCAACACACACACACACACACACACACACACAAACACACACCGGGAAGAACUGGGAAAAAAGAAUACAUCUCCUCUGGACGACUCAAAGGUGAAUGACACCAUCUCAUUGACAUGAAGAGAAGCAGCACUUUUUGGAGGGCUAGAAACAUUCAUUAGAGAUGCCACGAUUCAUCAAAAAUGAUGUAUCUUGGAUUGUUCGAGUGUCUCUUGUACGUGGGAUUUUGGAUUUCACAGCAGUUGGAGAAAUCUGCAUCACAUCUGUAGAUAAGUUCUUCGUAUUGCAUUGGUGUUGAUUCUCUGUUUUCAUCUUUAUCCUCUGAUUAUGUAAGAGUACCACCGGAUCCUGAAGGAAGGGCAUGUGAGAAUUCUGGGUACAACUUCUUUUAUAAGAUUAUUUCAAGGUAGAAAGUUUAAAGGAACGAGUAAAAUUGUCAUCGUAUCUGGGGUGUCCUCCUCCAUGUUGCUUUGAAGUCUCUGUUAACUAUCUGUUAGCAGGAGCCUGGUUUUCAUGCGAAAUUAAAAUUCUAAAAAUGCUUAUCGAGUAAAAUUUCAAAGUCAAAUUUCAACCUCCUUCUCUCUCUCUCACUCUUUUUUUUUUUUUUUAGGCUAAUCUGGUUUGUAUCACAAGAUUAAUGAAACAUUUUUCUGAUUUGAGAAAAAUGUUUGAUUCCAGUUUAAGUGCAUAUAAAGAGGAGUCAGGAAACGGAGCCAGUGGUGUGUGGAGUUCUUGGGAGGCGCUGCAUUCUUCCUUGCAUUUCAUCUCCCUGGUGUUGGAGGGUGUGGUUUGGCACUAGCUCCUGUCUGCCGCUCUGCAGGUCAGGAGUGGGUUCAUUAGUUUGGACUGACAGUUAUAAUACGAUGUUCAAAGCCAAGAGGGUUUGCAGAUAACAGGAAGAAUGACAAAAAUGUGUGCCUUCAAUGGCCAAGUCAGCUGGCUUGGGUUGGGCCACACUGAUGCUCCUGGGCACGUGUUUCCCUCAUGGAGAGAGGAUUCGUCUGGAAAGCCAUUGCUUCACUCUCUCCCUUCUACCGCCUCCUGUGGUUUCAGCUGAUUUGAGACUCUCUCUACACUCUCCUCUUUUCUUUCCCUUUUGAUGAGAGUAGACGAGGCUGGCAGCCAGUUGCUGUUGAGCUAUAAUAGAGCUAGUGAUAUGUACAAAAUUUGAUUACUUCUGUCAACCCCAGAUUGAAUAAGAAAGUGCAUACUCUAGACAGAUACUUGCAACAUAAAUGGUCUAUUGAUUUCACAAGGACUAGAAACGAGGCCACUGUGUAAUCUAGCAGAAGAGCAGAUCUGUGAAGAGCUGAUUCUAAUGUCACAUGGGUUUUCAAAGGUGCCUCCUGCUAGAUAUUUUUAGAAGAGCCUUCAGAAAACUUUUGGUAAACUGAUGAUAGCUCCUGAUUUUCUUCAUGGUCAAGGUUUGAGAGAGAUUCCAGGGAAGCCUGUAUACUUGUUCAGUGGUCUGCUUUUCCUGUGUAGAAGCUGGUUCAGAAGUUAUGCCAUCUUCUUUGCUCCUGAACCAUGAUGACAUUUUCUCUUAGUUUAAUAUGAAUGUUCUAGAAAUUUCCCACAAUGGAAAGUUCUAUUUGACAGAGGAAAGUUCAUCGGUCAGUUUCAUAGUUAGCUGUAUGCCAAGAAGUAAUGAAAACAAUGAGUUACAUAGUGCAGCCUUGGGACAUGGAAAAGUUUUUAGGGGAUGGAUGAAUUCUAUUAUUAAUCCAUGUUGUGAGGCCUGGGGCCUUACAUUGGAAUAUUUUUUUUAAAAAAGUUUUUAUUUUUGAAAAUUUGUACCCUUUUGAUAUUUUCUUUGUUGUAUAUGGAUUUUGUUCUGUUGAGUUUUAUUUUAGGGAUUAAAAAUUUAAAUCCCAAAUAGGAUGUUUUAGGAAAGAGGUAUUUAAUAUCAUUAUACAUAAAUCUAUUCAAACAAAGUAAAAUCUGAAAAAUGUGAUAAUCUCUUUGAAUUGAUUUUAAAAAAAGAAAGAAUUACAUCUUGCUUUUGACAGGGAAGGGGAAAUUUUUGCUUGGGUCUAGAUCCUGAUUUUUUAAUCCCCCCUCCCCCCCCUUUUUUUUGUUACUAGGGAUUGAAUUCAGGGCCACUCAAUCACUGAGCCACAUCCCCAGCCCUAUUUGUAUUUUAUUUAGAGACAGGGUCUCACUGAGUUGCUUAGUGCCUUGCUCUUGCUGAGGCUGGCUUUGAACUCCUGAUCCUUCUGCCUCAGCCUCCUUGGCUGCUGGGAUUAUAAGCGUGCAUCACUGUGCCUGGCUUGUUAUCCCCUUGACUAUCUUCAACGUUUGUGAGAUUCUCCAUCUUGAAACACAUCUGGCCUAAAAUCUCUUCCUAAAAAUAAUUCUAACUAUUUACUCACAAAAGGCUGCUUUAAUUGGGCUUAUUUCUAUAUAUGAGAUAUAUACAGAAAGAGAGGUGGAAAAGAUGGAUUGGUCAUGGAUUGAAGUGUCAUGUUUAUCUUUAGAAUUUCAUAUUCUUAAGAGAUUUCAGAAGUAACCCUCUGGUGAGGAGGUGCUUAAGCAGCCCCCUCCUGGAGAUGCAAACCUGAAGGCCCCUGACCUUCUGUGGGUAGGAACCUGGACAGCUAUCCCAGUAAAAAUGCUGGAAUUCUUUGAUGCCUGUUGGAACUGGCCACUGCUAAAGAUGGACAUAGCAGGAUAUUGCGUGCUGUUGCCAAGGUCCAUUCUGAUCAGAUGGUGACCAUAUCUUAGUGCUCAUUUUGUGUUGUUUUGAAUAUUUAGUUCUUCCUUUGAGAACAGGGACAUUUCAGGGUACUGAUCAAACUGGGCUUUGGUAGCCACCAAGGAAAUGAAAUGACAUUGAGAUUCCACUUCAUACCUCCUAGGAUGGCUAUAAUAAAAAAAGAGACAGCAACAGGUGUUGGUGAGGAUGUAGAGAAUUUGAUGAAUAUGUACAAAGGUACAAUUUGGAAAACUGGUAGUUCUUCAAGAGGUAUGAGCAUAGAUUUACCUAGCAAUUCCAUUCCAGGAGAUGUAGCUCUAAGAGAAAUGAAAACAUAUGCCCACAUAUAAGAUGUGUUCGCAGAUGUACAAAACAUAAAAAAGAUUCAUAUUAGCCAAAAAGAUAGAAACAAGCCAGAUAUCCAUGAACUGAUGAAUGAGUUGGUAAAAUGUAUUUUAUCUAUGUAACAGAACAUUAUUAUCAUUAUUAUUUGGUACUAGGGAUUUAACCCAGCCCUUUUUAUUUUUUAUUUUGGGACAGGGUCUUGCUAAGUUGCUUAGGGCCUCACUAAGUUGCUGAGAUCCUCCUACCUCAGCCUUCCAAGUGCUGGGAUUAUAGGCCUGAGCUACCAUGCUUGGUAAUGGAAUGUUAUUCAGUCAUAAAAAUCAAACACUGAUACAUAUUACAAUGUAGAAUCUUGAAAACAUGCUAAAAAAAUACGCCAGUCAUAAAAUACUGUAUCUUGAGUUUUCAUUUAUAUGAAAUAUCUAGAACAGGCAAAUCUGUGGAGAACAGAAGUACAUUUUAGUUGCUGCCUUGGGCAGGGGUGGGGAGAGGGCAUGAAGGUUGUCUGCUUUUUUUUUGGGGGGGGGGGUGAUGAAGUUUUCUAAAAUUGAUUGUGUUAUCGCUGCAUAGUUCUGUGGAUGUGCUGAUCAGCCUUGAAUUAUACACUGUUAAUGGGGAAUUGCAUAUACCAUGUGAAUUGUAUACCCAUAAAAUUGUUACCCAUUUUGGGCUUAGAUUAUUUGACAUAAUCUGUAUCACUGUACUUUCCACUGUGUCUCUCUAUCCUCACAACAAACCUAUGAGACAACAAGCCGAGGUCACUGUCCCAUUUCACAGAUUCAGAGGUUGAAGCAUAAAGGAAAUAUUUGUGCCGGGGCCAUUCAGAUUCUGCUCUGUAGACUUUUCUUUUCUAUACCUCAGCCAGCAGCAGAAAUUCAGCAGCCUUUUAAUUCCAACUGGUCUGCAUUCUAAUAGGGGUACAUAUUCAAUGAAAGUUUUUGCAAUAAGAAGAAAGUUUUUAUUUCAAAGCAGAAAAGAGAAAAAUCAGAUAAAGAUAAAGAAAGCAGGUGCAAUAAUAUGAAUAAUAAUGUUUCUUGCUUUUUACAUAUGUGUGGAUAGCAUGUGCAUAAUGAUAGCAAGAGACUGUGGCAAAUACCCAACAUAGAAUAGUAUGGAAAAUAUGAGUCAAAGUGGUUACCUUUUAUCUUAUAAUUCUGUGUGGUUAAGUUUAUUCUUUCCAUAAAAACAAUUUACAAGGGAUUAAGAAGCAAUUAUUUUGACUUUCAUUUCCCUAAGGAAUAUGUGGACACUAAAGUGAAAUAAUAAGUCUGAGUUAUUCUUUGAAGUACAGUUAAUAUGUAACCAGACUCUUCAGGCCAAUGGCAGAGUCAGGAGGGCAAAUGCCUUUAUUUAUAUACCUAGUGGGAGGGACGGGGGUGCCCCUCGCCAUUGGACACUGCCCAAACAGGAGGAAAAGUCAUCAUCUCUCUGUAGCAGAUCAGGAACUUUCAAAGGCCCUUCGCAUGACUUAGAAAAGAAAGAAAAACAGUAACAACAAAAACUACCUAAGGAGUUUUCACUGACUGCAGAGUGUAACUUCCUGUCUUGUCUUCAGGGGAGGUGGGGUUAGGUUUAGUCAGAUCCUCUCGUGGGAAAAAUAAAAGCCACCAAAAAAAAAACCAAAAAAACAAAAAAACAGGACAUCCCAGUGUGCAGUUCGCAGUCCGCUUUGGUUGUCCACUUCCUCUGCAUCCUUUUCCUCAUCAUCUCAGCAAAUGUAGGUGAUGAGCCGCCCGACAGCCACCGCACUAAACUGGAAGAAGUGUAGAUUUGAUUUCCCCGGGCAAGCAGCUUUGCAAACUUGCAAGCGAAUACCAGGUAAGUUUGUCAACUUCUGAGAUGCCUGGCCAGCAAGGUUUCGAAAAGAGGAUGUCAGCCAAGGCAGAGCUCUCUCUUUCACUCACUGAGCCGAAUUUGUUAAAUAACCAAGCUGCUGAGGGCAGGCCCCAGGGCCGGUGACAGGCCUGCCCUUCCUGACGCCUGUGUACCCUGAGCAGGGGAGACCAGCACCGCGGGCUUCAGAAUGCACUUCUGAAGGUGACAACUUGCCAGAGUUAUUGGAAGAAGAGCGCCAAGGAACCUUAAAUUUGUUGUGACUAGUGUGCUUCGCUGUUUUCAAAGCAGCUUGCUCUGUGUUGGCUGCUCACUGUCAGAGGGAGUUUCCUCUGUGGUGCUGAAUAUUGAUAGACCUCAUCCCAUAUGGUAUUCGCUCUGGUCUCUUGGUGGAGAAAGCAUUUUAAUUUUAAAAAAUUUGUAGUUCAGUUCUGAGAGAGGGCAGAAUUAGUCAUUUGUAUUUUGGGGAGGCAUUAUCAAUGGGGGUUUUGUUUGGGUAUGGCUUGUCCAGGGGACAUGCAAAUGUGUCAUAGAGGAGUGUCAUCUGUGCUUUUCUCUCGUUAAGUUCAGUCAUCCAUAUCCUUCUUUCUUUCUUGUUUGUACCAGGGAUUGAAUCCAGGGGUGCUGAACUACUGAGCCACAUCCCCAACCCUUCUUUAAAAAACUUUUUUUUUUUUUAAUUUAGAGACAGGUUUCACUAAGUUGCUUAGGGCCUCACUAAAUUGCUGAAGUGGCUUUGAACUCCAGAUCCUCCUGCCUUAGCCUCCUGAGCUUCUGGGAUUAUAGAUAUGCGCCACUGUGCCCGGCUCAGACAUCCACAUCUUGUUUAAUGGAUGUAUGUGUGUACUGUCUUAUGAGCUUCCUGAGAAAAAGAUUCAACUAAUGUGUUUUGUUUGACCAUAUAGUUCAUGAAUGAAUAUUGUCACUCGGGAAAAUCUUGUAGGAUACUUAGAGUUAAAAACAUUUUUUCUUUUUUUUUGAGAUUACUCUUUCCCUUAAUGUUUUCCUUUCGAGAUCCAUAUGAAUGAGAUGGUGAGUACGUACUGUAAAUAUCCACAGCACAGAGCAAAUUUAAAUGAAAAUGAAUGAAGCAGCCUAUAGCUUCUUAGUGAGCUUGGUUUCUUGGCCAAGUGUCACAGGAUAACACUGUGCUAUAGUUCUCCUCAUUGGCUCCUACUUUAUUCUCUUAUUGAAGAAUGAUGUGGCCGCAACACAAAAUUGAAAUACCUUCCGUGGACCCAAAUUAAAGCCCUAUGCUUAGAAGCAGCCAUUGGUUGCAGCAUGGUAGCCUUUCUAAAUUUCUUUGUAUUCUCGUGUAAUCCUCUUUCUUUCCUUAGCAUGAAUAGUGUCUGCAGUCUUGGCUAGUUUUUGUCUUACUGUCUUGCUACAGAUGGUCUGGGUAGUUAGAGUGGUUGAAAUUACAAGACCAUUAGAAGAAAAAUACAGACAAACCUUUAAAUAGCAAGCAAACUCAGUGAGUGGACUACAGCUUCAAAUAUAUUUAAAUGCUGUGUAGGCUGAUUUCUGGUCUAUUUAGAUAGCAUUCUUUCCUCUUCUCUGGCCAGUCAAGGCUUUAGGAAAAUAGAAAGCAUUUCUUUUAAUAAAAAAAAAAGUAUCUCAGGGCAUGUUAUUUUAAUAAAAAUAGAAAACCAAACUAGUGUGGUUACCAUAUGAAAUUCCACCAGGGUCCAGCUUCUCCUCAUAGGUUGUUAUGGAGCCCAGGUUUUCUUUUGUGUUGUUAUUUAUUUCUGUAGUGUAGAUUUCUUUGGUGAUCUUAUUAGUGGUAGUGAUGUUUCAUGUUAAAAAUAACAUUUCACUGGUGGUUAAAGUAUUCAGAGGGAGACCAAAGUUUAAAAAAUAAAUUGAAAAUGUGAAAUGAGAACGAUCCUUGGGAGGCAUCCUGGGGCACCUAGGCAUCUGUGAAUGCCCGGAUGAUUUGUGUCUGCAAGUUUCCCCUGUUCAGGAAGCUGCUCCUGGGAGUGCCUGCUCCUCGUGCCACCCUUCCUGCUCCCUUGUUGUCUGACAGGACUCCACAUCUGUGUUGGCCGUUUCCUUUUUAGAUGGACAGUUUAAAAGUCUCAAAACCAAGUAUUAGAAACACCACAGUGCUGAAGACCCCCAGCCAGGAAUCCUGAUGUCAUUGGCCUGAGGCCUUGACUUUGAAGCUUUUUAGAAGCUUUCCAAGUGUGCCUACUGUGGAGCCACCACAGAGGGGCAAAAGGGGAUGUUAUUCAUCCCCCUCCGACUGACACCUUGGGGAGGAGCAGCUGUGGCUGCCAGGCAGGAAGGGCUCAGCACCUGAAAGGCUUCCUUUGGGCAACAGGAGGGUGGGACAGAGGCUUAGCUUCCCUCUGUGCUGUGGGAGGGGGUGGUGUGUUCAGAACUGGGCGUCAUCUGGGAAGAAGCUCUAGCUGUUCCUCUGGGGAGCAGGUGGCUCUUCUGGGUAUCCUCAUGGGACAAGGCUGGCUGAAAACGUUGAGUAUUAUAUAUACACACAUAUAUAAUAUUUUUGCAAUAUAAUGAUACAUACCACAAAACAUGAGAUUUUAAAGCACAAAAGAUAACAUUUUAUAAUAUAAAAUAUAUAAAAUGUUAUAUUUGAAUAUGAUAUCAUUUUAUAUAAAAUAUUAUAUUUUAUAAUUUAACAAUUUUGAUAUUAAAUAUUUUUAUUAUUUUUUAAAAUACUUUUUGUGUUACUGGGGAUGAAUCCAGGGGUGCUAUACCAUGGAACUACAUCCCAAGCUCUUUAAUCCACCCCCCACCGCCCCUCAUUUUGAGACUGAUUCUCACUAAGUGGCUGAGGCUGGCCUUGAACAACUCAUGACUUGGGAUUUUCCUGCCUCAACCUCCCAAGCACAGGCAUGAGACUUUCUGAUCAUCUUGGACUGUGUGCGCCGGUGCGUGUGCACUUGCAUGUGAGGGGGAGAGGAGGGAGAGGGAGGAGGAGUGGCCAUCUGAUGACACUUUCAGGAGGUUCUCCCUGACCCUGGCUCAUUUGUUGCAACCCAGUUGGAUUGCUGAUGUCUUCCAUUAUUUUUUAUUCUUUCACCUAUUUCGUCAACAUUGAGAACCUGGUAUAUAUCUUACUCUGGGGAGGGGCUGAUGGCAGGAAAAUAAAGGUGAUCAUUCUUCCUCUGCGGGGUGAGGUCCUGGGAAGGUUGUGUGAGAAGGCAAACACAAGUUGGCUGACUGAAAGGACCAUGGUCAUCUGCCGGGGUGGAAUAUGAUUAAAAAGCAGAAGAAUCGUUAUAUUUGAGAAAGGAAGAGAGCAUGACUUGUUUGAAAAAGACUUGGGGAGUGGGUGAUGAGCCAUGUGAUGAACAUGAUACUUGGAGGGUGUGACCUGGCACUCAAGUCUUGGGCCCCAGCUACCCCCACCAUGGACUGAAUCCCUGAGCCUCUGAGAUGAGAUCUCUCAAUAGGUAGGAUUCCCUCCAGGAUUGUGGUCAGGAUUCUUGGUGUAAUAAGUUUUGAAGUAUUUUGCAAGCUAUAGUAAUCACUCCAAGUUAAAAAAAAAAGUAUAAAAAUUUAGUAAAAAUUAUAAAAAUUUAGUCAGUUAAUAAUGGGCGUUGCCUGCUCUUUAGAGUCUAGGAACAGGAAAUCACACAUUAUGUUCAUUACAUUCAUUAAAAUGUUUAAGCUGGAACUGUGCACCCGUCUUCUUUUUAGUGUAUUUUAUUUUUCCUUGGCAUUACUUGAAAGGCAUGUUCAGCAACUGGUCCUGGAUCUGUUUCAUGUUUUCAUUUGGGUUCUCUGACCCCUCCAUAGAGGGCACCAGGUGCUUCCUAUUCUAACCAUUAGCAAAUCCCAGGAUUUGGUUGGAGAGACAUUGAGGGGACUGGUAUGACAUGAGCACGGUGGUCUCCUCGCUCCUGCCCCAAUACUUUGACCUUACUUUGAACAGUUCAGUGAACCAGCAACUCAAGUAGUUUUUUCCCACUGCUCUAGGACUUUCAUUGUUUGGAGGAGGAAGCUGAGUCAUAGUCCAAUUCUACCAUUGUGUCAAAGUGAAAUUUUAGUCUAGGACUAAAGGAACAUAGGUCACACUUUGUGAAAUCAGACUAUCGAAAGGUGGAUUAUGAGCUGGGCAGAGAUUAUUGUACAAUGGCUAUGCAAUUGAUAUCAAGUUCAAGGAACAUUUUAUUAGAAGAACUUUUUGACCCCAAAUCUAAUUUUUAGUAAUGCUUUAAAAAAUCUUUAAAAAUACAUUAAUUAUUCAGACUCCUUGAAAAACAUUCAAUGCAGAUUGAAAAUUAUGCAAAACAGAAAACUAUCAUUCCUUCUCCCCCAUGAUAACCAUGGUUAAUAGUUUUAUUUGUCCUAGCUACAUGUUUUCCUUAUCAGUAUGCAAAUAUAAGGCUUUAUGUGUAGGUUCCCACAAAUAAAGUUUUUCUCUUUGAACCAAAAUUGAAAUCAUUCUGUGUUGGGGCCAUCCCGUUAAAAAUAUACUAAAAAUACCCGUGUACACGUAUCUUAGUCCACUGGGGUAAUUAUUGGCGCAAAUAUGCUUUUACAGUUAAAUUGACAUCCACAAAGGGUAGAGAAGUGAAAAGUGGUAGAUCUGUGUUUGAACUUGCUUUUCUUUUUUGUGCAAUUGAACUUCUCUGCAUAUGUUUGCAGGCCCUUCCUGUGAAUUCUUCAACAAAUUGCCUUUUGCCUUUUUCUCAUUUUUUUUCUGGAGUUUGGAUUUCUGACUUUUAAACUCUUCAUGAUUCCAAAAGAUAUUCCUACUCCCACAAUGGCAGACUGUGAAUGACUUACUUGAAUUUCUUUUGAGUUUUAAGAUGGUGAACUUCUAACUUAAAAGAUGGAUAUUAUUUCCAGAUCUCUGGAUAGAAGUUUGAGUGUUUGGACUGAGAGUCUAUAUUUUCUCCUUCUCUGUGGGUUCAUUGUGGAAUCUGUCAUCCUGAGCUGUGCUGAGACUAGUAAUUAUAUAGGUGCUCUUUCUACUUUAUCACAUUUUUUAUACACUUAAUAAAUUAUUUUCAUAUGGAGAGCAAGCCUAGGAUAAUUUAGAGAGAAACGUGUCUUCCAUGUAUUUUAUGGAACAUGUUAGAUUAGUAGAGAGGGGCUGUGGAAUUAGACUUAAAAUGUAAUGCCAACCAUGCUGCAUUCUGAGCCUCAGUUUCCUCAGUUGCACGAUAGAGGAAAAUGGGCUGAGUUAGUCUUUAAAUGUGUAACAUUCUGGCAUGUAACUUAGCCAAAUUGAGGAAAAAUUUAUAACAAAUAAUGACUGCUUAUGAUAGUAGAGAUUUUGUAGUGAAUACCAGAAAGACUUAGGUGCAAUAAGACAUUAGUUUAAACGAGGCCCCACAUGCACCAUUAUCUUGAAAAUUUACCAGUUUGUCCUCAUCCUUCAAUUCUGAUCUGUUAGUGAUUUUUCACAUCAAAGUUUUGAGACUGUAAUUCUAGGCUGGGCUCCUUUAACCACAGAUCUACUCCAUGGCAGGAAAUAGCCUUAUAGAACAGCAAAUGGCCUGCAGUUGCUUGGAGGGUGUCUUUGUGGCAGGGUGCCAGAAAUGUUUUGCUGGUUUCAAAGUUCACUUUCAUUUGUUCAGAAGGGUUUUUACUGUUUGCAGGCAAGCCAGGUGAACCACGAGAAGGGGUGCAAGCCUCCCCAAUCAUUUUGUGCUACAUGACCUAUUUGCCUUUUGGUGCUUUAUAUAAAAAGCUUUAUUUAGUCUGCAGUGAAGUUAUUUCUCCAAAUAGAGGAGAACUGUCUUGGUAGUCUGGGAACAUGAGAGAUGUCAGUUGAAUGCCGCUGAUCUGGAUACUCAGAGAGGCUGGCUACAAGGUGCUGGAAAGAUAGGCACCUCCCACAGAUUCUUCCAGGUCACUUGCGUUUCAUCAGUGAAAAUACCUGGUCAGAUAGCAAUCCACUUGGCCCUCUGAGAAGCAGGUCCUUUUAUCACACCAGCACUGACCCUCUUCUACUGGCACAACGAGCCCCUUACUGGGAACUUUCUGCCAGGGCUAGUCUCCUGGCUUCUGACCUGGCCUAUUUUCUUGUUGACUUCUGGAUCGCAUGCUUCCUCUGUUUUGCAGAUGAAAUUUAUGGCAGAUUGACUUUCUUUUGAGAUAACUCAAACCCACCUAUGCAAUCUAGCAUCAGCCAAUCUAAUAAGAACUCGUUAGUUAGUUGUUAAUGAAUAUAUAUUAUCUAACUGAAUAGUUAGUCGUACAGCAGAAAGAGUAUAAGAGAGAGAGAGAGAGAGAGAGAGAGAGAGAGAGAGAGAGAGAGAGAGAAUGGUUUAAGGCACACUUGGGAAUAGGAGAGAAAAACAUCUCAAAAUGAAAAUAACUAUUAUGUUUUAACUCUGCUCAUGUGAGUUCUUUAAACUAAUGGCCAUGUUCUGUCUUUGCUCUUAUGUAUUUCAAAGUGAUGGAUUUUUAAACAGGGAAGUUGUAGAUAUUCUGCAAGUGGACUGAGGAAAUAGUUCUCAUGUCCCUUUUUGUGUCCCAUGGAGCCUUUCUUGUCUAUCCAUCUCCUGCCUGUUCAUUUCUCCUGCUAUUACAAAGAGAAUCUUACGUUUUAUGACAAGAAUUUAUUUUGUGGUUAAAUGAGGUGUACUGAAUUUUUAAAAAGUCCUUGAGAUUGCUUUCUGUGUAUUCACUGGGUUGGUUGCUAGGCCUUAUGCUGCAGAAUUUCUCUGAGCAGUAAAAUCUAAAUAAAAAUAGAAAGUGUUGAAGGUAAAUCUGCAUCUUGAUUACUGAAAUAAAGAAUUGACAUUUACUUCCCAUAGUCUGGAAGACAUUUAGUAAAUAGUAUUUGCCUGGUGUUUUAUGAUGAAUCACUCUUAGCAUAUUGGGUUUGUGUUGUGAAGCACAUAAGCAUUGAUUUCCCUCUAAGUUUUUAAAUUUUCUCAUCUAUUUUUCUUGAAUAGUGCCCUGUUUUCUAUCAACCUCAACUACACCACACAUGGCUCAGAAUUAGAAAUGAGGAGGAAAAAAUAGAGUAGGAGGCCAAAAAUAAAUGAUUUGGUGAACAAUUAUCGAGCACCUGCUGUUUCCUGCAUCCUGUGGUAGUAGUUCAUGGAAGCGUUGGAGUCUUUUAAAUCUGGUUUUAAACUUAAUGAUUCUACUCACUGGCUGCAUGGGAUCAUUGCUUGUGCCUUACAGACUGUGCACACAGAGCUUGUGAUGGACAUUUGCCCCCUGGAAGGCAGGCACACCACAAAGUCAGUGCCUUAAGGCUUUAUUUCGUGACUGUUUUCUUAUUUCACACUUGGGUAUCAGUUUCCAGAUUUAGAACAGUAAAUUAGAAAGGUAGUGGGUGUGAGUGCUGCUAAAAUUGACAUCCUGACAAUAAUGUGCCCACUAACAGGCUGAUUGUAGGAGAUAAAAAAAAUAAAGAGCAAAGCCAAGCAACCUAAGUCAACAGGGCACUCCAGUUUGCCACUCAAGUAGGCUAAAAUUGGAAAAAUAAUUAGCAUGUGAAAAAGCUCUUCUACUGAAAUGGCUGUGCAAGCUACAGAGGCAAAUUGGUUUUUCUGGGAUAUAGCAUCCAACUAGGCAUUAGAAUCCUGUUUUCGUGUGUCUGGAUUUAGGCUCAUCUGCACUGCUGGUUUCCAGUGCCUGGGUUGAUGCUUUGGGGCCAUUUCAGUGACUUUGAGAAGCAUUGUUGAUGUACUUGGAAUUGGACAGUUGGAAGCAGGGAGUGACCUCAUGGUUUGUUCUGCUAGCAGGUCAUCAAUAAUUCCCUCCUGUGGUCAGUCUAGUACACCUUGUCAAGGAAUUCCUUCCUAACCACCAAGUAUAGGUUUCCCUUUUCUCUCGUCUUACAGCUUCUCUACUCGUAUCAAAUUCAUUAAUUCCUAGUUGUGUUCACCUGUCACAGCAUCUAUGCAGGUGUUAUCUGUAUUUUUGAAAAUCUAAUCUACCUCUGCAAAGUGAGUCCUGGAGACUUACAUUUUAAUGAUCUUCUCCAGGUGGUCAAUAUGUAUGUUUGAGAACUUUUGCUUUGGAGCUUGAAGACAGGCCUGUUCUUGUUUGUCUUUUGAGUCUUGGGAGAUACCACUGUUCUUGGUAUGUUUUGGUGACUCAGAAUGUUUUAGGUGAGUGAAUGAGAUGGAAUUCCAGUCAGAAAUGAGGGGAAGCAGGUGUGCCUGUGGAGGCCAGUAUGCCAUCAAAAUCAGUUGAAUGAUUCUAGGCCAUUUAUCUUUAUUGUUUUGAAAGAUAACAGUAUGUAAUACUGAAAAUUUAAUAUGAACAUACCAGAAUUAGUUCUUGUGUUUUUCCUUAAGAAAAUACACUGUACCUUUAUAAUUUGUAUUUAUGUCUUUUUUGAAAUAAACACUUAUUUUAGAAUAGUUUUACAUUUGCAUACAAUUUACAAAGAUGGUACAGAGAGUUCUGGUUUAUCCUGUGGGUUGAGGGCCCCCAUGUUAAUAUCUCACAUUACUGUUAUGUCACAGUAAAUGAACCAAUAUUGAUACAUUGUUAUUCAUAGUCAUUGUUAUGAAUAAUAAUUCAAAUGUCUCAUCAGGAGUUAUUGUUGAAAUUUUGUAAAUUUAUAGAUGAAAUAAUAUGUAUGGCAUAUAUCAUGUUUUGAGUUUGAAUUCUUUUUGUGUGCAAGUUCAGACUCAAAACUUUCGAAUUCUCAUAUGUAGUCAUAGUUGCAAAUAGGUCCACAAAGCAAAUAGGCCAAUACUUGUGAUAAUUAGAUUAUCAAACAGAUUUCAAAGGCUAACAUUUGGCUAAUCUAUUUGAAGUAUUAAUGGAAAUAAUUGUAUAGGCUUCUAUAGGCAUGUUAUUUGUUUUAAUUAUUUAUUGUCUUUUCAGGCAGAGGGUACUAUUCAAAAUAUUUAACAGGUGUAGUAGAGGCCUCAAACUGAAGACCACAUAAUCAGAAGGUCCUAAUAAUAUGGCCCUAGAAAGUUCUACUGGUUAAGAACACCUGAUAUAAAGCAGUUAAAACAGCCCAUCCCUGUGUUAAUAGGUGCUAUCUAAAUAUUUCUAUUAUUGUUGCUCUCAUCUUUCACUUCAGUUGUUUAUUUCUAAUAAGUUUAAAACAAAAAGUGAGAUAACACCAGGAUUUCUUUAUAUAGUUAAAUCAUCACGUGUAUUAAAAAUUGUACAUUUUUGGUGCUUAAGGUACAUCUUGAUGGUUUUCUCCAUUUGCUAGACACACAUACUGUGUGGACAGAAGAAAUGUGAGUUGUAUUCACAGGUUGGUUUUUUGCCUCCUGUCCUGCCCUCACCUGUCAGGUUCCCCUCUGACAUUGUAGCCUAUUGGAACCAGAGACUGUUGGACAUGGAGAUGUGGAAUUUGGAGUCCAGUUGUUUUUCCAGACUCCCUCACAAACACCCACAGCCUGGUUUCAGCUGAUUGCAGCUAAGCAAGGGCAGGAGACUAUACUUGCCUUAUGCCAAAUCCCCCUCACUUCCCCAUGAUGAUAUGUUAUCAGUGCUCUGAUCCCUGUUAUUUGUUAAGUUAAUCUGUGCUUCAGGGAUCUGGGAAGAUCAGAGCAUUUUGUUUUCUGUGACUUCAUUUUGUAAUAUAGGCUCUGGGUAGGUGAGACUGUACUAGAGACAUUGAAUCCCAACAAUUUAAUAUCUUCAAACAGUGUUUUAUAUUUAGCCUUCCCAUCCCCUUCAGCAUUCCAGAAACAGAUGCUUAAAUUGGUUAAACAGUCCUUCUGCUGUGUAUUCUAAGGCCUCCAUUUUCCUAUUAGCAAGUGUUUUUGUGUGUGUGUGUGUGUGUGUGUGUGUGUUUGUGUGUUUUAAAUCCACAAAUACGUGAAAACAGAAUAGUCAAUGGGACUGGAGGAUUAUUGAAAAUCCUCCCCAUGUUAGAACUGUUGAUCUCAGGAUUUCCUACAGACACUUUGAUGGCCUUAUCUAUUUCUCCUUUGAAUUUACUUGGCUGUUUCUUAGCAAACAUUUUAUUUGCCAAUGUGGUUAUGAAAAUAAUUAUUUGCAACAAGAUCCGUUACGAUAUUAAGUCAUCUUAGACAAAUUAGUAAACUUACUUCAGAUGCCAGUUUUUACAUCUCGUGUUGUAGAUGUGAUUGGUUCCCUGGUGUUGGGUGAGGAGGAGCAUGUGGGAGCAGGUCCUUCCCUUUUGAUUGGAGCACUUGGACUUCAGAGUCAGUCUGUAUGAAUUCUGCUUCAGGUACUCCCAUUUACUAACACUGAAAUACCUGGGCAAGUUGCUCACUUUUCAGUAUUAGUAACCUCUGUGGAAAAAGGGGACAGUAAAAGCAUCCAUUCCAUGUAGAUAUUGUGAGAAUUAAAUUACAUAGUAAUCCACGUAGGAUGCAUUCCAUAAAUGUUGCUAAUUAUAGCACCAGUAAUAAUGCAACCACUGUAAUUAAUGCUCCUGUUAAUUACUACUACUAUUAAUAGAGCCACUAGUAUGAAUCAAGUUGGCUGAAUUGAGAUUUGAUUUGCUGUUUCUCUAUAGGUGAUACUGUGCCACAAAACAACCAAAAGAUAGAAAGAGGUAGAUAUAAAAUCCAAAUUAAUUAGCCUUACCCUGAAUGGUGUUGUCACUUCAAAAUUUAAAUCAAUAACAUUACAACAUUUUGUGCUGUCCCAUGGAAAUUCUUAUUUUUAAAACUGUAUUGUUAGAGGCUGGGGUUAUGGCUCAGCGGUAGAGUGCUUGACUUGCACCUGUGAGGCACUAGGUUCCAUCCUCAGCACCACAUAAAAAUAAAUAAACAAAAUAAAGGUAUUAAAAAAAUUCUCUUUAAAAACAAAACUGUGUUGGUAAAGAUAUUUCAAUCUUUUAAAAAAGCUUCCCAUAUUUUUUUCUCCAUUGUUGAGAGUUUUUUCUUUUAAAAAUCAUAGUUAUAUCAAAGAAUACUAAUGUAAUACAAAAAACAAAACAAACAAACAACAAAAAAAGUACAUGUAUAAUGGCAUAAAUUGGCGUGAACAUACUUUAUAUAUAGAUACGAAAAAUUGUGCUCUAUAUGUGUAUAGAUAUAAAGCAGUUAAAACAGCCCAUCUGUUUUGAUUGAGACAAAAGUGGAAACUUUUGUCAUGUAUUUAAAAUAAAUAAAUAAAUAGAUAGAUAAAAGAAUAAAUAAAGUAAAAAAUAUUUUGCUACCAUCUUAGCAGAAUAGUAAUUUUUAUUUCUUAUUAUCUCAUUUAGUCUCUGUAUCCACACUUAAAAAUAAUUGUAAUUGUGUAAUAUUUGUAAUGUUUUUCUUUGUUGCUUUAGUUUUACAUGAUUUCAUGAACAUUUUCCAAAUUUCUAUCAGGUAGUUAUGUCAUGUCAUAAUUUCUUUUUUUCUUUUUGGUGUUCAGGUUAUUUCUAAUUUUUCAACAUUGCAGAUUAUAGUGCAUUGGCAAAUGAAUAGUAAAGUGAAAAGUUAUCCACAGAGUAUUUUAUCCAUAAAAAUGCAAUAAAAUUGUUGUGAGGAUCAUAUAAGUGGGCAGAUAUAACCCCAGUACCCUGGGGACAAUGACAACUGCUACUGUUACUGCUCCUAUUCUCAGCCAGGACACUAUUGCCACUUUGGGCCAGAUAAUUCUUUGUUGUGAGGUAUGGUGGAUGGCUAACAUCACCUCUGGUCUCCAUCCACCAGUGGUGACAAGUAAAGACCUCUCUCUGCCAGAUGUCCCCUAGGGGCACAGUGGCUUCCAGUUGAGAGCCUGACACAGCAGUUAGAAUAGACUCGAGCAGUCUGGCAUAGCUAUUUAAGUGCUACUAUUUAUAAAGGAUAGUAAUAAUAGUAACAAUGACAGGAAGUAAAGUCAACAAAGACUAUUUAAAGAUCUUUAUAGUAAAGAUCCCAUUCAAAUUAAAAACGUCAAUAACUGUCUGUAAUGACUCACAAGAUGUCUCCUGACUCAAUUCACAUUAUUUGAAAUGUGGUAAUAAAAUAUAUUUAAGGUCAUAGAGACGGUAGGUCGAUCGUAUGUUAACAAUUAUGAUGUAUAACAAAUCACAAGUUAAAGACCUUAAUGACCGGUUCUCCUAGAGUAAAGGACAUAAAACAUCAACAUAACGGUGUAAAGUUCUAAGAGUAUUGUCGGUAACAGAUGAGUGGAAAAAUACACUCUGAGACGAUAAGGCAGAAACGGGAGUUAUUUGUUCAGACAAAAAAACGUACUGGAAAAUUAUCGAGAUACAUCUUGUAGCUAACCCCAGAAAAGUGUACCGACACAGAAAGGUAGUGUGUACUUUGCUGUUUUGUAUUAAGACAAUAAUUAAUGGUUUUCCAUAAUCUGAGACCACUCAGCAUAUAAAUAUAAGGUGACAUCCUCUUUUUUGAAAGGUAAUUUUGUGGAAAAGAACUUUGUACUCUAUGAUGUGUAUCCUUAAAGAAACAUGGUACCUCUGACUUAAGUACGCUUCAGGAAAUAAUUCUGAUCCUAGCUACAGCAGGGACUCUUGGCCCCACUCAUACCCUCUUCUCUGGCAUUUCCAGGUACUAGGACUUACAGCUGUGGGCACCAACAUUCCUUUGCCUGUAGGCAUGCUCUGUCUGGACAAGCUCAUACACACCCAGGGCUGGCAGGAAGUGCCAGUCCCUUACCCCCAGCUGCCCCCGCCACCCCCACCCCAGUGAGUGACUGCUGAGGUAUAAAUUCUCUAGUUUUCUGCUGUCUCAGUUGAUCCAACUUUGAGAUGAGCAUUUUACAUGGGUUGUCCAAGUUCCCAGGUGAAUUGCAGUGGUAACUUGAUUGAUAAUGACCGUUUCACUGGCUAACUUUACUUCCCUGUCUCAUUUCUUUACUCCCUGCUAGUGUUUACUAGGACCACCUCCAAAAUAAGCUAUUAAGACUUGAAUGUUUAUCUCUGGGUCUGCUUCUCACAGGGAAACAAAGUAUGUUAGGAAAUUUUCCUUUGACCUUGACUCUUGAAACAAGAGAAGAGAUCAAAUCUGGAGAACAGAAAUCUUUUGAAGACCUGUCUAGCCUACAGAAUGCUUUAGAGCCAUGGCAGAGUGGCAUUUAUUGUACCUUGGAGACGUGACCUUCAGCCCACAUCUUCACACUGUGGACUGACUUAGGGUUAUGGUUUAGAUGUGGUGUCCCCCAAAGCUCACAUGUGAGAUAAUGCAAGCAGGUUUGGAGGAAAAAUAAUUGGCUAUAUCCUUAAUCUAAUCAAUGAAUUAAUCCCUGAUGGAAUUAACUGAGUGGUAAGUGGAGGCAAGGGGGUGUGUCUGGAGGAGGUGGUUCACUGGGGGCGUGGCUAUGGGGCAUAUAUUUUGUAUCUGGGGAGUGGAAUCUCUCUCUCUCUCUUCCUGAUCAUCAAGCAAGCUUUUUCCUUCUGCCACACUCUUCCUCUGUGAUGUUCUACCUCACUUUGAGCCCUGAGGAAUAGAGCCUGCUGUCUGUGGAUUGAGACCUCUGAAACUGUGAGCCCCCAAAUAACCUUUCCCUCUCUACAGUUGCUCUGGUUGGGUAUUUUAGUCACAGCAGCAAAAAAACUGACUAAAACAUUUAGGGAAUUGCAAGAUUUCUGAAAGAUUAGUUUUUCAUUUGUGUCUUUCCGCAUAUAAAGACCGACUGGUAUUAGGAAAGGGAUAGGAAAAACAAACAAGACAAAAACUUUUAUCUCUUGUCGUCCUAAUUUUGUCCUUCAUUUGAGCUGAUUAUUAAUGCCUUAGGAAAUAUCUUCAGCUUGGCAGACAGAGCAAUAUUAGUUUUAAUUGUGGACUUAGUCCAGAGGCCUGUGUUUGAGUUAAAACCAUCCAGGAGUUGUGGGCAGAACAGAUGGUCCUAUUUCUGGAUGCUAAGAGGGGCUUUGUAGGGCUGGAAGGAAAGAAGUGCCUGUUAAUUACAGGCACAGGUCGAUUCCUGGGAUUAUAUUCAUUAUGCUGCCACUUCCUCACACAAUUGAGAGAAUAAAAUCAAGGGCCAAAUGAACCAUCAUCACAACAACAACAACAACAAAAAGAACAGAGUUGUAAACAUUUGCUUUGUUAAUUGAAAAAAAUAAAGUUGUUGAGAUUGAUUUCUAAAAAGUUGAUUUCAGCUAGACUAUAUAACUGGCUUUCUUUAAAUGGGUGAGGUGGGGUUGCUGAGGUCCUGGUGUGGGCAUCCCAUGUCAGGCAAUGGGUCCUGUAGGGGCACCCAGCUCCCUGCCUCUCCUCCCUCCUUUCUCUCUGCCCAGGGCCCAGCUGCUGUCCCCCAGUGCACUCUCUGACUGCACAGCUCCAGGAACAUUUGUCAUAGAGUCACAUAACUGUUCAGUUUCCUCUCCAGCAAAUUGUUGAAUGUAGUUUGCAAAAAGACGAGGUCAUUGCAUAGUCUUCCAUGACCUUCGCUGUAACUGAAUGGGAACUGGAGUGAAUGUUGGCUGGCAGAGGUUUCACAUUUUCCGUGUGAAAGUUCUUUCUUUGUUGUAUGUGAUUAAUAACUGGAUAGGAUAUAAAGCCAAAUGAUUUCAUUGUUGAACACAGACUCGAAGGUCAUGAGAAACUGCCUGUUCCAAUUAAACUUUGCCAAGAUGAGGUAGAAAGGUUGGCAUUGACACCUGAAUAGUUUUUAGAAACAAGGCAGAGAAUGUAGAAAAAAAAUGACAAGUGCCAUUCUCUAUGUGAUCUGAAAAGCUGAUUUCAACUUAAUGCAGUGAUAUGUUGGCUCCUUACAACCAAUGACCUUUGAAACUGAGAUUGCACUGUGGUUACCACUCAGGUGUGUUGAGGACCUACUGUGUGCCAGCUUGCUCAGGUUGAGUUUGUUGUGCUAAGAAAUGUGGUUAGAGAAUUAAUUGUAGGUAUACCCAUUUCAUUUUUCUUAAGUUUUACGUUGUAUUGGUUUGCUAUUUGAAACAUAAUUUUGAACCAGCUUUCUUUGUACUAAGCACUUUGAGUUUCAUUAUGUUUAUGUUUUCAAAAUAAUUUAAUAAUCAUGUGUAAUAUUUGAUGGACAUACUAUGAUCCUUAAAUUAAAAAUACAGACACCAAGGCACCUGACAACUAAUAUCAUAUAGGACCGUAUGUUUGCUCAUCUUCUUUUCUGUGCAUUUUCUAGGCUUUUGAUUAAGAAAUUAGGAAAAGAUUGACUUCUAGUCUGUCCAUGUCCAUGAAGGAACUAACCGCCCCAGCUUUUACUUAACUAAUUCUCUGCAUAUGUCCAUGUAUAUAGUGAAUUGCCACAAAUGCUGGCUGCCAUCAGUCUUAAAUUAUAAUAGUAGCUUAAUUUUGAAAUUGACACUUUGGAAGCCUGGUUUUCCCAGAGCUGGUGGAGUGUGAGAUGCUCAAGGAUGAGUUGGCCUGGUUGGAUCGUCUUUGCAGUGCUGUGACUCGCUUGCUUUCAGGCUGGGUCUGGACUCUUCUCUCUCAGGGCAGCUUCUAGUCCUGGUUCAGCUGGUAGGAAUUUGAUUCUGAGAUAGCGACAACUGCAGAUGGGCGGGCAUACAAACUCUUCCUUCUGCUCUUCCCAUUAGACUCUUUCCCUGCUGAAAACCAACAAAGCAAAAACACUCCUAAAACAUUUAACUUUCACUGGAGUUGAAUUCUUUCUUUUUUUUAAUUGAUUUUUUAAUAUAUGACAGCGGAAUGCAUUACAAUUCAUAUUUCACAUAUAGAGCACACAUUUUCAUACCUUUGGUUGUAUACAAAGUAUAUUCAAACCAAUUUGUGUCUUCAUACAUACACUUUGGAUAAUGAUGUCCAUCACAUUCCACCAUCAUUUCUAACCCCUGCCCCAUCCCUUCCUCUCCCACCCCUCUGCCCUAUCUAGAGUUUGUCUAUUCCUCCCAUGCUCCCCCUCCCUAUCCCACUAUGAACCAGACUCCUUAUAUCAGAGAAAACAUUUGGCAUUUGUUUUUUUGGGAUUGGCUAACUUCACUUAGCAUUAUCUUCUCCAACUGGAGUCGAAUUAUUUCUGUUGAAGAAGUUGUUUUAUUAUAUAGCCAACUCCUGAUUUCUUCUGAAAUAUCGGGAUUUUUUUUUCUUUCAUCUAAGGAUAUGUCAGGCUAUUACUUUAGUGAUUCAGUAAAUAUUUAUUUAUAUUGAUGGUACCUAUGAAAGUAUAUGAGAGAGACCAGAGAAUAAGAUAAUUCUUUCCUUCUAAGAAUUAAGAAUCUCACUAGGAAAGUAGAUCGUGUAAGCGUGGAUAUAUAGAUUGUUUUGUUAUAAUAGGAAUUAAAUUUAAAAUGUGGGAAUGGGCUGGGCACAGGGCUAGAGGAGAGGCUCUGUCUCAAGGCUUCAUCAAAGAGAGGAUCAUUUGCUAUAUGGAAUCUGAUAGGCUCACAGGGGCUGAAGGAAGAUGGUCCAGGUACAGGAUCAGAAUUAAUAGGGUCAGCUAUAGAAAAGUGUGCCAUAUACCAUAGUAGGUACUAUGCAUGUACUUAUUCCAGUUUCAUAUGGAUAUGUAUGAUUUUUUUUAAUUUAUUAGUUAUUGAUGGACCUUUAUUUAUUUAUUUGUUUAUAUGUUGUGCUAAGACUCAAACCCAGUGCCUCACACAUGCUCGGCAAAUGCUCUACCACUGAGCCACAGCCCCUGGAUAUGCAUGAUUUUAAAGGCAGUCAGCAUUGUUUGGAGGUUUUGAGUGUGAGGAAUUUCAUGAUCAGAGGUUUUUCUAUCCAAGGUGAUUAGGAUACACACCAUGCGGUACAUAGUAUAGGGGGUUAUUGUAGUACCUCGAAGGAAAGUACCUGGACUUUGAGAUUGGUAACUUGUGAAUAUCUUGGCUCUGGUGAGCAAUUAAAUUGAAUUAUGCCAAAGCUCACUGCAUGGAUUUUAAUACUUAAGAUUCUGCUGCCAAAAGCUGAGCUCACUCCUCUCUUGAGUUUAGCUGUGGUGGAAGGAUCUUGUGUGAGGAUGAUUCUUCUCCUUCAUUGGAGUGACAUGCUCAUUUUCUAGACUGGAAGCUCAGCUGAUAACCUGCAGGAACUGCCUCUGACUGUGACCCGCUUCCCCACUGUUUCUUAUGCUUCCUCUGUGAAAGGUAAAAGGAGCCACUGGGGUCAAUUUUCCUUGAUUUGGUGUCAGUGUGUGUGAGAUGGCCCUUGUGUAGAUUUUGUAUGUUGGUGCUGAUCUGUAUGUCACUCUGGCUGGGGCUAGCAGCUCGGAUACCUAUAAGCUCUGCCUGGGCUACUUUGUGCUUCUACUUCUGAUUUUAUACUUCCCAGUUCGUGAUUCACAGGCAGGGAUUGAAUGACCAAGAUGUGCUGCAGAUGAGGGGGUGUGUUGGUUUUCUCUUGCAGCUGUAUGAAAUUGGCAUGAGUUUGCUGGCUUUGAACAAUACAGAUUUCUUAUCUUUCAGCUCUGGACGUCAGAAGUCUGAUACAGGUCUCGUUGGCUACACUCAGGAUGUUGGCAGGGCUGCAUGCGUUCCUUUUAGAGGCUCUAGAAGUGAAUCUGUUUCUUUGUCCUUUCCAGCUCCAACAGGCUGACCAUGUUCACAGCCCCCUUCCAGCUCAAAAUCGGCAAUGGUGGGUGGAGCCCCUCACUUUCCUUGCUCUGAUACUCUCGGGCUUUCCCCUUCCUCACAUAUAAGGACCUCUGAGAUUAGGUUGGGCUCAUCGGGAUGAUCCAGGACAGUCUCCCUUUCCUAAAGCCACUUGAUUGGCAACCUGAGUUCUCUCUGCAUUUUCAGUUAUUCCUUGCCAUGUAACCAAAUGUGUUCACAGGAUCUGGGCGUUAGGACACGGGUACCUUUUGCUGGGGUUUGGGAAGGGGAAUGUGUUAUUUGGCCUACCACAGAAGAUAUGGUUUUCAUUUCUUUUAGACAUGGACAUCUGCAUACAAAAUAUGGAAUGGUGAGGAGUUUUUCCUGUUUAUCCUGCUUCUCUGAAAUAAAUUUCAUCCCUUUCCUUUGGCAGCGGACUCAUACUUAAUGUAAAAAAAAAAAAAAGUCCUGCUAGACAAAGAUGUUCUUGUUUUUGUGUGGGAUAGAUGGGAUGGAUAUGCCUGUCUGAUGAUGGGGAAAAAAUAAAGGAAGGACCUAAAUAAUUUCAGCUUUAAGGGCUGCAUGGGGUUCUGUAAUGGAUCAUGAAGAGUAGAUUGGUAAUUCUGCUCUGAUGAAACCACUCCUGAUCAUGCACUCUUUACACUUUACUCUGAAGCCAAAUGCUUCAGUUAAUGUGAUCUAAUGGUUUUCUCUCAGUGUCAUUUGGCAGGAUGUUAUUAAAGAGAAACAUCCAACAUAGUGUUCAAGCUUACUUGGGAAGAAAACAAGUGAAUAGCCAAACUGAAAGUGGAAUUUAAAUGACUUCUAUUUUAGGAAAAGUGAAGAAGUUGAGAGGUUAGUUAACAAGGCCUUUUUUUUUUUUUUUUAAUCUAGAUUCAGUGGUAAUUUGAUCUGUGAAAGAAAUUUAUUUUCAGUAAUUUUGGAUAGUAUUAUGGCAGCCAUUAGAGAUUUUAUGUGCAUCACAUUCUAAUCUGACAUGAGAACCUAGACUGUGUAAUUAUCAUGUGAGUAUGAAGGCUGAAGUGCUAAAGUGGCACCGUUUAUGUUAAUUUACUUGCAAACAGCUAGCAUAUACCCGUGGGAGAUGCCACUUGCAAGAAAUUUUUACCUACAUUAUAAAGAAGUGGCCGGAUGUGAGGCUAGGAUUUGUCAAGAAAAUAUUCCAAGACAACAAAGUCACUUAGACACAUCAUUUCUUCCUUAUUAAUUUAUAAAUAGAAGUUGCGUUUUUUAGAUAAGAUCUUUUUCUGUGCCCCUCAGUCAUUGUAUGGACAAUGCAAUUGUUAUGGGAUAAUAUUUAACUGAUGUAGAAUAGAACAUUAUGGAUUUUGGAACAUUUAGAAUAAUUUUCAGAAAAUAUGCAUUUCUGAAGCACAUAGGUGACCUGUAGAAGGAAGGUAAGGUUCUGUCGUAGACCAGCCGAUGUCGUGUCAGUGUGAUGACCCACCAGCUUAGUCCCUAAAUCAUUGAUUUUCCUGUGGAUUAAUCCCACCAGCUUCUAUUUUUCAAGGAGAAAAUAAUCUUCAAGAAGACAGUUAUUUGUUGGGUGAGAGCCAAGAGAACAAUUCUAGGAAUGUUAAAGGCCCCAUGUGAGGAGAUGAUUGUGUUUAUUACUACUGAUAAUCUUCAGCGACUGAGGAAUUGAGGGCAUGUGAGCUCCUCAUCACUUUCUCUUCUCAUAUCCCAUGCAGGCCCAUCCUGCAGGCUGAUGGGAAUAAUCACAUGGACAUUUAAGAAAGCCUGGUGCCGAACAUUCCUUCCUUCAGUGUUUUCAAAAUUCUCUAGUAUGUAGAAGAAACCUUUGAGAAUGACAAAUAAGAAUGAUGUUAUCUAAAGGAACAAGGGCCUGGCACAUAGCAGAUGCUCAAUAAAAUUUUUUUUUUCAAGAAAAAGGAAUAAAUCAAACAACUUAUUUGUGUAUGUGGUUCAAGUUAGUUUUUAUAGGAUAGGUUUUCUCUUUUCUUUUUUUGCUUUAGGAAAGGAGUUUGUUUUAUAUCUCAAGGAAAGGGAAACAUACCUUGAACAUUAAGGACUAUAAACCAUAAGCUUAACAAAUAAUAAAGUUGGUUUAUUGUCAGCCUCAGAAUUACAGAGAAGGUCCUAAGAGAGACACAGUGACUUCUCCUGUGGUUUAGAGAAGAUGUCUCUUUACCAUGUUGGCUGCAGGGAUUUUGUUUUGCUUGUUUGUUUUAUACUUUAACUUCUGUUUGACCUUUUAUAAAAUGAGGCUCUACAGAGUCUCAUUUUAUAAAAGUGUUCCUUUAAGAUAGUGUUAAAUUCUUCUUUUAUUUCCUUCCUUCCUUCCUUCCUUCCUUCCUUCCUUCCUUCCUUCCUUCCUUCCUUCUCUCUCUCUCUCUCUCUCUCUCUCUUUCUUUCUUUCUGCUUUCUGGUGGGGGAAUUGGAAAACAAUAUAAAAAUUGAUGGAAGUUGCAGUGGUACAUGCCUGUAAUCCUAGCAACCCAGGAGGCUGAGGGGGGAGGAUCGCAGGUUCAAAGCCAGCCUCAGCAGAUGAGCAAGGCAUUUAGCAACUCGGCAAGGCCCUGUCUCUAAUUAAAAUGUUAAAAAGAUCCUGACUCAGUAGUUAAGUACCUCAGGUUCAAUCCAUGAUACCAAAAAUAAAUAAAUAAACAAACAAGUAAAUAAAUAAAUAAUAAAAUAAAUAAAUAAAAAAAAAAUUAAUGGAAGUAAUGGAAUGAAUUUCAGCCUCCAACUCAAACCCACAUUUGUGGAGUCACUAAAACUUACCAAGGGCUGGGGAUAUAGCUCAUUUGGUAGAGUGCUUGCCUCACAUGCACAACACCCUGGGUUCACUCUCCAGCACCACACGUGUACAUACAAAAAAAAAAAUUUCCCAAAACAAAAACAAUAACAACAACAACAAAACUUACCAAAUAUGUGUGUUUGCUAAUUUUAUUCAUAUUUACUCAUUUACUUCCAUGGCUUUUAAAGUCUAUAGGAUUAGCUGAUAAAACGCUACCUUCCUCCCAUCCCCUUUUUAUAUUAAGUAUUAUCUGUGUAUGUUUUUAUCUUCCAAAGGAACUGUGGAGAUCCCCAUCAUUGGGUGAUUUUCUUGUUUGUUUAUUUGUUUAUAUUGUUUGCUAGAGUUUGUACUCAGGGCCUGGCAUAUGCAAGGUAAGUGCUCUACCACUGAGCUACACUCCCAGCCCCCNNNNNNNNNNNNNNNNNNNNNNNNNNNNNNNNNNNNNNNNNNNNNNNNNNNNNNNNNNNNNNNNNNNNNNNNNNNNNNNNNNNNNNNNNNNNNNNNNNNNNNNNNNNNNNNNNNNNNNNNNNNNNNNNNNNNNNNNNNNNNNNNNNNNNNNNNNNNNNNNNNNNNNNNNNNNNNNNNNNNNNNNNNNNNNNNNNNNNNNNNNNNNNNNNNNNNNNNNNNNNNNNNNNNNNNNNNNNNNNNNNNNNNNNNNNNNNNNNNNNNNNNNNNNNNNNNNNNNNNNNNNNNNNNNNNNNNNNNNNNNNNNNNNNNNNNNNNNNNNNNNNNNNNNNNNNNNNNNNNNNNNNNNNNNNNNNNNNNNNNNNNNNNNNNNNNNNNNNNNNNNNNNNNNNNNNNNNNNNNNNNNNNNNNNNNNNNNNNNNNNNNNNNNNNNNNNNNNNNNNNNNNNNNNNNNNNNNNNNNNNNNNNNNNNNNNNNNNNNNNNNNNNNNNNNNNNNNNNNNNNNNNNNNNNNNNNNNNNNNNNNNNNNNNNNNNNNNNNNNNNNNNNNNNNNNNNNNNNNNNNNNNNNNNNNNNNNNNNNNNNNNNNNNNNNNNNNNNNNNNNNNNNNNNNNNNNNNNNNNNNNNNNNNNNNNNNNNNNNNNNNNNNNNNNNNNNNNNNNNNNNNNNNNNNNNNNNNNNNNNNNNNNNNNNNNNNNNNNNNNNNNNNNNNNNNNNNNNNNNNNNNNNNNNNNNNNNNNNNNNNNNNNNNNNNNNNNNNNNNNNNNNNNNNNNNNNNNNNNNNNNNNNNNNNNNNNNNNNNNNNNNNNNNNNNNNNNNNNNNNNNNNNNNNNNNNNNNNNNNNNNNNNNNNNNNNNNNNNNNNNNNNNNNNNNNNNNNNNNNNNNNNNNNNNNNNNNNNNNNNNNNNNNNNNNNNNNNNNNNNNNNNNNNNNNNNNNNNNNNNNNNNNNNNNNNNNNNNNNNNNNNNNNNNNNNNNNNNNNNNNNNNNNNNNNNNNNNNNNNNNNNNNNNNNNNNNNNNNNNNNNNNNNNNNNNNNNNNNNNNNNNNNNNNNNNNNNNNNNNNNNNNNNNNNNNNNNNNNNNNNNNNNNNNNNNNNNNNNNNNNNNNNNNNNNNNNNNNNNNNNNNNNNNNNNNNNNNNNNNNNNNNNNNNNNNNNNNNNNNNNNNNNNNNNNNNNNNNNNNNNNNNNNNNNNNNNNNNNNNNNNNNNNNNNNNNNNNNNNNNNNNNNNNNNNNNNNNNNNNNNNNNNNNNNNNNNNNNNNNNNNNNNNNNNNNNNNNNNNNNNNNNNNNNNNNNNNNNNNNNNNNNNNNNNNNNNNNNNNNNNNNNNNNNNNNNNNNNNNNNNNNNNNNNNNNNNNNNNNNNNNNNNNNNNNNNNNNNNNNNNNNNNNNNNNNNNNNNNNNNNNNNNNNNNNNNNNNNNNNNNNNNNNNNNNNNNNNNNNNNNNNNNNNNNNNNNNNNNNNNNNNNNNNNNNNNNNNNNNNNNNNNNNNNNNNNNNNNNNNNNNNNNNNNNNNNNNNNNNNNNNNNNNNNNNNNNNNNNNNNNNNNNNNNNNNNNNNNNNNNNNNNNNNNNNNNNNNNNNNNNNNNNNNNNNNNNNNNNNNNNNNNNNNNNNNNNNNNNNNNNNNNNNNNNNNNNNNNNNNNNNNNNNNNNNNNNNNNNNNNNNNNNNNNNNNNNNNNNNNNNNNNNNNNNNNNNNNNNNNNNNNNNNNNNNNNNNNNNNNNNNNNNNNNNNNNNNNNNNNNNNNNNNNNNNNNNNNNNNNNNNNNNNNNNNNNNNNNNNNNNNNNNNNNNNNNNNNNNNNNNNNNNNNNNNNNNNNNNNNNNNNNNNNNNNNNNNNNNNNNNNNNNNNNGUGGAAUGCUUGAUCACACGUGUGAGGCACUGGGUUCCAUCCUCAGCACCACAUAAAAUAAAUAAAAGUAUUGCAUUUAUCUACAACUAAAAAAAAAAGUAUUAAAAAAAAAGAUAACUGAAAAGUGGGCAAAGAGAUAGACAUUUCUCCAAAGAAGACACACAAAUGGCUAGUAAGGUCAUGAAAAGAUGAUCAACAUCACUACUCAUUAGGAAAAUACAAAUCAAAACCACAGUGAGAGUCCACUUUGUACCUGCUAGGAUGGGCAUAAUAAAAAAUAUGACAAAAAACAAGUAUUGGAAAGGGUGUGGAGAAAUUAGAACCUUACACUGCUGGUGGAAAUGGACAAUGGUGUAGCAAUUUUGGGAGACAGUAUGGCAGUCCCUCAAAGAGCAUUAUCAUGUAACCCAGCCAUUCCCCUUCAAGUGAACACUCAAGAGGGGAGAAAACCUGUGUCCACACAAGACAGCUGUACAGAGUUGCAGAGGAGAGCAUUAUUCUCCCAGGCAAAAAGUGGAAACAACUGACACGUCCUUCUCCUGAUGAAUGUAUCGACAAAGUAUGGUUUGUUACAAAGUAACAUUUUCUACAGAGCUGAAGCAAUCAUGGAUAUCCUCUCUCACUGGUUCCUCUGAUCACUCUGGAUAGAUUUCAGAUUACUGUCACUCACAGUAGCAGGCAUGUGUUUAUUAGAAGGGAUGGGAAAAGGGGACUCUCUGAAGGGAGAGAGGGGGUCCUCUCAGAGAGAAGAACAGCAAGCCCUCUUCUGCCCUCCAGUCUUAUCUGGGGUUCCAGGGAAGUUUCCAGAGAAUCCUGCUCAUCCUCCUGUUGACUUUUGACUGACAACAGGAUUGCGUAAUACUUCCAAGUCCUCAACACACAUGGUCUUACCCCAUGGAGGGGAGAUUUUGUUGUUAAACUGGCAUGCCAAAGACCCAAGGCAACUCUGGGUCACUUUGGCUGGUGCUGACCAGUUCUAAUUGAAACUUGUUCUUACAGGUUUGAUGGUUAGGGGCUUUGCUUCUAAUUAUUCUGUCUUUCUGCAUUCUGGAAUCUGGUCUGUGUAAAGGUCAUGAAAGUCUCCUUCUUUAGGGUAACUUGUGUCCUUUGGACUUGCAUUUCUUCUGCAGUCAAUGGUGGUUUGCUGAGGAAGGUAGCCUAUGCUAUUGACUUAGGUGAUUUUUUUUUAAGAAAAUGUGGGAUUCAGAACCCUAAGUCCAGUUUAUAGAAUUACCCCUGAACUUCAUAUUCCCACCACUCAUAUCCAUUUGUUACCUAUCAGUUUUUCCAUACAACUGAAUAUUAUUCAGCGGUAACAAGAAAUACAGUACAGGUAAGGCUACAGUACAACACAUAUGCACCUUGAAAACAUAAUGCUAAGUGAAAGAAACUUGGCACAAAGGGCCACCUAUUACCAUUUCCAUUUUUAUGAACUGUUCACACGGGCAGAUCCAUACAGAUAGAAAGUAGAUUCGUGGUUUCUAGGGCUGGGGGAGGGCAGGAAAUAGGGAAUGACAGCUAAUGGGUGCAGAGUUUCUUUUUAGGGUGAUGAAAUGUCUGGAAUUAGUGAUAAUUGUUGCACAACUUUGUGAAUAUACUAAAGCCCAUUGUAUUGUGUGCUUUAUAUGGAUAGAUUUUUAUGGCAUGUGACUUAUAGCAUUGACCAAAAAUAAGAUAAUGCAGGAAAAGCAGUACCAUGCCUGAACAGGGCAAGCACUCUGUGUGUGAGCUCAUUCUUCUACUGUUGACAUCCUCUUCAUUAUUAUUUUAAAAAGAUAAUUGCUUGUAAUGUGGUUCUGUUCUUUCCAGUUAUUUCCCUCAAAUUACACACUAGCAAUUGGGUGCUUGUAAAUUUUUUUCUGAAGGUCUGCAUUUGUGAGAAGGUCCUGGGAGGGAGAGGUUUAAAUUAUUGUUUGUUUGUGUGUGUGUGUGUGUGUAUGUGUGUGUGUGUUUCUCAUUUGCUUACACUGCAUCUUCUUUCUAUAAGAUAAAGUGCUUCUUGGCAGGUCAUAUGCCCUUUAUAGAUUUUUCUCUUUUUACUCUUUCAGUUGAUUUAUCUGAUUAGACACUUUCAACUUCUAUGAUGGGAAGAAGGAAAAGAAACCAAGAAUAAGAUAAUUCUAAGAAAUUCCUCAGCCUUGAUGAAGAAAUUUCUACUCUUGGUUUUUCCCUCAUGAUGAAACAACAAGGAGUUUUUCUUUUGGGGACAGUAGCUACAGAGCACAAGAGUCAUGGUACCGCUGUAUGCUAACAAAGCUUACUGGAUGUUCUCUGAAAAUUUUUUUACAUAAAAUCUGUCAAAGAUCAACUUUUGGCCAGGCUCGGUGGCAUACCCCUGUAAUCCCACUUACUGGGAACACUGAGGCAAGAGGAUUGUGAGUUUGAGGUCAACCUGGGCAACUUAGCAAGUCCCUACUGGAAUAUAAAAUGAAAAAGGCAGGGGGUGUAUUUCAGUAGUAGAGCAUUUGCCUAGCAUACCUGAGACCCUGGCAUCUAUUCCCAGGACCAAAGGGGGAAAAAUAACUCUUGUCAGUUAUAUAGAAUAAUAUUGGCCCUAUUGUUUGCUAAAAGCAUCUUCAACACAGUGACCUUUUUUGAACUACUAAUAGAUGAGAUGUGGGGCAUUUCAUGACUUUAAGGAUUAAGUGGUAUUUACAUAAGUGUAUAAACUUUCAUAAAUCAUGUUUAUAAACCUGUUAGAAUACUUGACUAUGGCUAGGGAAAUGCACAUUAACCAUCUAAAGCUAAUAUGGGUUGGGUUGUAACUUUCAUUUCUGAAUUUCCUUCCUCAAACUUAAAGGGUGUUCUGAUCCCAUUAUUUAUCAAUAUCAAGAUUGUUUCAGUUUCCUGGUAGCUGGGCGUCACAGUGACUUUUUUGCCAGCCUCUUUGUUUGGCUGUGUGACCUUGUUUGACUUCUCUUUGAUGACUAUGUAUCUAAGUUCCCUGUUGCUUUGCCUGGCUACUGAGGGGGUCCACAUGGUCAGUGGAGUCUAGCCUUGCCCCUGCUAGGUGGGCACUUGGCUCUGACUCCCUGCUUGGAAGGCCCCCUCACAGACCUGGUGUGCUGCUGGCGUGCCAUUUCCUAGCGCUAACUCUCUGGUGUCUGUCUGGAACACCUCUCUUCUGCUAGUGCCCUGGCUGGUCUCUGAGCAUUGCCACCUUCUUUUUGAAUGGCAGUUAUAGGGCGUGCUUUCUUUCCCAACACAGGGUGGCAGCCUUUGUAUAAAUUGUAGUAGGUUCAGCCAUGUGCCCAGCGGCUUGGGAGUCUAAGGCAGGAGGAUUGGAAAUUCAAAGUCAGCCUCACCAAAUUAGCGAGGCCCUAAGCCACUCAGUGAGACCCUGUCUCUAAAUAAACUACAAAAAAAAAAAAAAAAAAAAAGGGCUGGGAAUGUGGCUCAGUGGUUAAGCAUCCCUGAAUCCAAUCAAUCCCUGAUACCAAAAAACAAAAAAUAGUAGGUUCAACAUGAGAAUUAUUACCAAAAUCUUAUUUGUAUAUGAAUGAAUUAUAUAGGGCUAUUGUUUUGAUCCUCAAUGUCAUUGUGCUUUGCAUCUUUCCAGAAUGAUUACUAGGUUGUAAACAUUUAUAUCAUUUAUGUUCUUUGUACUACUGAGAAAAUAUAGUUUCAGUGAGGUACUGGUAAUUUAUACAUAAAAAAAAAUAAUGUAUACAACUUCCAAGGGGUGUCUGUGGUUAAGCUCUUUUAUUAAGAUUUCACUUUGGUAGAUUUUUUUCCCUUUACUAAAAGUAAAAAUUAUAUGACUUUAUGACAUGGUUUACAAAAAAUUGAAUUAAUCAUAGUAUUUUAAUAAUAUUAUAUCCUGAGCUGCAGUUUAGAAAAAUAUCCUUAUUUAUCACAAUUCGAAGAAUGACUAAAGCUAUGAUUUUUCAAAUUCAAUGGCUAUUAUGCAUGUUUUUGGUGCCAGGUGAUGUUUAUUUCUCUGUGCAUGAGCCCAUGCAUGUGCCUGUGUGUAGACCCAAGUUGGGGGUCUGAAUUUCACAUACAUCUACUUUGUGCAACACUGGUCAAGGUUUGGCACAGUUGCAUAUUUAUGCAUAAACCCUGGCGACCCUGGAAUUGAGAGCCCUGGUGCUGGGCUAGAGUCAGUGUGUGGAUGUGGGUGGGAGGCAGAGGCUUGGGUGGUUUCUGUUUUUUCCACCCUGAGUGCUGUGCCCUUUCUUUUCUGGCUUGGGGCGGUAUUCUGUGAUGGCAGUGCUGCCUGUGUGUGGCUCCUUCAUAACCCACAGCCUCUGGUCCAGACGUACUGUCUCUGGUUCAGAUCAGAGUUGUUCUUACUGGAAGUGAGAUGGCUUCGUGCUCUAUGCUGGGCUUCACCCUCCCUAGUACUUCUUGGACUCCCAGCCCUGUGUCUGAUUCCUUCAUCACAGAACGUUGUCCUGCAAAGUCAUGGUUGACCCUGCAUUUACAAAACCCCUGAGCCCUGGAAAGGGAAACGAUUAUUCAUCAAAACCCUAAACACGAGAAUAAAAAUGUUCCUAUUUAGAUCAAUCAGGGGUCAAUUUAGUUUUCUAAUGAGCUUUGGAAUUACUUUUCUUGUCUGCCUUGAGGGACUAUUUUUAUACCAGCUUUUCUUUCUUUCUUUCUUUCUUUUUUAAAUGUUUCUAGAAGUCAGAUUUAUAUCUUUGUCAAUAAUGAAAGGAUCUUUAAACACAUAAAAAGAUGAAAUGAGAAAGUUAGGGGAUCAUCUUGAUGUUGUGGCUUUAAAAUUUUGUGACAGUCCGAAAAGGCAGGUUGUAACUGAUUCAUGUUGUUGUUGAGGUGUGUAAGUGAGAGGUCUAGACUGAAUACCGUGUGGGGAAUAUACAACUUGUUUAGACUUCUGGAACACAUUAAAAAAGCACAUUCAAAAAUUUCUUAAUUGAUGGCAAGUAUUGAGGUCUGCACACACCUUGGCCAUCCAAGCAGACCCUUCUUGCCCUCAAGGACUCACACAAAUCAAUAUGUAACCAAAUUGAGAUUAGUAAUCGGGUGGAAGAGAAGAAACUAGGAUUUUUUGAGUAACUGGAAGGAGUCUGGAAGUCUGAAGAAAAGACAGAUUAAAUCAUGGGAAUGUUCAAGGAGGUUGAGAAUGGGGUAGAGAGUGCUAUAGGUGGGCAGAGCAGCAUGAGCAGAUAUCUUGGGGCAGGAAAGGGCUGGGUUCCUCUGAGUAACACAAAGGCCCCUGUGAUGGAGAGGAGGGAGAAUGUUGCAAGAUAAGUCUGGGAGUAGCAAGGAUCAGUUGAUCCCAGGCCUUAGAAGUGAUGCAAAUUCAGUUGUUCCAAAUUUCAUUGUCCAGCCAGGUGUGAGGGUGCACACUUGCAAUACCAGCCGCUUGGGAGGUUGAGGCAGGAGGAUUGCAAGUUCAAGACCAGUCUCAGCAAUUUAGUGAGGCCCUAAGCAAUGUAGCAGAGACCUUCUCUCAAAAUAAAAGCUAAAAAGGGUUGAGGAUCUGGCUCAGGGGGAAAUUGCCUCUGAGUUCAGUCCCCAGUAAUCCCAGCCCAAGUUUCAUCCUGUAGCUGGCCGCCCUUUAGAGAGCCAAUCAAGAAGGAACAAGAAUAGAAUUUAGGUGACAAUUUGAGGAGGCUUUUGGCUUUAGGAUGAAGGGAAGAGAUGGCAGUAGCUCAGAUGGGGGAGACAACAGUGGAGAUGAAGAAAUGUGGGUGAAUUUGAGCCAUAUUGAGGAAUCAGAACCAACAGAAGUUGAGAGGGGCGACAGCUUGUGAUAUUACAGGGAAGGGAUUGUUACCUAAAGCUCUGUCCUUGUCCCUGAUGUCAAUCCAAUAAUGAGGGUUUUGAGAAAAAGGAAAAAGAAGGUUUAUUGCUUUGCUAGUAAAAGAGAAACACAGGGGACUCCUGUCCCAGAGGCUGUGAUUCUGCCCAUCAGAAGGAACAAGAUUUAUUUUAUUUUAUUUUUUUAUAUUAUAGAUGGACACAAUAUCUUUAUUUUUAUGUGGUGCUGAGGAUCAAACCCAGGGACUCACAAGUGCUCUACCACUGAGCUACAACCCCGGCCAAGAACAGGGUUAAAAAGAGGUGAUUCAAAGGCUACAUUUCAGGUGUUGCCUGUCCAGAGUUGUAAUUCACUUGUAAAUUUGGGAGAUAGUCAUUUCCGAAAUCUCCCCCAAGUCUGAGUUACUUUGUUCCUGUGUUGGGUGUGUACUCAAGGGCUAAUAACUCUACCUAGAAUAGGGAAGAAAGAUUAUCCUGUUUCCCCUGAGAUUAGGGAGGGGGAGAAGCUGGUGGAGGGGAGAGGUAGAGAGGAAGAGAAAGAAACACAUCCAUUUAAAAAAUAAGUCACAAUGGCAGAGUCACAGGGCCUGGCUAUAUUUAAAGCAUACAGUGGACCAUUGUUCAGGAUGAUGUCAAAGAUUCAUUUGAGGAUCCUAUAUGGAAAAGUGAAUGGAUGAAGGCGCGAAGCCUCCAGGCAGAAUGGAAUCACCCAUAGUUUUAGGUGCCUUCAGGUUGAAAGGAGUCUGUGCAGUUUUUCAGUGGAGAUGCCGGUGGGUGGUUGGAUUUGCAGGGGCAAAGUAAUUUUCCUCUCUACCUGGAAGUUCCAUAAUGUGAGUUUAUGAGAUAAACUGACAGUAGACAAAUUGAUAGAUUGACCCUUACCAUGUGCACAUGUGCAUGGGAGUCACACAGAAUAGGAAUCAUAAAACAGGCCACAUGGUAAGGUUUAUAGAGCAUUCGAAGCCACACAAAGGAGUGGGUUUGGGGUUUCUGUGGGAGGUAAUAGUAGGUGACAGGAUGGUGAGGGGAAGAGAUGGCAAGCAGAGACUGGCUUGCUCUGCAGAUAAAGGCUCUCCCUUGGGCUGAGGAAGAAUAGGUGACAGGCUGUGCCCAGGUCCCUCUGGGAGGGGAGUCUGGACCUGACCUGUCUCUUCCUGUGGUAAGAGUUAAUCUUGUCUGGCUGAUGGGAUUCCAGGGAGGGGGCUCAGGAUUAUUACAUUCAACUAACUGCUUUCAGUCAGAUAAAGGAAAUUCAGAAAAAAGUUUCUCCCUAAACUUGAGUGGAGGAGAUAGAUCAGGACAAGCUUGGGAGAUUCUGGUUCUUUAUUUUAAAGCAGUCAUCUUGCCAAAAUGCCAUCAUACUUUGGGGUAUCAUUUUCUGAGCCCCAGUAGAUAUGCAUUAAUCUCUGACUUUGAAACAAAUUAUUCCAAGACUCAGCAGCAAAUUUGUAUUAGUAAUCUAUUGCUGGAUAACAAAUCACCCCCAAAUGUAUCAGCUUCANCUUCUCCCUUUCCCUCCCCUCCUUCCCUUUCCCCUCCCCUCCCCUCCCCUCUCAUUCCUUCUUCAGUACUGGGGAUAGAACCCAGGGGUGCUCUACCACUGAGUUAUAUCCCCAGUCCCCACACUUCUUAUGGUUUGUUUGUUUAAGACAGGAUAUUGUUAAAUUGCUGAGGCUGGCCUUCAACUUGAGAUCCUCCUGCCUUAGCCUCCCUAGUCACUGGGAUUAUAAGCAUGCACAUCUUGCCUGUGUCUGUUCAUUUUUUUCAGGGCAAUAGUAGCUCCCCUAGGUGUUCCACUCAAAACUCUUCUGCACACCUUUGGCUAGAACUGGCAAACCUUCUGUCUCUGUAAAUUUGACUACUCUGCAAGUGGAAUCCUAUAAGAGUUGUCCUUAUGUCCCUGGUGUGUGUUUGCAUGAAGUCCUCAGUGUUCAUCCAUGUGUAGCCGGUGCCAGAAGUUUACUUCUUUUCAAGGCUGAGUGAGUAAUGUCCCACUGUACUUUUCACCACAUUUUGCUAAUCCAUUCGUCUGUUGAGGGGCACUUGGGUUACUUCCAUCUUCUUGCUGUUGUGAAUAGUGCUCCUAUAAACGUGGGCAUACAGCUAUCUUUUUGAGAUUCUGCUUUCGGUCCUUGUUGGUAUUUUAUUUCAUGUGCUUUUAACUCAGACUCAGCUUUUUCUUGACAUGACUCAUAGUCAUGGUGGUUAAUUUGCCCUUGUCCUGAAAUAAUUGCUAAAGCUCCGAGGAAAGAGUCUCAUCCACAUCUUUUUGCUUGAGUCACUCUCUUGCUAACCUGCAAGAAAAAAUUGUCAGCGUGAACAACAUUUUGUAUAGCCUGCAGGAUCAGGGAGGGAAGGGGAUAAUGGAGUGUUCCCUGAAGACACUGGCUGGUAUAUUGCUGCAGUGUAAAAGGACACUAGUCUUUGGGGGUUUCAUUAGGAAAAAAACAAGAAAGAAAACAGAGAACAUUACCCUUCCUUUGCAAAGCCACAGUGACUGCACAUGGAUUGCUAUCUGAGAUUCUGGUCUCCCACUUAAAUGAUUUAACAGUGGAGAGUGUUCUAGAGAAGGAAGCCCACGUCCUGCAGUGACUUGGGUGCAUUUGUUGUUUUUGUAAAACUGACUCAACUCAUUAGGACUCUUCCUUCUAAAAAGGUGAAAGUGGGAGAUAUAAUUACUGACUGUGAGAACAUUGACUCAGAAAAACAACCAUGAACUUGUACUUCUAAUCUUCAGCUGUUUGACAGAACUUGGAUUUUUUUUUUUUUUUUUUGGAUGCCUAAAAAAGGUAUGUUCAAUAAAAACAAAAGGAAGAGCUAUUUUACAUUGACGAUGAUGACCAAGUUUGCUAUUUUCAUUGAGGCUAUAGGCUAAAUUUACACGUUGUUUAAACCUGGGAAAAUAAAUGUCAGUUUCAAGGUAGACUAUUUUUUAAAAUUUAUUUUUUAAUUUAAGUUCUAAUUUAAUUAGUUACACAUGACAGUAGAAUACAUUUUGACACGUCAUACAUAAAUGGAGUAUAACUUCUCAUUCUUUUGGUUGUACAUAAUGUAGAAUCACACCAGUGGUAUAAUUAUUUAUGCUCACAGUGGACUAUUAAAUAAUGGUAGUGCUGAUUUGAGACAGAACCCUAUUUUUUUGGGGGGAGGGGGCCACAGAAGACUGAACUCAAGGGUACUUGACCACUGAGCUACAUCCCCAGUUCUAUUUUGUAUUUUAUUUAGAGACAGGGUCUCACUGAGUUGCUUAGUGAGGUUGGCUUUGGUUGAGGUUGGCUUUGAAUUCACAAUCCUCCUGCCUCAGCCUCCUGAGCCACUGGAAUUAUAGGCAUGUACCCCUGUGCCCUGCCAGAAUCCUAAUUUCAACCGUGAUGUAAAGAAUGACCUGACUGUAACAACAUACCUCAAUAAAAAAUUUCUUGAGAUUUUUCCCAUAAUAUGGAUUUUAUCUCUUUUCCUUGUCCCCUACCCUACCUGGAUAAGCUUUUCAAUAAAAAGGGUUUUAGUGGCUCAUAUGAACUUUUAACUUUGUUAUAUAAGUUGAAAAAAAGAGAUACUGUAUUUUCCAAUUGUAGACUAUUUAAAUUAUUUUUCUCAUUAGCUUUCAGUUUAUACCCUCAUAAGCUAAGAGCUAUUUGAUUUUUUUAACUGCAAGAAAAGACCAUGGGAAUAAAUAGUUAUGAGAGUUUUUAAGGGGAAACACAGUGUUCCUUUCUGACAUGUUUUUUCUACUUAUUAUAAAUAUUUAUCUUGGACAAAGGAUUACAUUUUAGUGGACUUGGAAUUUCGCAAAUUUAAUUAUUAAUAUGACUCUUCCUCCAUCUUUAUGGCCUUACAUUUUGGUUUUGACUUGUCAUGGCUUGACUUUUAAUUACUCCAAAAAACAAAUGAAAAUAAUGCAAUAUAAAAAAAAAAUUACUAGUUGGACAUGGUGGCGCACAGCUGCAAUUCCAGCUAUUUGGGAAGCUGAGGCAGGAGGAUAAAAUCAAGGCCAGUCUCAGAAACUUAGGGAGACACUAUCUCAAAAUAAAUUUAAAAAAAUGGCUGGGGGUGUAGUUCAGUGGUUGAGAGCCCCUGGUUUCACUCCCUAAGUACUGAAAAUAAAAAUACAGAAACCACUUUUGAAAUAUGUUUUUUUCUUACUUUAAGAAUUAUAUUUGUAGAGUAGGUGGCAUUUCAUUAAAAUAUGUAGACAAAGGACAGAUACUUACAAUUUUUUCCCAGGUUUGAAUUCUUUUCCUGAAAGCUAGUAAGUACUAGGCUUUGGAGAAAAUCUAGGCAGCUUAGAGUGAUCUGUUGGUAACAGUUGCUUUUGCAGUGAUCUAUUUUUACUUCCCAUCUCAAUAAGUUAUCAAUACCCUGUAUCGUUUUGUCUUGAAAUACUUGAAUUUACUGAAAAAAGUUGUUUGUGAAGUGAAUUCACCCUUUCCCACAGUGUUUCAGUUGUGAAUAGACUUCAAGAAAAGCGACCUUCAUACGCACCAUUAUUGACCUGGGGGCUAGUUAUCUUCAGACGGGAAGUGGAAACUCACUGAAAAGACAGGUGCAAACAGAAGUUAUUCAACUGGAGAAUUUCAGUUUUACAACUUUGGGAGCUUGUGGGAUCCAGCUCAGGGUUUGUCUCCUGAAACCUUUCCUCUCCUGUCCUCUGGGAUUCGGUUUCAUACAGAAGCCAGCUGGUCUUCUUGCCUGUGGGCAUCUGACAUAUCUCCUCCCCUCCCAAGUCCUUUCUGUCUUCAAGUGUCUCACCAGCCCACUAACACUAGGACAGACCUUCUGCCAGCAUAGUUUAAUGUUUAGCUGCCAAAUUCUCUCCCCUUCCUAGUUGUCCCUUGAAAGUAGAGUAAAACACACCUUUCAUAAAAUAGGUGUUUGAAAGAAAAGAAAGUUAUAGAAGUGUUAUGUAUUUCUUACAAAAAUUAUAACAAAUAGAAUAAAAAACUCUACUUCUAACUUAGAGAUAGAGUGCAUAUAUUUUCUUGCUGCACAUGCACACAGCAUAUAGACAUAGCACCAUGUACAUUCUUCAAUGACUUGCUUUUACUCCUUGAUGUAUUGUGAAAAUCCUUCCUGCUUUUACAUAUUCAUUCUAUGUACCUUUUUGUUUGUUUGGUUGUGGUACCAGGGAUUGAAUCCAGCAAGAUUUAACCCAGGAGCACUUUAUCCCUGAGCCAUAUCCCAGCUCUUUUGUAUUUUUAUUUUGAAACAGGGUCUCACUUCAGUUGCUGAGGCUUGUGUUUGAAUUUGGCAUCCCCCUACCUCAGCUUCCCAACGCUUUCCGUACUGUUCACAUUAGAAUAGGCCUUUCUUCUGAUGAUCUACUGCUGAAAUGGUCUCCUGUGUGCUCUGGCCUUUGGUUUUCAUGGGCUUGCUUGCUGUGUUCACCUGAAGGUCUUGCUAACCUAUAACUCAUUAGAUACAGAGGGGAACUUUCCUCCUGAGUUGAUUUCUUUUUCUGUGCUUUAAAAUGUGUUUUUAAAAUUAAUUAAUUAAUUUAUUUAUUGGUAUCAGGGAUACCUAGGGGUAAUUUAUCAAGGAGCCACAUUCCUAGCCCUUUUUAUUUUUUAUAAUGAGACACAGUCUCAAUAAGUUGCUUAAGGCCUCAUUAAAUUGUUGAGACUGGUCUCGAACUUGUAAUCCUCCUGCUUAAGCCUCCUGAGUUACUGGGAUUACAGGUCUGUGCCACCAUGGCUGGCUGAUUAAUUUUUUAACUGAGAGGCACUCCCAUCCUUCAAGCUAUAGUAAAGGAGCACAUUAAAUGUUUUUUUUUUUUUUCCUUCUCUUUCUCUUCAUGACCCUUAUUAUAAUUCAGUACUCCAGUUUCAACAUGGCAGGGGGAGUUGGUCAAAGGAUACCGUUGGGAGGAAUCAAUUUGGGAGAUCUGUUGUACAACAUGACAUAUAGUACAUACAGUUAAUGUUAUUGGAGUUUACACUUCAAGAUGGUAAAGAGAGUCAAUUUUUAGUGUUCUCAUCACAAAUAAUGGUAAGUAUUUUAGGCAAAAGUUUUUUAAAAAUAAAGUACUUUAAGAACCAUUAGAAUCUUCUGGGCACUGCAGCUCAUGCUUAUAACCCCAAUGACUCAAGAUGCUGGUGCAAGAGGAUCACGAGUUCAAGGCCAGCCUGGACAAUUUAGGGAGACCCUAUCUCAAAAAUUUAAAAGGGUGGGGGGCUAGGUGGUAGCUCAGUGAUAGAACACUUGCUUAGCACAUGUGACGCAUUGGGUUUGAUCCUCAGCACUGCACAAAAAUAAAUAAGAUAAAGGUAUCGUGUCCAUCUACAACCAAAAAGAAAUAUUUAAAAAAGGGAGUGAGGAUGUACCUCAGUGGUAGAGCACCCCUGAGUUCAAUCCCCAGUAACAUACACAUGCACUCAUACACAGUGUACACAUGUGCAUAUGUGUACACACAUGGAUGUGCAAGGACACAUAAGUACACACCCCUGAGUUCAAUCCCCAGUAACAUACACAUGCACUCAUACACAGUGUACACAUGUGCAUAUGCGUAUACACAUGGAUGUGCAAGGACACACGAGUAUGCAUACUCGCACACAUGUGCGGUUAUACACACGUACACAUAUGUGCACGCACAUGUGCACAGCAAAGAAUCUGAGAAUGCAAAGCAUAAUAAAGAAAAAUGAUAGUUCUUUCCAGAAAAAAGUGCAGAAGCAGGCUUACUUCUGACCCAGUUCAGUGUCUGUUGCAGACAUUUCUCCCUUUCUUAUCUCUUUGCUGCGAACCUUUUUACGUGUUCAGAGGUCUAGUGUGGAUGAUUUUCACAAACCUCAAACUAGCUUCCUUUUCCUAAGUUUCCUCACAAAUCCGUUUUUCCUGUUAAUCUCACUAUCAUACAUCUCUGAUCAUGUCACAUUCUUGCUCAGAAAAUGCCGGGCCUGCAUAGCUUGCUCACUUCAACCUCACCGUGCCUUUAGGUCUUCGCAAUACUGUUCUCUCUCCCACAGGUGCUCUUUCUAGCCACUUUGUCAUGCCUCCAACAGCUGUUCCUAUUUCUUACAGCAAGGCCUGGCUCAAAUGCAAACCAUUCCUUGAAUCAUUCCCGGGUCUCUUCCUCACUCCAUUGAGAAAUAUUUUUCCUAUAACUUUAUAAAUGUAUCUGUACCUACUAUGUUAGUUAUUACUGACUGUUGUGUCUGUAGUUUUCUUCCUCUUCAUCCCUGAUAAAGACUGUAACUUUUUCAAAGCAGCACCUGGAUCUUUUUUUGGGCCUCACAUAAAUCAGACACUCAAUAAAUGCUGUUACUAUUUGAUUUAUUUUUAUUUUUUGUUUAUAGCGUUUUCCAUGAAAUAGUUGUAUAGCUAUUUUUCAUUAAAUAAGUAGAAAAUAUGAAAAUUAAAGUAGGGAACAUAACAAAGAGUUGGAAAUAUUUCAGAUUCUUGUUAUGUCCACUUAUUGGUCCAUAAGUUUUACAAAAUGACCUAAGCCAAUUUGUUCAUGCAUAACUGUUAUUGAUUGCUUUACUUGUGGUUGAUUAUAUUAUAUUUCAAAUGCCUAAAGGUGAGGUGUGAGGAGUUUCCAUUGUCUGAUGCUCAGGUUGUUAGUGAAGACAAGUUUCAGACCUAAUCUUGCCAUGCUCAUGGUGUUCACUGAAUCAUCAGCAUGAGCAAGGAGCUCGCACACAGUUCAGACAGCCUUUUUGUAAACUUGGUAAGAUGUAGCUCUCUGUUCUUUUGAAAGACAUGAAGGUUUCAUUUAUUAUUAGUUUUUUAAAUUUAAUUUUAAGUAUAUUUUAAUGGUUUUAAUUCUUGUUUUUUUUUAUUGGUGCAUUAUAAUUAUACAUGCUAGAAGGGGUGCGUUGUUUCCUAUUUGUAUGUGCACAUAGCAUAAUUUCGUUGACAUGAAAGUGAAUAGUAAAUGCAACAAUAUUCUGGGCAUUCCACUGCCCUCCAGUGGAAUGGCCACUGAGUACCUAAACUGUGGCUACUCCAGUUGAGAUGGUACUGGACAUGUAAGAUGCACCCUGGAUUUCAAAGAUUUGUGUGUUUUGUUUUUUUAGAGAUAGGUUCUCACUAAGUUACCAGGCUGGCCUUGAAUUUGAGAUCCUCUUGUGUCAGCUUACUGAGUAACUGGGUUGUAGGCAUGUACCCUUGUGCCUUGCUAGAAUUUUAUAUUCUCUAUAAUCCAUGGUGGGGAAUGUCUAAAAAAUAUCUUGGUCAAUCCAUGCUCAUUAAAUAAUGCUAAAUUCACUGAUGGGGGAAUAUUUCUAACAUUCAAAUUUUUAUGCCAAUUUUCAAGGCCCAGUGAAAGCACAUUUCAUGCAUUCAUUAAUUAGCAAAGUUUUAGGUGUUCAUGACAACAGAGAGAUUUGUUUCUUCUAUAGGUGCCUCUCUGGACUUGAUCCUUCCAAGUGAAUUGCAUAUGACCUUCUCCAUGUGUUAUCUUGGGUAGGAACAACUGCAAGACCCUUGGGGAUGGUUUUACUCUGGAAUCUGUGUGUGCUCCUGUGGCCAUGAACACCUUUCCAGUGGUUAAUGACCCUGACAGGACUUCUUAGCUACCUGCCUUCUCCUUUUGUAUCUUUCAAGUGAUUCCCCUUGUCCACUUUACAAAAGAAAGGUGCACCUCACCCCCUCCUGGAUUCUGGCUCUGAUGCAUUGCUGUGAGACACUAAAUGAAGGGCACUUGAGGAAUGCAAAGCACAGAGCACACCCUGGGUAGUAGCUUGGCCAGUGCCUUCAUGCAGCCAGGGAAAGAAAAUAUCUUGGUUAAUCCUUUGUGCCUGGCCAUUAUCUGUUCAUCUGGUGGUCUGUCCAUCCAUCUAUCCUGGACCUGACAUAUUUCUUGUCACUGGGAGACAUGUAUUAACACCAUUCUUAAAUAGAAAAUUGAAGUCCAACUUCUCUUGUCAGAAAAUAAGUCUGAUUUGUCUGCCAGAUAGGUAAGAGAGGAGAUGUAUUUUUCCUGUUAAUCAAAUGAGCUAACUUUGUAGUUCCUUAACAAUACGCUAGAAAUUACAUGUUUUUAGCUGUUUAGCUUUAUCAUAAAUAUUAGUUGUUAACUUAAAAAUGUACAUGGAUGGAGGGAAGUGUGGGCGCUAAAAAUGUGGGGCAGGCAGAAGGGGGAGGUGGGUACUGAAAAUGGAGAGGAGAGAAAGAGGGAAGAGACUCAGGCCAGUGGUUCUCCAGAUGAUGGGGAAUGUUCAUUUUGGCCUUUAUGGUCAUCUAGACUUUGUCAUUAUUUAAUCCUCAUGAGCAGGACACACUUUUUUUUUUUUUUUUUUAAAUUCAAGAGUCCUUGAAGUCUGUAAUGCCCUGAAAACUCAUGCUUACAUUAUUAAAACUGUAAUCUAAUCCAUGGAUUACAUCCAUUUGAUGGAUUAAUAAUAAUUUGGGAGGACUGCUCUAUGGGUGAUAAGUGAAGGCAGGUAGGGUAUGGCUGGAGGAAGUAGGUCACUGGGGGCAUUCCUUUAGCAUUUAUAUUUUGUUCUCUGUGCUUCCUGCCCUACCCCGAACUGAGUAGCUUUGUCUCCCAUGAUGGUCUACCUCACCUGGGGCCCAGAGGAGUGGAGUUGGCCAACCAUGGACUGAAACUCUGAAACCAUGAGCCCACAGUAUACAUUUCCUCCUUUACAUUGUUCUUGUCAGAUAUCUGUGUCACAGCGAUGAAAAUCUAAUGAAAGGUCACGUUGUUCUUAAGUGCUACCUGGCAACUCUCUUACUUAGCAGCAUUGAAAGGUCAGUGCUCCAACACAUGUGAAUUACUUUCUGGGACUUCAUCUGUCUAUGGGCGAUUAUAUGGGACUAAAAAUUGAAGCACUUCUAAGGAGGGAAGCCAUCGUCACUCCUUUUGGUUCAUUAGAGUUGUUGGCCCAGAAUAUUGCAACUGGAUUCCACAUGUGCACUCACUGAUUAUUCACGGUGCACUUAAAAAUAAAUAAUUUAAUUAAUAAAUAUUUGUGUGUGCAAGCCAGUGUCAUAAUUAUAGAUGAACAUGUGAUUUAUAGUUUAUUUUAUUUUUUUUUUUACUUUAGCUCUCUAUAAAGUAGUGGCAUUCUUACAUAUGAAUGCACAGAGAUAUUUGAGUACUGAAAGUAUGAUUCUGUUUUUUUUGGGGGGGAUAUUUUCUUCAAGUUUUAAAAUUUCUUGGAUAUUUUUAUUGUUUUACUGUAUGGAUUUAUGAGGAAUAUCAGAGAUUUCAAAUAAGGGCAAACAUAAUAACAGAAAUAAAGUAAUUAACAUGAGAAAAAUACUGUUGAAUGUUUAGCAGUCUUGUGUGGACAUGUUUUGCUGCUAUUUUGACAAGAAGUUGUGACCAAUUCUGAAGGUCAAAUCAUUGGAAUGUUUUUUAAUAUUCAAACAUGUUUUCCCCAUUUCAUUUGCAUGAAGUUUUGUACAUCUAGAAUUAUAUGCUUAUGAAAGUCAUUCUUUCAUGAGAUUUCGGUGCAGUUUGUAUAAUAUAAUAGAUGUUUCUUUAAUAAGAAUAGCAUGAGGAAGCUAAUUUCAUGGAUUUUUUUUCAUGGAUUGCUUUAAACUUUUAUCAAUCACUGAAAAAAAAUAGUUCUCUAUUGUGUUUUUUUUUUUUCAUGACUGUGAGUUGUCAUUAUGACUCACUCAUUUCUUCUAAAUAACCCUAUUUUGUUCUAUGACAUUUUGAGUCAUUUUAAUAAAAAUAUUCACUCUUGGGACAAAAAUCCAAAAUGAAGUCCUUGUGGAUGCAAAAUGGAUGCUUUCUACCCUCACAGAUUGAGCCCUUGAUGUUUUUGCAUUUACAACAUGUACAAUUUGGUUGAUAUCUAAAGAUGUUCUUUCCAAACCUAUUUUCAGAGAGAAGGUUUCCAGCAAUGCCCAGAUGCCUAUAAAGCUUACAGACUUUUCCUCCGGGUUCAUUUUUAGCAGCUCUAGAAGGUCAAAGUAAAAAACGUUCCUCUGAAUUCCUAUGAAAUGUUUAAAAAACACAAGGUGCUUGUCAAGGAGAAAAGAGGUAGGAGGUGCAUAAACUCUACCAUUAGAAGAUCGUCAAGAAGUAAUGAUUCUAUCACAUCCUGAAAAUAAUAUCAAAUAAAUGGAUCAAAUACAAAAAAACAAAAAACAAACUCUCUGAACCCCAUCUACUUUAGGAUCACAUGCUGUUGAACUUGGACUUAUUUGGAAUGUUUUCAGGAUAUCACUAAGUUUUUUUUUUUUUGUACCAGGGAUUGAAUCCAGGUGUGCUUUAGUGCUUAGCUACAUCCCCAGUCGUUUUUUUUAUUUUUUAUUUUGAGAUGGGAUCUUGCUAAUUUGCGGGGCUGGGCCUCUUGCCUCAGCCUCUUGAGUUGCUAGGAUUACAGGUAUACACUGCCCUACCCAGCUAGGAUGUCUUUUAAAUUUGAAGGUUUUGAUUGGUAGUUUUUGCACUCUCAAAAGGCAUUCUUACGGUCAGCAUCCUUAGUCUUUAUGGAAGUGCAAAUCAGAACCAUGACGUGCACUUCACAACUACUAGGAUAAGUAUAAUUUAAAGAUCAAAAAGGAAAAUAAAAGGUUGAUAUUGAAGAAAAUGGAGUGCUCACAAAUUAGAAGGCAAGUGCAGAAUAAUACAGCUGGUAUAGGAGACAAGCUUGGUGAUUCCUUAAACAUCUAACUGAGAAAUUACCAUAUAACAACUCAGCAAUUCCAUUUCUAGUUAUAUAUUCCCACAGGAAUGAAAAAUAGGAACUCAAGACAAAUGCUUGUAUAACACUAUUCAUUUUAACAUUGUUCACAAUUGCUAAAAAUAGAAACAACUCAAGUGUCCAUCUUUAUAUGAAUGGAUAAACUGUGGAAUAUAUGUCCAAAGGAAUAUUCUUCAGCCUUCAAAGGAGUGAAGUUCUGAUAUAUACUACAGCAUGGAAGACUACUGAGGGGUUAAUGCUAAGUGAAAUAAGCCAGACACAGAGCAUAAACACUGUAUGAUUCCAUUUGUAUGAAAUAUGUAAUAUGGGUGGAUACUGAGAGACAGAAAGUAGGUUUGAGGUUAGCGGGGGCUGUGGGGAAUGGCAAGUUACUGCUUAAUGGUGAAAGAGUUUCUGUGUGGCAUGAAAAAAUUUUAGAACUAGCAAUGAUGGUUACAUAACACUUUAAAUGUAAUUUAUGCCACUUAAUGGUACACUUUAAAAUGGCUAAAAUCACAAUUUUUUUGUUAUACGGUAGUCCCUCCAUUAUCUGUGGUGUUCACUUUCUGUAGCUGACUAAAGUUAACUAUGAUCUGGAAAUAUUAAAUGGUAAACUGUAGAGGUAAGUAAUUUAUGAGUUUUAAAUUUCCUGCUGUUCUGCAGGGACAUGAACCAUCCCUUUCUUCAGCCUAUCCACAUUGUAUACCCUACCUCCUCAUUAGGUACCCAGCAGCCAUCUUGGCUAUCAGAUUGACUUUGUGGUAUCCUAGUACUUGUGUUCAAGAAACGCUGAUUUUACUCCCUAAAGAGUAAGAGUAGUGAUGCUGGGAAUUCAGAUGUGCCAAAGAGAAGCCACAUAGUGAUUUCUUUUAGUGAAAAGGUAAAAAUGCAUUACGAUAGUUUAGGAGAGAGAGAAUCUGGUCACCUAACUUUUAUGACAGUAUAUUGUUCUAUUUUAUUAUUGUGUGUAAUGUCUGAUUGUACCUACACUAUAAAUUAAAGCUUUAUCAUAAGUAUGUAUGUAUAAGGCAAAAACCUAGUAUACAUAGGGUUUGUGACUUCAGGUACCCACUGUGGGUCUUGGACGGCAUCCCUUAUCAAGGGUGACCACUGGAUAUCUUUUAGUAUAAUGAAGAAAAAAAAUUUAUUUUUUUAUACUAUAACUGAUUGAAUUGCAAGCUUUAAUGUGGUUCUGUGAUGGGAAGGUGGGUAGUUUUUGCUAGGUUUGUUCUCAAGCAGAAUGGACACGUUCCUCUCAUGCUGAAAUGAUAUAAAUUCUUGGUGCUGUCUGGAACCUCAGGGUUCUAGAUCGCCAUGAUUUCAGAACUGAUCCGAUGCUGGCUUCUGCUAGCAGGGCUUGUGUUUGCUCAAGGAAAUUGAUUUUUUUUCCCCCAAGAAUAUUUUCUUACAUUUUUAAGCAUGCAUUUCCCUUUUUAAAUGAGUCUUAAGAGUUUUCAGGAUUGAAAACUUUCUGAAGUUUGGAUUAUCUUAUCCUUACUCUUUUGACAUCACUAUAUGUUACAGCCCUGUGUUUUCUUGAACAUGCACAAUUCUGUCACUAUUGUCUUUUUUGUCAGGUAUUGAGUGCAGAAAGUCCUUUUUCCCAUCUUUGUAUAAACCAGACUUUGUGUGUCCUUUAGAUAUAUUUUAAAGUUUCCUUUAUUCUGUGAAACUCUCUUUAACGCCUGACUGUCUGGAAGUGUGUUGGACGCAGCCUCUGCAGUCAGCCUGGCCCUGUACUUGCCAGGUGGGAGAUGCUGGGUGUUUCUUUUAACUUCUGUCUUUGGGCUUCAGUCUUCUCCUUUGAAAGGUGGAGUUGGUUUCCUUUUCCUUCUCAUGCCAUUCUAACUACUUGCCCUUCGCCCAAAGAGACUAUCCACUUGUAUUUUGCUUCCUACAGAGUGAAUUCUGUUUUAAAUACAGUUUUUAGCUUAAAUAACUUCAAUGUAUAAAUGAGGGGCAAAUUUACAGAAAUAUGAUUUGAAAUGAUCAUUAUCUAACCUUGUAUCUUUAGAUAGUUCUGACAAUUUUGAGAGCUACAUUUUAAUUUUUAAGUUUUUUUUUUUUUUGGUACCAGGAAUUGAACCCAGGGCACUUAACCACUGAGCCACAUCCCCAGCCUUUUAAAAUAUUUUAUUUAGAAGCUGGGUCUCACUAAGUUGCUUAAGGCCUUGCUUAAUUGCUGAGGCUGGCUUUAAACUCAAGCUCUUCCUGCCUCAGCCUCCCGAGCUGCUUGGAUUACAGGUGUGUGCCACUGUACCCAGCCAUAAGGAUUUUUUGAUUUUCAGAGAAUGCCAGAUUUUGAACUAAUGUAGGGAGUUAAAGUAGUCUACUUGUAAGCAUUCCAUCUCCUGGGUGUGUUUCUUUGUCUACAUGUUCAUAAUACUUUACAGAUUAUUAUAAUAUUUAUUAUUUCCAUGUGUCAUUUUAAUACAUGUCUUUUGAAUCUAUGAAUUUGUUUUGCUCAGAGGCCCACAAAUUGGGUAUAAAGAAAUGAGAGUGGGAUGACAUGAAGGGGCUUCGUAGUAGAUGAAUUUUGGGGGUAUUUCACAGGGAUUUCCCAGGAAAAUAAGCAGGAGUAUGUUCUGAAAUGCCCUUAUUGCUUCUGAAAUAAUCUUGACUUUCUAGGGUAUGUUCAAUUUCAUGUUUGUGAAAGAGGCUUUAAUGAAGGCAAUCCAAGUUUUAAAUCGUCCAACAAGACAUUUCUGUUUUGGCUUAGUCGAGGCUGUUCUUUUCUGAAUAGCUGCAUUUUAUGAAAUCAGGUUAGUGCCAGCCAAUUGGACACGAUUAAAUUGCUUCAAAAGAUGUGCUAGAGCACAAUGCUGGCUCUCUCAUGCUAGCAGAGUCUCAGUGGUGCUGCACAUGUUCCCAAGACAUGUGCUUCUACAGGGGAAAUGAUUCCUCAUUUCUCUGCCACCUUUCCGGUUUAGGAUUUACAUUGAGAUUUGUUGCUAAGUUCUGCCAAAAGAAUGCUCGAUAUGCACUUUGAGCUGGUGCAGUGAAAACAUUUUCAAGUCGGUUUCCCUGAAGAUUUAUCGCGCAGUCUUGACGUUUCUGGCGUUGCUUUGCUUCUCUUACCAUCCCAGCAAUGAAGUUCCAGGCAAGGCCACAGGCAGACCCCUGGAUCUGUAUGAGCAUGUCAGAAGCAUUUUAAGAAGAGCCAAAUAUUUAGAGGAAGAAUUUGGAAAAGCAGCCUUAAGGGGUUUAACACAUUUUUCUCCUCCUAAUUCAGUCCCGUGUUUAUCCCCCUCACAGAGAAAGGUCAUUACCGGGUAGGAUUUGCUAGGUUUGGUUAAGGUUUGUGGAAGUGAACCGGUUUUCUAAAAUCUGAGUACAUUUAGGGGAGGUGGAUUUGCUGUCAAUUACACUCAUCCAUUAACUACAUAUCUAAAUAAUCUAAUUACAUGUAGAGGUUGUGCUGGGUGCUUACACAUUUUUAUUUUGGAGAAAUUAAAACCACUAAUUGGCUUAAUAAUGAGAGGUGCAGUAGCUAGAGAAGUUUUGAAGUUCUGUUUAAAUUUCUAGGAAGGCCAAAGGAUUGCUCAGGAUAGCAUGACAGAGUUUUGGUUGUUUACUACCAGUUUGCUAGUCUGAUAGGCCUGGGUCAAAGCUGCUUACUUUAAUUGUUGUGGUGUGUGUGUGGGUGCGGAGGGCGGGGGCAUUUUAUGCUUGUUCCAGACUUGUUACAACUUUACUCUUUUUUUAAAAUUUUUUUUUCCCACACCAGGGGUGGAACCCAGGCGUGCUUUAUCUCUGAGCUAUAUCCCCAUCCCUUUUUCAUAUUCUAUUUAGAGACAGGGUCUUGAUGAGUUGCUCAGAGUCUUGCUAAGUUGCUGAUGCUGGCUUUGAACCCAUGAUCCUUCUGCCUCAACCUCCCGAGAUGCUGGGAUUACAGGCCUGCGCCUCCAUGUCCAGCACGUUUUUACUCUUAAAAUUGAAAACCCACAGGCUAAUUCUUGUUCUUUGAUUGAUUUCCUGUCCUUAGAUAAUAGGAGGCAGGGAAGUGUAUUUGUUUGUUGGGGGAGGGGGGAUACAAAUGCAGGAUUAUUGAAAUGUUAACUUUUACUUUUCUCUUUAGCUGUAUUGGGAAAAGGAAUAUAUACAGUGUUUAUAAAUUUUCAAAACAUUCACCUUUUAUGGGCAAAUACUUCAUUUCAUAUCAGCUACUGAUUAAUCUUCAGAUGUUGAUUUGUCUCUGAUUUCAGAGUAUUUUAGAAACAUUAUCUUAUUAACUUCUUAUAAAGAUCUCUUUUUGGGGGAAUCUGUUUUUAAAUAUGAUUUCAUUGUACAUUUUUUUGGUUAAAUGGAAAGAUCUUAUUUAUCCUUUGAUAAGAUGAUAGGUAUUCAUUUCUUUGUCUGCUCUGUGGAUGAAACCUACAUAGUAUUGUAUACUUUAAUGUUUUUGAAAUUAGAAAGUCAAAUGCUCUAAAAAGAGGUUAAGAAAAUAAAAUGCUGUAAUAUAUUUCUUUUUUAGAAUUCUUUCUCAUUUUAUGGUUGACAAUUCUUAAAUGUAUGUAUGAAUGUUAUGAAAUUGAUUUUAAUAUUUAAGACUUUUUUAUUCAUAGGAUUAAAUAUAAUGGAUAUGGCAAAAUUUACAAAAAUAAAAUUGUUUGAAGAUGGUGGGACAAAUAAUUAGAUUUUCCAAGGAUCUGAAUAGAGAUAUUUAAAAUUAAAUUCCUUUCAGUGAGGCCAGCAUAGUGCCCUCUACAGGGUGAUGUGCAGUAGUCACCUUGUACACUGAUGUGAUCUCAGCUUUGUCCCUGUUGGGUAUGAAGGUAAAGGCUGGGACAUUCAGAGUGUGUAAACAAGGCCUCUGGGUUAAUAAAUGGCUUAUGUGUGGCAUUGACCAGAUAAGGUGUAAAGGCUGAGAUCGGGGCUAAUGCUGUCUGCAUUGUCCUUUCAGCAAGAAGGUCACCCUCUCAGCACCAUUGACAUCAAGAAGUUUCUUAGAGAGCAGUUUCGUUUUUUGUACUAGUUGCUUUCUUUGUGUCCCAUGGUCCGGCUCCGAUUACCUUUAUGGAUCUAUAAAAGGGCACUCUUUUCUGGUGUUGCUGCUCCGUCUAUUCCAGGAAUGACCUUUUAAUUACAAACUCUCCUUGUAGAAGGGAGUCGAGAUCAGAGUCAUCACAAACUUGAUGUGUUAGCUGUCCGUCACUAUAAUGAAAUCCCUGAGGUAUUUAACUUAUAAGGGGAACAGUUUAUUUUGGCUUGCAGUUUUGAAGCUUCCACUCCAUGACUGAGUGGACCCAUGGCUUUGGGCCUCUGUUAUCAGUGCUAUGCGGCAAUAAUAGGGAGUAUGUGUCAGCAAAAACUGCCCACUCAUGGCCAGGAAGCCAAGAGAGGAAGAGGAAGGGGUGUGGGGAGAAUCCCACAAUCCCCUUCAAGGGCCCACCUCAAGACCUCAGUACCUCCUACAAAGUCUCACCUCCCAAAAGUUCCAGCACCUCCCAGUAGCGCCAACUAAGGCUCUGACACACGGACCUUUGGGGGACUUUCAACAUGCAAACCACAGCACUUUGGUGAAGUCCUAGGUGAAGUUUAAUGAUCCUACUGGGGUUGGUGAGAGGGUUCUAGUUCCAUGUAAAGGGCAGCCCCUUCGGAAUGGAGGCACAGAGGGCAGAGCACAAUGGUCUUUUCUGUUUUUAUUUUGUUCUCAUGCCGAGGGAGUGGAACAGGCAGUACAUGGACCCAGAGGCACCUAGGGCCUUCUCAGUGUUCCCGGGAGUCCUCAGACAACUUCCAGAACCAGAUUAUUAACUUGCAACUUUGUAGCUCGAAGCCAGCAAUGACUUUCUUGCUGGUUUUAGUUGAACUUUGGAGAAAGGUGAAGAAGGUAUAAUUGGGAGCAAACACAAGGGUAAAUGGACAUUUGUUUAUCUUUCUUAUUUACAGUUAUCCUACAAUAAUUACAACAGCAGUGAGCUCAACACCAGCUCUUGUCAAAUGGCUUGCCUUAUCUUUGCAAAUCUUCACAGUACUGGGACAAGCUGGGUAGUGUUUAUCCUCAUUUUACAGAUGAGAACCAUGAGAUGUUUGGAUGACUAACAAGUCACAAAUUAGGUGGACUGGGAUGUAGGCAGUAUGGUCCUAAAGUCCUUUGCUCUUUUUGUUAUGCCAUGUGACUUCCUGAUAUUUAAUUUAAUCUGUGUACAUUUUUAGGGUUCUUUAGCUUUUUAAAGUCAAUUUUAUUUGGUUGGGACUUGGAACGAGAAUUUGUAAUCAAAACCAAAGUUGCUAUAUAUUUUUUAAACUUCUCUGAUUUGUCUACUUGCAAAAUGUUUGCGUAGAUCAAAAUCCUUAUAAGCUUAUGUCAGUCUUCUAGAGGAAAAUAUGCUACAGAAUUAACUAUAAACUGUUCUCCUUUUUUUCCCCCUAUAGGGUGUAGAGCCUGUAUGAAAAAGGAGAAGUCUUUGAGGUCUUUAGUUUUUAUUGAUAAUUUUGAUUUGUGUAUUGAACAUGCAAACAUUUUAAUCAUGCUUGAAAUUUUGCUUAAGAUGCAACCUAAAGUAUUGUGUAGCAGGAAGCAAGGUCUUGAUUUUAUCACACAAACGUGAAUUUAAUAGCUGGUGACAGUACACUUGGGCUUGGGAGACACAGCCAGGUCCCUUGUGCGAGGUGCUCACGUGAGCCUCCCUCUGUUGGAAUCGUCGGCAGGCUCCUCUGUGAUGAAUCAAACCAUUCUUCUAUAACUGUCCAUCAUUGUGCCUCACCACGCUGUACUCAAGAGCCAUUUAAACUUCCCAGGCUGGCAGUGAGCUCAUUUAAUGCACUUACCAAGGUACGGAUACUCACUUUCCCCCUUUCUCUCCUUUUCUAUCCCACAGAUGAACACAAUGAUGUGCAGAAGAAAACCUUUACCAAAUGGAUAAAUGCUCG